rnacentral:lncRNA from 1 species
GAGAGAGAGAGAGAGAGAGAGAGAGAGAGAGAAGAGAGAUGAGGACGCUUCGCUUGUCAUCAGAUGGGCAAGUCGACAAAGGAAAGAAUCUACCAGUGGGAAACGGUGGAGAGAAAGAAGGGGGGGGAGUCUCACGUACCAAACGGAUGGAGAAGAUUUGCCCGAAUGGUGUGGAUGUGGGCGAAGAUGCAGUUGAACUCACGGUGCAUGUCAAGUCAAUCUUAAUCGUCCCCUCACCCACUCUCGCACAGAGCUAAGAUACGCACUGCCUUUCUUAUCUGCAUUUACGCCAAGCUACGUCAUUCUCGUGCAAAUAUUGCACAUAUUUCGCAUGCUUACGUUCUCAUCGAAGAAAGUUCGACGCAAAGAAACCCAAUUCAUGGGGCCAGUAGCGAAUAGAUAAAGAUUCUCCACGGGGGUCCAUCCGGGGGCCACCGUAUUCCAUGCCGUAAAUUGCCUGCCGUUAGAGCUGACAAGUGGCGGGAGGGUGGUCUCUCAGACCGAGGCCCGGCCUGAGCUUUCUCACCCGGGAUUCCGAGUCCCAGGUGCUCGUCAACCACCGUAUGUCGGCGGGGAGCCUUCUGGGCCUCUUCGGCGGGCAGGUGAACUGUGACUCCAUUGAUGGAUCCAAUGAUGCGAAGGCGCUUCUAGUCUUCUGCUCACUGAUCGUUGGCCGUAUUGAAUAAAUACAAAAAAGGCUCUUCCCUUGUCUUUUCUCCCGCGGAGGUCGAAACUUGGAAACGAUGAGUGAUCAUAGGACCAGUCAACAAAAAAUGACUUGGGUUCGGCUUAGCUCCCGUGAUUUCCGUACAUAUACGCCAGGAAAUGACCAUAAAAUGACUUGGGAUAUGCAUGAAAAGGAGACGGAGGUUGACCAGAGAAGUAGGGUCUAUGAAGCAUAUGGAAAGAACAGUCACUUUGACUUUUCAAUCUGUGUUCAUACGUCUCGUGGUAAGCGUGCCGUGUCAGGGUGAUCAUGCAAAGGAGACGUAGGAACAACGAGCGAGAUAGAGAGAGACGGACGGAGAGAGAAAGAGAGAGAGAGAGAGAGAGACGGAAAUGGUUGAAGAUGACAAGAGGAGAAAGCCCAAUGAGAAACACAUUCUUCUCGGGAGAGGAGGCUGCGUCUAGUCAACUUCAUAAUUUGUCAAGAUUCCUUUCUUACUCGACGCAUAUUUCCCGGAUUCAUCUCCUAAUUGGAUAUCCUCCAAAAAAAAUGGGCGCCCACCAGAAAAAAAAUCCACAUGCACCGACUCGGGAUUAAAGCUUCUUAAAGAUAUAGAAGAGAUAACGACUCAUAUAACUUAGACGGGACAGAUUCUCAUCCGAUCGACGAGCCACGCUUCUGCAAUAAUUCCAGCACGGCGAGCACCUCAUGCCGACGCAGCCGAGCCAGCGCUCACUUCUGGAAAUCAUCCGUCUGGAUGUCUUUGUUCUAUCCGAUAUUCAGAAUAAAUUGAAGAAUCAAAUCCCAAAAGAUGACGCCGACUGCGGCCACUCUCGCCGUUUGACCGCUAGCCGAAAUAUUAGAAGCCUCAACGACCAAGCUUUCAGCCCUUCCUCGACGGCGCUGUCUCGGAGAUGGCUAGCCACAGAGGCCUCUGCCAUCUCCUCCGCUUGCCCCCCGGCGAGGUCCCUCGACCAAGCCGCUGCGGGGAGUUCAGGGUCUGUGAAGAACACUCCGGAUAUGAGGUCAACCCCCCAUGGCCGGGCUCUAACAACAGAAAGAUUCUUGAAGGGAUUGAAGUCGGUCCGCUUCCACUCCCUACGUAUAACUUUUUUAGAUCCGAUUCAAUCAUCCAAGCACACUGCUCAAGGUGGUCAACUGGGUCUGUGAAUAGCUCGCCGGAUAUGAGGUCAACCCCCCAUGGCCGGACUCUACCAACAGAAAGAUUCUUGAAGGGAUUGAGGUCGGUCCGCUUCCACUCCCUACGUAUAAACUUUUUUAGAUCCGAUUCAAUCAUCCAAGCACACUGCUCAAGGUGGUCAACUGGGUCCCCUCUCGAAGUCAGCUUUGCGAUAUCAAAAUUUUCAUUAUGCUUUCGUAAAUAAAUUAUUUUCUCGUCACUUGAUCGUUUCCAGCUCCCUCACGAGUGCAUGCAAACGAUGGAGACAAGGUGUUUGCUCCUGGUUGCGCUUCGAGAGAGCCUUGCAUGUGCCCUAGUGUCUGGUAUUUCUUUUAACUCUGGUUUAGGUGUGAGUCUUGUAAAGGGCAUAUAAACGUGUUGCUCCUGGGCGAGAUCAUGAGAUAAAUAUUUAUUAUUUUUUAUAAUAAUCGGGAAACUUUGUAAAAAGUUGACACUAAAGCUUAGGGUAAUAAUCAAGCUCUCCCCGAGUCAUUCAUAUGCUCUUGAGGGACCUUUUUUUUUCCUCUUGCACUACCUUUCCUGACCUUAGUAAUAUCAAUGCCAUCCUAAGAUCUGCCUGAAAAUUAAUUUUUCAAUUUACAUCCAUAAAAAAUGUAAAGGAUAUAUUUUUGUGUCAACGACCUUCAUGCAAUUGCAAGCAAUUAAUUACAUGGGAACCCUUGGAAUAAUAUAAAAUAAUAUCACAUUAAUUGCGUGCAAUGAAUGUAAAUCAUCCAAAUUGGGGAAAAAACAAUGUGAAUAAAAUCAUUCAUGGAGGAGCCCUCAUUAAAGCAUGUAGCACCGUACCAUCUUGAGGAUAUUCUAGGCCAUGAGAUGGUCAUCAGUCAAGGCAGCUCCCCAUAAUAGGAAAUUAUGAUAUCUAAAUAGUAUAUAAGCUGUACACAUCAAUUUGAUUGCCUUUGGUUUAAAAUGAUAUUUUGUACCCUUGAAAAUUAUGGAAUAUAUUUACACAAUAAAAAUAUCAAUUUUUAUUGUUUAGAUCCAUUUUGUUACUGCUUGUUGAUCAACGGGGCUUUUGGCUGAUUAGAAGUACAGUGAGUGGUAAUCUUAAGUUCUAAUCUGGCCCUCUGAUAUAUAUAUAUAUAUAUAUAUAUGCCUGGAGAGAGAGAGAGAGAGGAUCUGAGUUUACUACGCGCCUGGACGACAAUAUAAAGCGUGCAAAACAUAAAUUACUAAUUAUUUUUCCUAAAUAUUUUUACAAUUCGCAUGGCCCAUUGAAUAUUUUAAAAUUUUAAAAGUGGUGUUUAAUUAUUCUAAUUCCUCGGAUAUCGCAGCCGACGACCGCUAUAGUUGCCCCUCGUUGACCGAGCCACGGCCCCACCCCAGUAAUCGGAUCCCGAUCUGUUCCGGCCCAGGGAAGCGGAAUACCUUAAAUACCCUUCCUUUUUUACUGUAUAUGGAUAAUGUUCUGGAGUAAAGGGAAAAGGGUAUCGGGGUCAUAUGGUAUUGACUUCCAAGGCUAGUUAACUUUAAGGUACAGAAAUAAUAAAAUCGAAAUGGAAAGCCAAAUCUGAUCCUUCCGUAACCUUCCAGUUGCAGAGAAAGCGAGACCCGGCGUCUCUCUCUCUCUCUCUNNNNNNNNNNNNNNNNNNNNAGAGAAGACGAGACCGGCCGUCUCUCUCUCUCUCUCUCUCUCUCUCUCUCUCUCUCUGGCUCCCUGUGUGCCAGCUCGCGAUCUCCCGGCUGUUAUUGUGAGUAUGUUGAGCUUUUUUCUGUACACUUUGUUCGACUUAUCUGUUGUUAUCGCCCCGUCUCUUGCUUUUCUAGGUUGUCUCGCCCCCUAGGUUGACACUGCAGAUUGCCGCUGCUCCGAGUGAUACAUCAGGCGCAUCUUGGGCUCUUUUGCCCUGCGGCCGUUGAAAUCCAUGUUCAUCUGUGCCCCAUGGACCCUACCCUGAACCGUACGACGUCGCCAGUCGAGGAGGAAGACGAGUGGGGUAUGUUUAACGCCACAACUACUGUCUUCCCAUAGUUUGGCAUCUUGCUAUUUUAUCGAACGUCUUGGCUUUACCCAUAACAGAGAAUACUGCUUUACGUUGUAAAUUGUUGUCUCCGUGUUGAUGUGGGGAGUUAAAAAUAGUUUGUAUCAGUAGGAAAUUCUGUGCGGGAUUUUUAUUUGGAUCUUAGACCAUCUACUAUGUCCGUCUCUCUCAUUCUUGUGCUUAACUUUUUUUAGCCUGUUAUGUUGAACUUUUUCUUACUUUUCUACCUGCUAUUAGUCGUCAAGAUCACCUGGUAAUAUUUUCUUCACUUUUUCGUGCUCUUUUUUUGGUCAUUCACGCAUCCAUAUGCGCUAUCCAUGACUUAAUUACUCAUGUGUGUAUGUGGUCGAUGCUGUUUUAGGCUAAUGUGUGUUCUGUCUGGCCUCACAAGUGAGGCAUUCAACCCUGAUACAUAAUUUGGUAGGUUGAUGAAGAGGUUAGAUUGUACGAUAUAGUCUACGAAUGAUAACGUUCUGAUGGACAGGGGAACUUUCAGGUGAAUGUUGAUAAAGGAACAUACUCUUCUUCUAAUGGAUAUUUGGAAUAUUUUCCACUCCUUUUAAGCAAAUAAAUAACAGACGUGACAUUCUUAAGGAUGAAUUAAAAGCAAAGCAAUCCAUUGAAAUCAGUAGAAACUGGCGUGAGGGAGAAGAAAGAUAAUCAUCCAGAAAAUCGAUAUAAUGUAGUGUUUUGGUAGAAAAAUGAAGAAUCAUCAAAGUUAUGUGUAUGGGGUUUAACAUAUCUGCAAAAUAUUGGGUGAGUCGAGGUUACUACACAGAUAGUUUUUAUACGCAUUUGCUAAUUGAUCCUAAUGCUCAGUGAAUGUAGAAUCACUUAGGGCAGAAAGUAAAUAUAAAUAGCCGCAAUCAGGUUGUUUAAAAAGAGGCUGAUUGAUUUUCUUUUCUUAGAAAUAUGCUCACAGUUAUUUAUCCUCUGAAACUUUUUACUUGUCAUUUGCCAUACCAUAUCUGUGCACUUUGGCUCACUUUUUGCUUAAUGAAGACAGCCCUUUCUUUUUCCCUUUAUCUUGAACUAUGUGUUUGUUUUACAUACUUUCAUUGCUGCUGCACCUCAUGCAUUCUAUGCAACCUCUUCGAUCUUGCUGAAAGUAGGUGCGGAAGUCAGGUUGGAUUAACUUUAGCUGCAGCAUGAACUGAUUGGCACAGGGAAGGCAGGUAUAAAAUUAAACCCAACAGCUUUGAACCCACCUGACUGAAAAAAAAAACUUCCUGGCCUUAGUCAAUCCAAAUUCGGAACCAGAAUGCCGUCUGCCAGCCCAAACGAAUUAUAGCUUGAAAUAAGAUCAGGAUGCAUCUGUUCAACUUAUAGGCUACAUCAGUUAAUGAGCUAUUUUUGUUCCAGUCUGCAUGUAGAUCGACUGAAGCGGCCAUCCAUAUUCUGAUUUGAUCAUACAGGAUUGAAUAGCUUGUAAUUUGUGGUGACUCAGAGCUUAUGUUAUUUUCCUUGGGUUAUUGUGUUUCAAGCCGACCAAAUUUGACAAAAAAAUUAAGAGGGAUGUAUCUACAAAUUCAAAGGCGCAUUUAUAUAUUAAAUGAUAUUACAAUUGUGAAAGGUCUAAAAAAACUUCUAUAAGAUUUUAUUUGAGAGGAUUAAAUGUGAUUUGGAAGAUGUUCUUUUACAAUUCUCUUGUCAAAACCAUCGACAAGAUGCUGUUGAUAGGCUCCAUAUUUGUUACAAUGGUGACUUCUGCAUAUCAUUAAAUCUGAAAUCAAGCAAGUGAUGGAAGAUGAUGCUUUCUGAACAGCACCAGAUACAAGAUCCGUUUUGGAGAGAUGUGAUGAACUGCUUGAGCCAGAGGCAUAGUAUAUAUUCUAUAAUUUUUCAGUCUUCAUGUAUGUUUGGAAGGGGACCACCUGAGAAGAAAAUAAUAAAGGGUUGGGAUUUACUUGGAGUUUCACUGUAGUGUAAUGCAUUUACCUUGUUGCAUUUUAGUUAGGUUAGACAUCUGAGAGCGGCAUGAAAGACGGAUAAAAAUAUUGGAAACAUGUGAUAUACUCGGGAGACUUCAGGUGCCCUUGCUGUGGUGGUUAUGGUCCAUACAUUUUUACCUGGAGAAAAAAAGCAAUGAAAAUAUAUUCUAUGCUUGGCAGAGAACUGAGCUACGAACUAUUUUUUUGAGGAACGAAAAUACUCCUCUGUCUUGAGGGCCUCGGCCAGCUUCGUCUAGACUCUGGUGAGGUUGUACAGAGGGUUCGUGAGAGCACACUGGAAUGCCUGCUCGAACCUUUUUUCUAAAUAAAGGAUUUUUGGAACUUGUAGAAUCCACUUUCUCAGCCUUCUGUUUUAUAUCGGUUCCUUCAUACCGUAGUAAUCAUAUAUGAAGGCCUUACCUUUAUACAGCAGAAAAAGCUCCCUAAAACUGUGUAUUUCAUUAAAGUGCUCUGAAGUUGUUUGUUCUCGAUCUAUAGGAAAUUCCACUUAUUAGGAAUCAUUCUGGUUAAAGGACCGGUAGAGAUGUGAAUUAUUUAUUCGUUAGUUCCUGGGAGAUCCAUAGCAGCUAUAGGGCUGCAAGUACUAAAAAAAAUUGAGGUUCUUGAUCAGGUCCCGGCUGGUAUUGUACGGUUAUUUGGCUGGCCACUGAUGUCGUCUUUAAUGUUUCUACAGUUUACUUGUGUUUUAUUUUUACUAGUGGGUUUCUUAUUGGCGAUGAUUCAUUGAAAAAAAAAAAAAACGUACGCUGUAGAGCAGGAUGGGAUGAGACCAUAGAAGAGAAACCCAGUUAUCUCCUCCCUUCAUUCAGCAUACCCUCUAGUUUAGAAGCGUUGACCCUCUUCCAUUUUUCAGAUACCGAUGGAUUUGUGAUCCCAAGCUUGUCUAUCGGAGAUUCUGAGGGCGGCAAUCGCCAUGCUUCAGCAGUAGUAGACCCCGAACCGCCCUCCAAGGUAAUUCUCUCCUUCUGGGCAUCAUCUCGUAUGAUCAAAUUUUAUAGGAUGAGUGAUUCGUUUGCUCUUGUGGCAGCCCAUCAAGGAAGAGAAGAUCUACUUGGGACCCCACGGGGCUCCUCCUUCUCAGGCGAAACAGCAAGACCUCAACCUCUCCGGCAACAGGCUGCGGCCCAAGAACAAGCUGAAGGAAGCGGACCGCAGGUUUUCCGGCGCCGGACGGGAGAACAAGGUCGAAACCCUGCGGGAGCUUGUGGGCGGCAGCGCCAGGGCCAAGAGCACCGCCAUGGCUAAGGGUUCAGCCCGCGACUGGCUCGAUCCUCAUUAGAGAGGUCCCUCUCCUUCGCCGGUCAGACCUAGAAACAUACUGCAAGUUCGUCUGCGAUCGUCGCGAGGCGAUUACACCCGUUUAUAUAUGUUUAUGUACCCUUCUGGGCCCUGGAUAUGGCGCAUGAGACGUCGUGCGAAUUCAUCAGUUUUCUUGUCUUUACAAGCUCAGUUCUCAUGCUGUGGGAAAUCAUUCGGCCGGCAACGCCGCAGUCGGAUUGCCGAUCGGUUGGGGAGAUUUUGAAGGAGCGAGAUGUGCGCGCUACAACGGGGAGUUGUCUCCGCUAUCGGAUAGGGACCUUGAUCCACCCAUUGGCGAAUGCCACCGCCAGGAUGAUGAACGGCGUCGACAUGCCGAAGAUGAUGAUGUAGGGCAGCGGCGUCUUCAUGGGGUUCUCCCCCUCCCUCUCCCCCGCCGUCUGCCAGUACCUGCAAUUUUCCAGGCUCCGCCAUUGAUCCCCCGAAGAAGACGAACAAGAAGAAGAAGAAGCAAAAAUGGCCUCAGGAGGUUCCAGAGGGCGGCGGCUUACUGUUCGGGCUCUUCUUCCCUGGUGAUGAACUUCUUCUCCGGCUUCUUCCCCCCACCUACGACAGAAGGGGACCGAGAACUUCGUCACGGAGAUGGGACGACGGGAGUGAAAGGGACGCCCGUUUAGUUACCUAAUUGGGCGCGGAUACGGGUGGCGGUGGCCCUCCUGGACGGAGCGGCGGCGGCGGCGCCGCGGCGCCGCCCGGGGGCAGCCAGGCCGCCGGCGAUAGCAGGGAGGAGGAGCGCCGCCGCUUGUGCCAUCGUCUUCUUCAGUCCUCAGCAGGAAGGAAGCGACUCGCAUAUCUUGUACCCUCUCGUUUGGAGUGGAUAACGGAUAAGGUGGCGAGAUUUUCUCCGAGUGGCCCGGCGUAGCUCCUCCAUGGAGAGCGGCCAGCUGUUUACCGGACCGGGGCCCACCUCUGGGGGGGGCGAAAAUGGGCCAAAUCCAUUAACCCGUUAAGGGAUGAUUGGGCCUUAUGGGCCCAUCAUGGUGGGCCCAUCAUUGUUCCUGAUAAGGUAUUUUCUGACGGGGAUCUCGAUUUUUCAUGAGCGAGGAGACGGCGGCGGCGGGCGGCGGCGCUUGAGGGGAAACAAUGGCGUCAAUCCACAUCUCCUGCACCUGUAGCACUGCUACUGCGGCCGCUGCUCCUUCUUCCUCCGUGCUCCAGGACGGGCGCCGCCGUGCUUUCCCCUUUGCCUUCUUCCCCUCUUCUUCUCGCUUCCCCACAGUGACGCACUGUAAAAGGCCGGCUCCGCUAGCCAGGGUCUCCCUCCAUGACCCUGUUCCCCAGACCUCCGUAGAACCCCCCGCGGAAUCACAAGCGUCGCCGGAGAGGAAGGCCGCGGCUGCCGUGAGGAGCACCAUCUGGGUCAACCCUAAUAACCCGAGGGCCUCCCGCCUCCGGCAGCAGUCCUCGGAGUCCAGGUACGCCCGCCUCGCCCAGCUUGCUGAAGCUCUCGACUCCUGCAACCCCGCCGAGCUGGAGGUCGCUGAAAGGCUCUCUGUCCUGGGGGAGAAGCCGUCGGAGCAGGAGGCGGUGAUCGUGCUGAACAACAUGGGUAACCCCGAGACGGCCCUGCUUUCUCUCCGGUGGUUCCGGGAGAAGAUUAGAGUUAAGAAAGAUGUCAUCCUCUACAAUGUCACCCUGAAAGUCAUGAGGAAGUGCAGGAGCUGGGACGGGGCGGAGAGUCUACUGAAGGAGAUGCUGGAGAGAGGGGUAGGCCCCGACAACGUGACGUUCUCCACCAUAAUUAGCUGCGCCAGGGUGUGCAAUCUGCCUGAGAAGGCGGUGCAGUGGUUUGAGAGGAUGGGAGAAUUCGAUUGCCGACCUGACGACGUCACCUAUUCGGCGAUGAUUGACGCCUAUGGUCGCUCGGGUAACGUCGAUAUGGCCAUGAAGCUGUACGAUCAGGCUCGAGAGGAGAAGCGAAGGCUGGACCCUGUGACUUUCUCCACGGUGAUCAAGGUAUAUAGCACCUCGAACAAUUUUGACGGCGCACUGAAUGUGUACGAGGAAAUGAAGGCGCUGGGAGUGAAGCCCAACUUGAUUACCUAUAACACGCUGUUGGAUGCGAUGGGCAGAGCAGGCAGGCCAUGGCAGGUGAAGACCAUAUAUCGAGAGAUGGAGAGCAGUGGCUUCUUGCCCAACCGCGCAACGUAUGCAGCGCUGGUGCGUGCCUACGGUAGGGCUCGUUAUCCAGAGGAUGCCCUCAGGGUUUACAGAGAGAUGAAGGGGAAAGGCAUAGAGCUGAAUGUGGUCCUCUGCAACACCCUCUUGGCCAUGUGUGCCGACCUGGGCUAUGUGGACGAAGCCGUGGAGAUAUUCGAAGAGAUGAAAAGAUCACCCGAGCUCUGCAAACCGGACAGCUGGACCUACUCUUCUUUGAUCACCAUCUAUUCUUGCAGUGGGCAGGUCGAAGAGGCGGAGGGCAUCUUCAAUGAGAUGGCGGCCUCUGGGUUUGAGCCUAACAUCUUCGUGCUCACCUCCCUCAUCCAGUGCUAUGGAAAGGCCAAGAAGAUUGACAGCGUUGUCGAGACCUUUGACCGCAUGCUGAAAUUGGGUAUAACACCAGACGACAGGUUCUGUGGUUGUCUUCUGAAUGUGCUCACUGAAGCCCCGCAAGAAGAGCUGGGGAAGGUAAUCGAAUGCAUCAGUAGAGCAAAUCCCGCAUUGGGUUCGUUAGUCAACCAGCUUGUGGACGAGAAAGUCAAGGACGAGGUGAUCAAAGUUCAGGCUGAGGAGCUAUUCACAAACAUUGGCAAGGAAGUGAAGAAGGCUUACUGUAAUUGCUUAACUGAUCUUUGCGUCAACCUGGAUAUGCUGGAGAGGGCGUGCGUGCUCUUGGACAUGGCUCUCAGGCUGGGGAUUUACUCCGGUCUUCAGUCAAAAUCCACCACCCAAUGGUCCCUUCAUGUGAGGAGCCUCUCACUCGGGGCGGCUCUGACAGCCUUGCAUGUCUGGAUGAACGAUCUAUCCAGGGCACUGGAAAACGGCGAGGACCUGCCACCAUUGCUGGGUAUAAACACUGGUCAUGGGAAACAUCGAUACUCAGAGAAAGGAUUGGCGUCUGCCUUUGAAUCCCAGCUGAGAAAGCUGAAUGCGCCUUUCCAUGAGGCCCCAGAUAAGGUGGGCUGGUUUUUGACGACGAAGGUUGCUGCCAAACCAUGGUUGGAGUCGAGGAACUCACCUACCGUUGCUGCUGUCUAGGCUACGAUGGAUAUAACUUUUUUUUUUAAUAUAAGAUCUCCAGGCAAUAUAUAUUUCUCUUGAGUGUUCCGUUAUUUUUGUGCCCACAUAGUCUUAUCAAGUUUCUGUGUUAUUUUCCUCGCGGCAUAUCGCACUGUACCAACGGUACCUCAUUGUUCCUAAACCGAGCAACGAGGGUGCUUCUAGAUUGGUGUAUUGAAAAUGAGGCGGAAUCUCAUCUUCAGGAGGCUUAUUGGAACGCAUCCGCAAUGAUACUGCUUCUGAAAUAAAAUCUCUACUGCAAUGAAGUUUUUUUGCAAGGUUGAGCAUGGAUGAGCAUCAGACUGCAGAUCAGGCGGUUGCCCUCUUGCCAUAGCGCGUCCCUUUCAGAAUGGCGCUGCCUCUGAAGCCGAUAAGGAUCUGCCAGGGAGAAGAUGGGCGUUCCUUGGGAUCACCUAACCAGAGGUCUCUUGGCCCUGAGGGGUCUGGAGAGAUUUUGGCAAGCCUGCCAGGAGGAAGAAGAACCUGUGCGUUCUCUUCCAGGGAGGCCGCCAGGGAGAAGGAGCUUCCUCAGCCCCAGUUCUGUUUAGUGGCCUGGCGUGGUCUGAGUGUUCCUGAGCUGGUGCUUUCUAGUAAUCCGCUUGCCUUUGGGGGGUCCAAUGGCUUCUCAGGCUUGCCAACAGUUGCCUUCUGCUUGCUGCUCCCGACUCUCUGGAGAAGAAGACAGAGAAGAGCUUCAUUUAGGUAUAUGACACCACUACAGAAAAACUUAAUUCAAAUUACUCCUGAAUUUUCUCUACUAAUAUCAUAUAUCUAAUUUCAAAGAAUUUUUGACAUCUCAUUUGAAUUUGAUUGAAAUGAAAGUGCGGGAAUAAUUACUACCUUAAUUGGUCUCAAUUUUGGAAUUGGGAAGAAUAUAGAUAAUAAAUAUUAUAUAGAAGAGAGAUACUUUAAGAAGACAUUACUACCUUAACAUUAGGAAGAAGACUUUAAUUCAUUGGAGUAACUCUUUUUUUCUUUAGUGAAGAGGUAAUUGGGACAGAGAAUAAAUAUUAUAUAGCAGAUAGAAAUAGAGGAGGAAAAUCCAUAAACUAAUGUAACUGGAUGAUUUGAGAUUGUCAAUCUCCUUAUAUGAUCAGUCUUCACUUACCAGUUCCUAUGAAUGUAAUCACUCUUUUAUAAUAUUAACAAUAACUUACUUAUGUUACUUUAGUAGUUAGAUAUAUCGCCCACAAUCAGUUUAUUAUACUAAAAAUAUUUGCAGGCCAACCUACGUGUUAUUGUUGUCCAAAGAUCAGAUACUUUUCCUCCACAGUGGGUCUAGUAGUGAGAGCGUCCCAUCAUAUCCAUCUAUAUACUAUGUUAUAAAUAGUCAUCUCGUAGCUAUAGUAUCGACUUGAUUCUCAAUUAUACUCUAAGGUCCUCUCUGCAAUGACUUUGACUUCUAGCAAGAUGAUUUAGUGGAAGGAUGAUGUUGGUAGAAACAAAUAUUUUAUUUUUAGUUCAAACCUAGUGGAACCAAGUCCUAUUAGGGAUGCUACUCAACAUCUACUCACCACAAAGCUUCUGAUAAGAGUGUUGGUCCAUUUGAGAUUUAAGUGUGGCCCUUUUUCGUACUAUUGAAACUCAUAUUUUCUACUAUUGAUGAUGGCCUAAGAUCAGUAUAUUGAAUUUCAUCCAUAAUUUAAUAAUUUGUCCUCACAUAGUGAGGAAUUAAUCAUAUGAAGGUCAUGCUGUAUUUUAGUAAUUUAUUCACUUCUUGUGAACUUUAAUGUCCCCACAUUGGCCAUGCUUGUCUUGAUCAUGUUGCUCCCUCUUGUCCAACGUCUUUUGAUUAACUCUUUCACUUCUCAAUUAUUACAGUUCAUAUUGGUCUACAAAGGACGAAAGUCCUUGUUAUUUCAUAGUAAAUUUUAUUUUUUUAUCAGUCUCCUUGAUGCAUACAUAGAGAGAGAGAGAGAGAGAUCAAAAUUUUUUAGCUAUGAAGCUAUCCAUCAUGACUAUAGCAAGUACUGACACUAAGAUGAUUCAUUGCAUAAGUGAUCAAGAUUAUAAUUUCUUUUCUUCACAUAUUGUGUGCAUGUGUACCUACCUCUUCACAUUAAUUCAUUGUCCUGAAAUAAAAUUGCACAUGACAUAAAUAUAUUUUCAGCAUGCUUGCAUCAAAUUUGGAACAUCCUUUUGGUUCUUUCUAGCAAAAUAUAUCAUUUUUAUUAUCACAGACGUAAGGUAGCUACAUCUGAGGUAAAGAGCUCUCAUUCUUCAUGCGAGUUACACAAUAUUGGGCGCAAUGAGAUUUUCCCUUCUAAUAUUUUGAGAUAAUUUUCUUCCUAAUGCUCCUUUUGCAUCCUUCUCUCGCCGCAUGAGGAGAAUUGCAAGUGCGUAAAUACAAUUUUUCACGCGGUUAUAACACGUGGAUUGUCUGCAAGUUUGAGUUCAAUUUUUCCAUUGGGUCUAGAACAUAAUUAAAGCACGUUCCUGAUGAAUGCCAGUCAGUACCUUCUCGAUCUCUCUCUCUCUCCCUCUACCUUCUCGAUCAAGAACCUGUUCCUGCUUCCCGCCACCUUUUCACUCUCCCUCUACCUUCUCGAUCAAGAACCUUCUCCCGUCGAGAUCCGAGGGAAUGACCACCCUCUACCCUGCUCUGCCCCCCAACCCCUUCAAGCGGAACCACCUGCCGGACGGCCUUUCCGCCCCUCCGCCUCCGGCCUAGAAGAGGAGGCUCGGCGCCGCCGGCGGGUCCUCGGACGACUCCGACGACGGGUGGCUGCGCUCCGUGCUCGCCCGCGAGUCGGUCGCGUCUUCAUCCUCUCGGGGGGCGACGACACCGAGACCGCGCGCCGUCGCGACACCUAUUCGCCGGGGGUUUCACCUGGACGUGGGCUCCUCCUACCGGCCGAAGAAAGGACAGAGCCCGCUCGGCGAGGACGCGCACUUCAUCAGCGACGCAGGAAACGCCUUCGGCGUGGCCGACGGGGUCGGCAGCUGGAGCCGGUGGGGGAUCGACGCCGGCGAGUUCGCCCGGCAGCUCAUGUCCUCCUGCGAGGCACAGAUCAAACUACUCUCCAACCGUGGAGUCAUCGGGACCACCCUANNNNNNNNNNNNNNNNNNNNNNNNNNNNNNNNNNNNNNNNNNNNNNNNNNNNNNNNNNNNNNNNNNNNNNNNNNNNNNNNNNNNNNNNNNNNNNNNNNNNNNNNNNNNNNNNNNNNNNNNNNNNNNNNNNNNNNNNNNNNNNNNNNNNNNNNNNNNNNNNNNNNNNNNNNNNNNNNNNNNNNNNNNNNNNNNNNNNNNNNNNNNNNNNNNNNNNNNNNNNNNNNNNNNNNNNNNNNNNNNNNNNNNNNNNNNNNNNNNNNNNNNNNNNNNNNNNNNNNNNNNNNNNNNNNNNNNNNNNNNNNNNNNNNNNNNNNNNNNNNNNNNNNNNNNNNNNNNNNNNNNNNNNNNNNNNNNNNNNNNNNNNNNNNNNNNNNNNNNNNNNNNNNNNNNNNNNNNNNNNNNNNNNNNNNNNNNNNNNNNNNNNNNNNNNNNNNNNNNNNNNNNNNNNNNNNNNNNNNNNNNNNNNNNNNNNNNNNNNNNNNNNNNNNNNNNNNNNNNNNNNNNNNNNNNNNNNNNNNNNNNNNNNNNNNNNNNNNNNNNNNNNNNNNNNNNNNNNNNNNNNNNNNNNNNNNNNNNNNNNNNNNNNNNNNNNNNNNNNNNNNNNNNNNNNNNNNNACGGUCGUCGUCAUCACGGUGCGCACCGUGAAGAAUGCUCUGGCCGCCUUCUGUUCUCCCAACCAGCAGCAUCACCGCAGCUGACACACCUCGUGCUGAUCAAAUCAGGUGGAAGCCGACGAGAAUCCAAGAAACGCCAUCAAGGAACGAGACCAUCGACGCUCCGCGAUGGGUCGAGGUACGCACACAGCCUCGGAGCGUUUAAAUCCUCGGAGCAUCCAUUUUAUGUCGUUCUUAGCCAUCCAUCUCCGGUACCCUACCCUCUGCAUUCUGACGCACUGGAUGUGGCUCGCAUGCGCAGACGAAGAGCACAGAAUAUGCCUGUGGAUGAAGGACCUCUGCAUCGGCAAGUCAAAGACGAAAGCCGACUGACUACAGAGGAACACAGAAAACGUCCAUCAUCUAACUUGCGAGGAUUAUUCGAGGGCCCUUCCCGCUUUCGCUGUUCAAAGUUUGGAUCAGCAAUGAAAGAAGCAAAUUUUUACUCUCUGAGAUUUGGCCCAGCCGUCCUUUUUACGCAACGUUCAGACAGCAGUAUCAACAUACUAUUAUCCAAAGAAGAGCUUGCACGAUAUUCAUUGGCCUCUGUGUCUGUGUGGGGGUCAGUUUGAGAACACAGAGGAAGAGAAGGUGUCCUAUCUUACGGAGUCAGUUUUUAUGGACUCGAUCUUGCACACACCCGCCGACGUCGUCAGGGGCAAAUCCGUGUAACACGCCGUCAGCUCUGAAUCUGUGCGUAGAUCCGGCUGCAACGCCUCCCAGAUUUUCUUCUUCGGGUUCAGCAGCUCAUCCGGGUCGCCUGGGCAUCCGGGGAAGCUUACUCUUUCCCCCACGCGGGAAGACGCCGGCGGCUCAACCAGCUCCACCUGAAGCAGUUUACAUUUGAGGGGAGGAGAAAAGGAAGAAGAUGAUGCCACGGCAGAACCCACCCUAUGGAUUCAAUCCAGAGUCUCUCUGUGGCUGUUGGUGUGAGAGACGCAGAGAGAAUAAGAACAGGGGGAGAGCAGGGAAUGGCUCACCUUGGUCCCAUUGGAAGCAGCCAACAGCAUCGCGCCUGAUUUCACCCCUCGCAUUGCGGCCGGUUUCAGGUUGCACAGAACGCAAACCUUGCGAUUCUGCCCAUGGAGGAAGAGAAACACUUGGCGUCAACGGCGGAGAAAGGCAGGGACAGUCGACGGAAGUGAGAUAACCUGCCUGCAUAUCCUCAAGAGGAACGUGGGCGACGAGCCCACUAACUACGGUUCUCGUCGAUGCUUCCCCUACGUCGAUCUCUUCUACAUAAAGGGAGUCGGCAGCGGGAUGCUUCUCAACUCCGACAUUCCCCCUCUGACUUUGGUUUUGACUCCGCUUGCGGCGUAGCAUCUCAUACCAGAGGAAUAAAAAAUAGAACAAAUGCCUAUCAUAGGAAGAAGCAAGAGAUUGUCUUCAACAAAACAAAACUAGGAGACGCUCAUUCCUUAUUAGGACUCACAAAGGUCUGUUGGUUAGAAAAUAACAUCUCCAAUAUAUAUCCUUACCGUCAUUACCAGAAACACCAAUAUUUUUACUUUUGGAGAACUUUCCGACAUGUGAAGGAACAAUAAAACCAGGUAAUUAGAAAUGUAUCCAGUUGUUUACUAUGUCAACACGCACAAAAUGAAGAGACCAAAUAUUAAAAUAUUUUUCUUGAUAUUGUUAAGUAGUGAGAGGGAUGUGGUUCAGAUUGGAUCUAGCCAACUAGGUCAGCCAAAAGCUGCCUUAAAUUUGAAAAAAACUUGUACAUGCAUUUUUUUUAGCUGGUAAGUCGGUAACUGGCCACAAUGAGAACCACAAGAGGUCAUGUCAGCCAACCCUUGCCUAAAGACUUUUAGUUACAUGCACUUUUGGUUUGGUGACCAGGGACACUAAUCUAUGACUAUUUUGGUAUCUCAAUAUCAUGUUACUUCCUUUUUUUCAAUUUUAUACCACACUAUACUUCUUUUGUUUUGAAUGUAGGGAACUACAUGCAUACUUCUUCACAUCAAAACCAAAAGGAUUGAACCAACACAUUUAUUUACACUGAAGAGUGUCUUCUGCCACUAAUGAUACCUAUGAGAUGAUGCAGGACACUUUUUGUCACACUAGUAGUUGCCACACCACAUUAUGCAAAUAAGUUAUGUUACCCUGGCACUAGCCAAAACUCAAGCUAAGCUAUCCCAACCACAUCAUCCGUGCAUACCUCUCAAUGUUUAACUUGAAAUUAAGUAACAUACAUUCAUCUAAAAUCAUCAUGUAGGUUGUCCACGAUUAGAGGCAAUUUUGAAUGUAAAAAUCUUCCAAGAUACAUUUAGUUUCCACUAUUUGAUUUUUUUGUCGUUGCUAAGAAAAUUCAGAAAAUUUAAAAUUUCUAAAAUAUGGAAAAUACAGUAAUUUAAGAUAUAAAUAUUUUUGUAGUAGAUUUUCUAGGUCGAUCUCAAAAAAGAUGUAAUACUAUUAAUUAGUUUUUUUAACUAAUAAACUAUUUUUUGAAAUUAAUUUCUUGUAAACUUUAAGCAAUAUAAGCUUAAAUUAUGAAUUUGGGGGUUAAUGACAUCAACUGAUGUCAUCCCAAGACAAACACCCCCAAAGUCAAAGUUGUUGGAAAUAUGCCAACUCGUAGAUUGAUCAAAUUGACAUUAGAAUCAGUGAAUAAAGUAUUAAUGUCAAAGGGUUUUUGUUCAUAACAUCAUAGAGGAUUGAAUAAUAUUUAUUAUAUUCUAAAAAUAAACAAAAUAAAGGUAAAACAAAGUUUACAGACAUAGUGUGUGAUGUAGUCAUAUAUUAGAUUUCUAUCCAAAUACAAUCAAUUUGUGUAGGUGAAGCACACUAAUUAGAUGCCUACAUCUUUUCUAAUCCAUUAUUGCAAUCUCAACAACUACAACUUAUUAAAAUUAAGCAAUGAAGGUAAUUUGACUAUAAUGUACUAUGGCGUCUAUAGAAAAAUUCACAAAAGAAAAUUUUCACUGUUGAAGAGAAGAAUAUUAAGAGUUCAUUAACAAAAUUCAGCCUAUGUAGUAGUUGAAUGAAGGAGAAAUUUGAACAAAAUGCAUUGUUUGUAUUAGAUGGAUGAGUUGGGGGUAAUAUAACAUUUGUAAAAACUGAAUGAGAGAGGUUUUGAUUCAAAAGGGAGACAGAAUAAUAGGUGAUGCAUUCUUUCUCUCUAAAAAUAGCUUUGUAAUCUUCCAUGUGUAGAUUUCGUUGAUUUAUUUUAACUAUUUGUCUUAUUUCUUGCCACAAUUGAUGUGUCCGUUGUUGGUUCAAAAACCUUGGAAAGAUUUGAUUUUUUGUUAGUUUUAAUCAAGUAUGAAUAAAAAUUAAAAAUUUUGAGUUAUAACAUGAUUUUGAAUUGAAAUUUGUCAUUUUACUUGACUAAUUUCUUCAUGGAGAAUCAAUCAAUCAUUCAUCAUGAUUUUUCUUGAGUUUUACAGGAUUUUCAUCGAUUUUUUAUGAAUUUGAUGAUUUUUAUAAAAUUUCCUUAAUAUUUAUAUAAAAUCGAAAUUAAUACAAUAAUAUUCUCAAAAAAUUUGAGAAAAAAAUACGUGAGAAAAUAUUUCAUAAUAUAACAUGAUUAAUUUCAUAGUGUAAUUAUUAUAAAUUAACAUUAAAAUCAUAUAAAUUAUUUUAAAUAUAAUAUCUUUUAAAAUUAAACUAUUUUGAAAACAUUUUUAUUAAAAUUAAAGUAUAAAGCACAAAAAUAUUUAAAAUAUUAUCAUGUAAAUAUUGAGAGUAUCAGUUACCAAAUGUAUAACCCACAAGAAAUGUAACCCCACCAUCAUCACAAAUUUUUCAACAAGAGAGAGAAAGAGAGAGAGAGAGAUANNNNNNNNNNNNNNNNNNNNNNNNNNNNNNNNNNNNNNNNNNNNNNNNNNNNNNNNNNNNNNNNNNNNNNNNNNNNNNNNNNNNNNNNNNNNNNNNNNNNNNNNNNNNNNNNNNNNNNNNNNNNNNNNNNNNNNNNNNNNNNNNNNNNNNNAGAGAGAGAGAGAUUCCAUAAGAACAUAAGAGACAAAUUUCAUAAGAUUCAAAUGUUCAAAGCAUUUGUCUUCUACUAUUAUAACAAUUUGUUGUAUUCCACGCAUGUCCUCCAAACAUACCUAAUAUGAUAUUGAUUUAUAUUUGUGGGUUGAAAAUUGAGAUUAUUUAAUUGAUUACUUAUAGAGUUGUCAUGUAAAAAUAAUAAUGUAGGGCCCCAUAGAGGCUUGAUCUAGAAGAAGGUUUUUAAGUGAAAUCUUAAGGAAGCAAAGCAUGUGAAAUUAGUGGUUGUGAUUUAUACAAUCAUUUAGUGGAACCCAAUGACAUGAAGUGUCUUUAAAGAAUGAAUGUAAGCCAAUGUCAAAUUACUAUAAAAAUAGUGUCCAUAAUAACAACCUAUUAAGAAUUAACUCAGUAAAAGAGUGACUAGGAGUUCAAAAUGAGAAAUCAUUCAAAAAAAAGAAAAGGUAAAUCAAUUCAACCCCCUUUCUUGAUGAUCACUAGCCUCAAACCCAACCAUGUAAACUUCACAAUAAAAUCUAAUGGCUAGACUAUGUAUUGAGAUGUGAAAUUAUGAGUUACCCUAAUAUUAAAUGAUUAUAGUAACUUGUUUGAUGACAAUUUUUUUCUUGAAACUUAAUAACUCACCUAAGAAACUUUUUAUGAUUGAAUUGAAAAAUACUUUGCGUUGCAAUACCUUCAUUUGCAAUUUAAUUUUUCUUAGUGUCAUUCAAUCCCUUAUUAUUCAAAUCUAUUUUUUAUGAUUAAAAUAUGUAAUUUACUUAAUCAUCUACAUUUUACAUAAAUUUUCAUGGUGAAAAAAAAACUUAUACUUGUUGUACUUGGAUUUCGGCAAAGGUUAGAUUGACCUUCUUAUUUUAUCUUGUAAGUAAACUUCAUGUGCUAAUGACCUUCACACUUUGAUCCUUAUUGUUGUUGUCUUCUUGUCCUAAAUGAAACAUUUCUAGUCUUUUCCACGUGAAGUAAUUAUAAAAAAAAUAGCAACUUUCCCAAAACUUUGAGUCUCAAUACUUAUUAGUGCUCUCAAAAUGUUUAAUUGUGAUAUUUUUUAUUUCCACCUUCUUGGAGGUCCUCAUCAUGGCCUUUGAGAUAAUGUCUUCUCAUAGUUUUUUGGUGUGUGGACUACCGCGUGCCCUGGCUGUUUGUCAUAAUUUCAAUUUAAUAUCCCUAGUGUAUUUAUCAUAUAAAUAUGCAUUUUCUAUAUUUUAUUUUAACAGAUAACGGUGAUAUCAAUUUAUUUUUUAGGUAAAAUUCCUGGAGGCUUUUAGCACAUUUUUUCACGAGGAACAGGGCUUUGGUGAUUUUUUUAGUAUUUUAACCGUCUUAUUACAGGGGUUUUAUCAAGGGUGUCAUUCUGUAAUCUAUUUGUUCAACCAGCCAUUCCUUGAAAUCCAAUAUCACUAUGGAUGGGUCUUUUUUCCAAGGGACAAUAUUCAAAGGGAUAAAAAAAAGGAUAUGCCCUCCUCCAGCCGUACAGUCGCCCCACUGAAGAGACAGCCAUGGGGCCCACUUCACGUGGAUUCGAUCAUCUUUUCUUCGGUCCACCGUAUCUUUCUCCGCGCUCUGCGUUCAUCUCCCUUGCCCUCUGCACUGUACGCCGUACACGUGUCCUGGAGUUCUAUAUUUAUCGUGGAUGCUGCGGUCAGACAAAAAUAACCUCAAGAACAAGGGACUGAACAGUAAUUUUUCACUGUCGUACAGAUGCGUUGCACCUGCCUGUAUGGGCGCCGCCAAGUGGAUGUGGGGGUUGGAACGGAGGGGAUUGCGUUGGGUGAUGUGGGCCCCGCUUAGGAUAAAACCCAACAAAAUUGGAAUAAUUUGUAAUUUGGGUAUAAAUAUCGGAGUCUCCAUUCCGGGUGCUCUGGUCUGUUACCGAGGAUGGGUUUCUAGUGGGUUUUGCCCUCAUCGUCGUCCUCAGGGAGGGGGGGGGUGGCAGAUCGCCAGGAUCUUAGGGUUCGCGAGGAAAUCGUCGGGCCAUUCCCUUUUCCUGGGAUUUUCUCUCGUGAGGAAGGAAGGUCCAAGAUCGCAUUUUUCUACAUCUUCCGCUGGUCUUCCUUCCUUUCUUCCCGGGAGAUGUAUGGGGGGGAAGCUCUCUGGUGUCUGUGCUGAAUCUUUCCGAUAGCUCUGGAUGUGGUUCUCGAGGGUUGAGGGAUUUCUGUCUAUUUGCCUCGUGGAAGGAAGGAGAAGCCGGAAAAGGGGUGGGUCGUGUGACGGGAAGGGGGGGUAGAUCCGGCGAGGGAUGAUACAUGUCGUCGGCGUCGAACAAGGCUUCUUGUUCUCGGAGCAGCUCCGGUCGCUCCAAGAGCGGCGCCCGCCUCGUCGCCCAGACCACGGAGGAUGCGAGGCUCAACGCGGAGUUCGAGCAAACGGAGCGGCCGUUUGAUUGUUCCUCCUCGAGUGGCGGCGCCGCCGCCGCGGCCAACAGAUCGGGCGGCAGCGCACCGUCGUCCGCCGCUGUGUCCGCCUACCUCCAGAGGAUGCAGCGGGGAAACCUCAUCCAGCCGUUCGGAUGCGUGAUCGCUGUGGAGAACCAGACAUUCGCCGUCAUCGCCUUCAGCGAGAAUGCUCCCGAGAUGCUCGACCUCGCCCCUCACGCCGUCCCCAGCAUCGAGCAGCGAGAGGCCCUCUCGAUCGGCACAGAUGCGCGCACCCUCUUCCGGUCUCAGAGCGCCGUCGCGUUGCAGAAGGCCGCCGCCUUCGGGGACGUCAACCUCCUCAACCCGAUUCUAGUGCAUUGCAAGAACUCUGGCAAACCGUUCUAUGCAAUCUUGCACAGGAAUGACGUGGGUCUGAUCAUUGACUUGGAGCCCGUUAACCCAUCGGAUGUGCCCGUGACAGCCGCCGGAGCGCUCAAAUCAUACAAAUUGGCGGCAAAAGCCAUAUCCAGGCUGCAGUCCCUGCCCAGCGGCAACAUCUCCCUCUUGUGCGAUGUCCUCGUCCGGGAGGUGAGGGAGCUCACCGGCUAUGACAGGGUGAUGGCCUACAAGUUCCACGAGGAUGAACAUGGAGAAGUCAUAUCCGAGUGUCGCAGGUCAGACCUGGAACCUUACCUGGGCCUCCAUUACCCUGCCACUGAUAUUCCGCAGGCUUCAAGGUUUCUGUUCCUGAAGAACAAGGUCAGGAUGAUUUGCGACUGUGCUGCCCAGCCCGUUCGGAUAAUCCAGGAUAAGAGGCUGGCCCAGCCGCUGAGCUUGUGCGGGUCCACUCUGAGGGCGCCCCAUGGCUGCCAUGCUCAGUACAUGGCUAACAUGGGUUCCAUCGCCUCCCUCGUCAUGUCUGUCACCAUUAAUGACGACGACAUCGACCAUGACGGCGAGCAGCCGCAGAAGGCCUUGAAGCUCUGGGGACUGGUGGUGUGCCACCACGCGAGUCCCAGAUUCGUCCCAUUUCCGCUCAGAUAUGCUUGUGAAUUUCUCAUGCAAGUCUUCGCCAUCCAAUUAAACAAGGAGGUAGAGUUAGCUGCCCAGACGAGGGAGAAGCAUAUUCUCAGGACGCAGACGGUUCUCUGCGACAUGCUCCUGAGGGACGCGCCUGUGGGGAUCUUCACGCAGUCGCCUAACGUGAUGAAUCUUGUGAAGUGCGAUGGCGCAGCGCUCUAUUACCGGAACCAGUUCUGGUUGCUUGGAGUGACGCCCACAGAGGCACAGAUAAGGGACAUCUCUGGGUGGCUCAUCGAUUGCCAUAAUAACACCACUGGUUUGAGCACGGACAGCCUUUCGGAAGCAGGCUAUCCGGGCGCUUCGUCUCUGGGUGGUGCGGUGUGUGGAAUGGCUGCUAUCAGGAUCACCGGCAGGGAUUUCAUAUUCUGGUUCAGGUCCCAUGUGGCGAAUGACAUCAAGUGGGGAGGCGCCAAGCAUGAUCCGGCGGCCAAGGGAGACGAGGGCAGGAAGAUGCAUCCCCGCUCUUCGUUCGAGGCGUUCUUGGAGGUGGUGAAGCGGCGGAGCCUUCCGUGGGAGGACGUAGAAAUGGACGCCAUCCAUUCCUUGCAGCUCAUCCUGCGGAGCUCCUUGAAGGACGAGCUCGAGAACGACAGCUCGAAAGCCGUCGUGAACUUCAUCUCAGAAGACGCGAAGAGGAUCCAGGGCGUCGACGAGCUGCGAACGGUGGCCAAUGAGAUGGUCCGCCUCAUUGAAACAGCUACGGUUCCCAUUGUGGCCGUCGACACCCUGGGGAAUGUGAAUGGAUGGAACGUCAAAGCAGCAGAAUUGACAGGCCUGCCUGUGGAGAAAGCCAUCGGCACGCCUCUGGUAGAUCUGGUCGAGGACGAAUCUGUUGAAGUUGUCAGGAACAUGCUCUCCUUGGCGCUGCAAGGUGGUAUCGCAUUCUUCGUGUUGUUUAGCAUCUGUUCACGUCCUGCACUUUCCUUCCUGAUCACAGCUGUUCUAACUCUCUUGCUUGCUCGCUUGCUUGCUUCAUGGCAGAUAAAGAGGAGCAUAAUGUCGAAAUGAAGCUGAAAAACUUCAGCUCCCAAGAAAAUGGCCCCCCCAUCAUCCUGCUCGUAAACGCCUGCUGCAGCCAUGACGGGAGGGACAACGUCGUCGGCGUCUGCUUCGUUGCACAUGAUAUCACAGGGGAGAAACUAAUACUGGACAAGUACACUCGCAUCCAAGGAGAUUACAUCGCAAUUAACAGGAACCCCAACACUCUCAUCCCUCCCAUAUUCAUCAUCAACGAGUUCGGCAGCUGCAUCGAGUGGAAUGCGCCCAUGCAGAAGCUCACUGGUCUGAGAAGGGAGGAUGCAGUGGACAAGAUCCUGGCCGGGGAGGUUUUCAGUGUUCAGAGCUUUGGAUGCCGGGUCAAAGACCAUGACAUGCUGACGAGGCUGAGGAUCGUCUUGAAUGGAUUGAUAGCAGGGCAUGAUUCUGAGAAGCUGAACUUUGGGUUUUUUAACACGAAUGGUAGAUAUGUGGAAGCAAUACUUUCCGCAACCAAGAGGACCGAUUCUGAGGGGAGGGUCACAGGGGUGUUCUGUUUUCUGCACGCGGCAAGCUCGGAGCUUCAGCACGCUCUGCAGCUACAGAGAGUGUCACAAGAGGCUGCAACGAAGUACGUAAAGGGGCUAGCUUAUAUCCGCAGGGAAGUGAGAAAUCCACUCCAAGGCCUGGCAUUUACUCGCAGUCUCAUGGAAGCCUCUGAACUUACUGAAGAGCAGAAGCGGCUUCUGAGAACGGCCACUCUGUGUCAGGAGCAGCUGGCCAAGAUCGUAGAUGACAUGGACUUGGAGAGCAUUGAGGAUUGGUAUGCUUCAUCCUAUCUUAUUUUACUGCUGUUUUUUCUGCAUCACGAGUCGUCUCGAUCGAUAAAUUAGCUGGACAAGGAGUGGUUUAUAUCGUUCUAACGACGAUGCCCAUUCGUCUCUUGAUUUCCGAUCAGCUACAUGGAGAUGAGCAGCAGCGAAUUCAACCUUGGCGAGUCCCUGGAGGCCGUCAUGAGCCAGGGAAUGGCUAUGAGCAAGGAGAAGGAAGUGUCCCUCGUCCUCGAAGCGCCUGCUGAGGCCUCCCGCAUGAGCCUGUCUGGGGACAGCCUGCGGCUCCAGCAAGCCCUCUCGGACUUUCUUCUGAAUGCGCUCCGUUUCACAUCACCACGCGAAGGGCCCGUCAUGCUCCGCGUCACGCCAAGAAUCGAGAGAAUCGGAAUGUCAAUGCAGAUUGCCCACCUCGAAUUCAGGUACCCCUUGAGAUAUCACGGUUACCCUGUUUGAAGAUCGCCAUUGUCAUCGUCAUUUCGAUGCAGUCCUCUGACUGAAUCGUAUAUGCUUUCCCAGGAUUGCACACCCUGCACCAGGGAUCCCGGAUGCGCUGAUUCAAGAGAUGUUCCACCAUAAAAAGGAGAUAUCAAGAGAGGGCCUCGGCCUGUACAUCAGUCAGAAGCUGGUGAAGAUCAUGGGCGGGACGGUGCAGUAUCUCAGGGAGGCUACCAGCUCCUCCCUCAUCGUCCUCCUAGAGUUCCCCGUGGCUCAGCUUGGCGAGCCGUGAAAGCUGAGCUGAAGAACACAGAGCGAUGGUCGAUGGCGGCCCUGCCUCAGCCGUUACAGUAGAAAGGAUUGUUAACAUGAGGCACCAUGAAGGAACACCCAUGUAAGAUCAACACAAGAAAUAGAAGAGAGAGAGAGUGUUGUAGUCAAGAGGUAGAAGAGACUGCUUCCACGCUUUAAGCUUGGCGAGUGGCGCAUGAGGAAAUCAUGUGCCACUCGCCAGGUGCCACAUGAUUUCCUCAUGUAUGAAGGACUAAUUCAUGUAAUCUAAGCUCGAACUGCAACUCUGUGACCUGAAUCAGUACAUAUCCCAUGGUUACAGGGUAGAUUACAGAUUCACUCCUUUGGCAGGAAUCACCCGUUUGGCAGGAGACUUAAACGUUGACUGAAAAUUACAAAAUGCUCAGCACGCGCCCAGUUGACCUACGCGGACUAGUCGAGGAACUCCAGGCCAGAGGCAGAAGGAAGCAAGCCGUGGUCUGCGAGGUACUCAUCGUUGUAGAACUUGCUGAGAUGCCUCAUGCCGCUGUCGCACAGGAUGGUGACGAUUGUGUGGCCUGGCCCCAUCUCCCGUGCCAGCCGGACGGCCCCAACGCAGUUCAUGGCUGAUGAACUGCCCACGAACAACCCAUCAUUCCUCAGAAGAAACCUGAAAGCCAAGAGUCAGAUUCAUUCGAUUAAACACCAACAAAUGGGUUCAUUCUCAUAUGGACCUGGACAUCUCCACAGCCUCCCUAUCCGUGCCUCUGUACGCACCAUCAAGCUCCGCCAGCAAAAAGUUCUGGGUAAGCCGGUUGAUCCCGAUGCCUUCGGUGAUGGUGUCAAACGGGUUCUUCAGCCUGCUCCCCUCGGCCUCUUCUCUGGUAUACAUCACUCCUCUGGUUACCUUGUUGAACAGGCCCGAGCCAGGAGGAUCAACCAGGAAGCACUUGAUAUCUGGGUUUCUGCCCUAAAAACCAGACGACGACUAACGAUUUCUCAGGAAGAUAUAAAUAUGAUGAUCUAACGAUAAUGUUUAACGACGAGAGAAACCUUCAGAAAUCGUGAGAUUCCAGCCAAGGCACCACCAGUACCAGCGGCGGCAACGAAAGCUUGGACACCGCCUCCGGUCUGCUCCCAUAUCUCGGGACCGGUGGUCUCAUAGUGGGCGCGGAAGUUUGCCAGGUUCUCAAACUGGUCGGCAAAGAAGCCACCCCUACAAUCGCUGCCAAAAAAAGGAUGCUCCAUGGCAGAACCAUCCCCGUUCACAUGAAGAAACUCGGCCUCAGAUUCAGUGGGUCUUCCCCGCCGCCUUGCUAUUUCAGAGGCCUCUGCGGCCCUUCUUCUCGCAACGUUCACAAAGUGAUCCUUGUGGGAGAUCGACACGGGCCUUACCCUCUCAACAGUAGCGCCAAGAGCCUCGAGUAUCUGAGACUGGACAAUGCGAGGAGACAAGAAUCAAGUCUAAGCCAUAAACAAGAUGACGAGGAUGGCUACUUUAUUAAGCAAAAGACGGCAUUUUUAUUUGCAUUAGAUGUGAAUGCAAGGCAACCAUCUCACGGAAUUCUCUGCCUGUUUUGACUGUAGAUUCUGCGUGCUUCUCUUUAAUGAUUAUUAGGGGAGUUUGCUAGCAACUCUCAAAAAAAAAAAAAUCCUAAGUAUGAGGGUUAAUCAAUCGAUUAAGCUAUGCCCAAGAGAAUGCAACAUCCCUCAGAUUAACAAAAAGCCUAGAAAGCUCUCAGAUUAACUGGGCCCUGCAGAAGAAAAAGAAAAUCUAAAAAUCCAUUUAAACUGGCGGAAAAAAGAUUAAAUGUAGACCUGCGAUGGAUCUGAAAUAGACUGCAGAAGUCAGGGCAGCAAUACUCACUUUUUCAAUAGCUGCAUCAUCUGGGAUGACAACAUGGCAUUUGCAACCAUAAGCUGGAGCUACGGUUGCAAAGCUAAUAGCGGUGCUUCCAGCGCUGCCCUCCAUCACUAUACCGCCUUCAACAAGAUCCCCAGACUCCAUAGCCUGGAGUAUACAAAAAAGAUAAGUAGAGGGUGUUAGAGGACGAAGAAAGAAAAUGUGUAGAAGCUCACAGAUGAGCUGAAUAAGUGAGAUCGCGUUGGGAAAGAAGGGUGUCUCUUGCCAACAAAACGAAGACUGAGCGUUUGAAAAAAAAAAUGGUGUUCGUGAAAAUGCAAGCAAGAUUUAAAAAAAAAAAACAGUUUUUUCAUAGCAUUCAUCAGACGUUUGGGGCGUGAAUCUGGAGAACACUCCCACAAGUGCUUGAGAGGAUCUCACUCUUUCAUGGGAAGUAUAAGAAAAAUGAAGAAUGAAAAAUAAAAUUUUCAAAAAAAAUCAGUUUGAGGUGGAUUCAAUCCAGGGCAGCUCCAUGAUAAUUAAGACCCACCAUCCGGCCACACGCGAAAUGGCUCGGACCAUUUCUGGGAAGGCUACAAGACAUUAGAAAAUACUUUAGAAAGAAUAAUCGGAGACGGAAAUGGUAAUACAUUUGAUGAGACGGGCUGGCAUGCUCGGAAGAAAGAAAGUCUCAUGAGGCAUCACUCACUGAGAGGCUAUUGAAACGACGAGGAGAAUCCCCCUGGUGGACGAAAAAGGGUGAAGCGACGCAAGCAACCGAGAGGAGUCACCUCACCUCUUCGAUGAUCUUAACCGCUACCCGAUCCUUGACGCUGCCUCCAGGAUUCAGAAACUCCGCUUUGCCCAGGAUCUGGGUUUCAAAGAGAAAAAAAGCAUCGCCAGAUGUAAACGUCACAGGGAGAAGAAGGACACCGGAGAUCGCUGAGCGAAGAGGAAGAGUGACAGAAAGGGCAAGGAACGCAUUGAGCAAACAGAGAGGACGAAGAGAGCCGUCGCUUACUUCGCAACCCGUUGCAUCGGAGAGACUGUUGAUUCUGAUCAAAGGAGUGUUGCCCACAGCUUCCACGAUUCCUCUCCGCGAAGGCCUCUUCCUUCGGAGGUCCCUCCCCCAGGAAAGCUUAGCGGGGAAUAGACUGCCACGGGCGAAAGCGAAAUAUGACAGUAGGGCAACAGAUACCGCCGCCGCCGCUGCUGCUGCAGCUGCAGCAGCAGCUCCACAAGGAUACAGCGGCGGCGCCAGCCUCCCCACCUCCGCGUCCUCGGCGGCCGAGACCCAAAUGAAGCUUGCCCGGGCCACGCCCGCGUAAACGGGGACUCUUUCAAGUCCAACUCUUUUUAUAUCGUUUAUUUGUUUUUAGCUGGAGCUAUUUUUCUUCGGUGAUUAUUCACUCGCCGCAAGUUGAAUGAUUUUUUUAAAUACAAGCGGCAUGGCCAGUUUCGGCUGGAUCCUCAAGCGGUAGAGCCCGAUCUCAAGAUGAUCGUCGUCUCCGCGAGUUUCUCAUCGUCCCCCGCCCUCCGGCAGCCGGCGCCGCCGCCGCCGUAGCAGAGAGUCGAUCACGGAGGCCAGCUUCGGUGAGUCCCAGAAGAAAAACUCGUUCUGAGGAUCUCCGGAUAAAAGAGCGAACAGCUACAGGGCGUUUUCUCCGAUCGGAUAUCCCUCCUCGGAGUGGUACUGAGACGGCCCCCAACAUUCUCAUCGGCGAGGCGAAACCCUAGAAGGAGCGGCGAUCCAGUGUCGGCCGACAUGGCGCUGGCGGAGAAGAUUAGAGACGCGCUCCGGCUCCGGGAGUUGGUCGUCUACGCCCAAAUCCUGGCCGCCUCCGCGGCGUUGGCUCUCUUCCUCCUGCGCUUCGGCCCUAGUCUCCUAACCGUCUUUUCCUUCUUGUGGCCCCUCCUGCUCUCCACCGCCGCCUUCGUCGCGGCGGUGCUGGUCUUCCGCGUCCUCUCCCCACCCCACAGCGAGAACCAGAGUAUCCAGACGGGAGAGGAUUUCCUACACUUCGUUGCCGGUCACAGUCCAGAGGUGGGCUCUAUGGUAGGCCCCUCAGUGAGCGGAGAAGACGCAGAAACAACUCCAGCGGCAGGAAUGCAGGAGACCAAGAAACCCCUGUAGAAGACGCUGGAAUGAAGAACCACCGCGUCUCUCCCUCCCUCCCUCCCUCCCUNNNNNNNNNNNNNNNNNNNNNNNNNNNNNNNNNNNNNNNNNNNNNNNNNNNNNNNNNNNNNNNNNNNNNNNNNNNNNNNNNNNNNNNNNNNNNNNNNNNNNNNNNNNNNNNNNNNNNNNNNNNNNNNNNNNNNNNNNNNNNNNNNNNNNNNNNNNNNNNNNNNNNNNNNNNNNNNCUCCUCCCUCCCUCCCUCCUCUCUCUCUCUCUCUCUCUCUCUCUCUUCCCCCCCCCCCCCUUCCCCUGGGCAUCGCUGUGAAUAGCCCGUAAAGCAGAAGCAGACGGGGAGGUGUGGUCGGAGAGCCACCAAUUUCCUGUACCUAAAUGGCUCCUCUGUAAAUAAUAUAACGUAACUUUUUAUUGACUCAGCCAUGCAGUUUAUUUAUAAUAAAUAUUAAUAAAAAAAAUAUAUCAUAUUAUAAUUAUGGUUCUGUACUGUCAUCGCCUGGAAAGCACGUAAUUUUUAUUUUAUUUUAUUUUUCGACGCAAAUUAUUUAUUUUAAAAAUAUUAUAUUAUUGUUUAGUCAUAUUUUCGUAUUACUCUAUUAUUAAAAAACUGCUAAUAUUUUUUAUAUUUUACAACAAGCUAUAAUUAUGAUAUUUCAUAUAUUAAAAGACGGUGAAAAUAAACAUAUUGGAAUAAAUUUAAGGGUUCUUAUAGAACUCGGUGAUAAUAUACCGACCGGAUAUUAUUUUAAAAUUGACGUGUAAAUGUGGGAAAUUAUUAUUGCUUAUAUAAAAAUAUGCUAACAAGUUUAAUGCUGUUUUUUUAAAAUAUAGGCCUUAGAGUAUCUGGUUAAUGGAACGUUUCUUAGAGUACAAUGUGCGAAUUAAAUAAUAUAUAUUUAUAUGCAAAUUUUUUAAAAGGCAAAAUUAUUGCUCCAGAUAAUACGAGUAUUUUUUUGAAUUAUUUUAUUAAAAAUUAUCGAAUGCUUGACCGCAUCAGCUGUUUAUUUAGGGUCCUUGUAUUCUACCGUUGGUGGGCGGGAUAGGAAAUGGCGGGAAGAUCGUCCGGUUCGAAGGCCCCGGAAGUGCUGUCGAAGAUCAGAGGUAAUUGCCCGACGCAUCGGAAACUGGGGGAAGGGGAACGGUCGAAGAAAUUUUUUGUGGUUGUAUUGAAUGUCAGAGGUGUUAAUUUCGGAUGUGCAUGGAGGAUCUCUGCAGGCAUCGUUCGCUCCUUGGUCGUGGAUCUCUGCAACGAGCGCCUUCCCUCGGUUGUGCUUGAUCGGUAUAGGACGUAUUGCAUGGAUUCAUCCGGUAAUUGGUACGUUCGUUUCAAUCACUGGACUCAUUUUUGUACGGCAAGGACUCUUUCACUCUAAUGCUGCCGCAUGAUUUGGUUUGCAUCUGCACGUUUCACGACGUGAAUUCCUGAUGACCGGGGAAUUUCCCACGGGAAGUCAACUUUUCCUUUUUCAUGUUUUGUAGUUUGGAGUUUUUGUAUGUGUUUCUUGCCCAAGCUUAUCGUCGAAUGGAAUUCGUGGUUCUGGAACCACGACUUUACAAUGCUCGAUAGCAAAUACAGACUCCGUCGAGUUCUGCGCUCUCCGUUCUGUGUUAUCUGAAUUCUCUCUCUUUCUCUCUCUGGAAUUCGUGGCUCUGGAAGCAUGACUUUACGAUGCUCGACGGCAAAUACGCACUCCGUCGAGCUCUGCGCUCUCCGUUCUGUGUUAUCUGAAUUCUCUCUCUCUCUCUCUCUCUCUCUCUCUCUCUCUCUCUCUCUCUCUCUCUCUCUCCCUCCCUCCUCUCUCUUCUACCCCCCUCCGGUUCGCACGCUCGGUCGCUGGCUCCGUUCAAUGGAAAGGCAGGAAAAGCUAUCCCGCAGGAUAUCGGAAUAAGAACGGGGAAGUCAGGAAAAAAAUCCCAUCGGUCGGCUAAACAUUGACGUGAUUAGACAUGUUAUCCACUAGGAUUUGUAGUCUACGUCAGCUCUAUAAUUGGCAAAAGAAUCACAAGUCGUGGUGACUAUGGGGAUUUCAAUGACCUUGCGCAGAGCUCAUUGAAAAUGAAUUUGUGAAGUGAUAUCUAAAUAUAAUCGUCGUUAAGGUCAACUUUGAGUGCUCAUCUGGAGGCCGCUGAGGACAAAGCCUUGAUUUAACGCCCAUUUACUUUUCCGUGCAGCCAUUGCAAUGAAAAUAUUUCCCAUGGAAAGGAGGCCAUCUCAUUUAACAAGGAAAGCCAUACCCAGAGAUUGGGUGAGUAAUUUUUUGCUAUCGGACAUUGACUGUUCUAGCCUGUUUAUUUAUGAUUGUUUUACUGUCUAUCAGAUAUCAUGCUUAGGGUGUUACGAAUCAUCCAGCAACUCCUGCAAGAAAACAGGCAUGGAUCAAAGAGGGACAUAUAUUACAUGCAUCCGUCCGUGUUCUUGGGUAAUUUUUAUUUAUCGCUUAAUGCCCGAGCAGCAUGAACUUAAUUUUUCCCGCUUUCAACUCUAAGGCAUAUGAAUAUUCGUUGAUUUCUGUUUUUCAAUGAAAACAUAGAUCCAAAGAUGAAAGUACCAAAUAAGCAAAUGGUCACAAAUGCAAGUGCUUGCGGUCCAAUACCACUAUAGGUCCAACCUGUUCUUAAACGUGGAAAAACCAAAGGUUUUUUUCCAAACAAACGGAAACCAGUUAGCAUAUGUUAAAGAAUAGUCAGUAAAUUCUUCCUGGAAAAAAUCCAUUGAUUUCAACACCGCCUUGAAAUCAGCCUGUAGACUAUUCCGAAUCUAUUGGAGCUGGUUUUUUAACUGACCCAAAGACUGGGCAGAUGAAUUUUUUCAAAGGUUAUCUUUCUACAGCUAAUCUCAAUCUGAGAGGGGAGAAUGGUUCUAUCAUACCUUGGUAAAAAUGGAGAUUUUUUUUAUUUUAUGUUCUUUGGAUGUCAUAAACUCUGAAGAAAAGCUUAAAAGGCUAUUCACAUGACACCCUUAUUAUAUAGGUCAAUCGGAAGCUGAAUCUUGCCUGUCGUGUUUGAGUUUCAUGGUUUGUUUCUGUUUUCAAUCACUGCUAAGCUUGGAGUUCGUGUCGGUGGAUACCGUUGAGUUUUUACAACAGUUGAUUCUACUUUUAACUUUUUUAAAGUACACAAAGACAUACAUGAAACCGAAAAAUAACAUCUCAAGUCCUGGCAGUUUCCCGCAUAAGCUACUUGACAAGCUCUUGGAGUGAAGCUUUUCUUUUCCUGUUUGUUUUCUGAAUUUUUUUGCUGAAAAAAUUGGUAUUUAGUUUUUGCCAAGGCAUUUUACACAUUUUCAUUACUUGAGAAUGGUGGCGGCCUGUAAAUUGAAUAGUCGGUAUCAUUUUACUUCAUCUGAUUUUAUAUGACAAUACAUGAUUGCCACACGAUUAUACCAAAAAACAGAAUUAAUGAAGGCAGUAAAUGACAAUCAUUCUAGCUAGGUCAUAUGCUAUCUUGAUCCAGUUGUGAUUCAAUGGUUUUUAUGUUUCAAUAUCUCUAAUGAUCAUAGGUAUGCGUUUAUCUGUGUUCUCUUUUUUGUAAUCUCGUGCUCGAUUGUCAAAAUUGCUUGUCAUCUCCUGCAACUUUAUCUGUCUGAUGGACUAUUCUUUUUUGGUUGCCUGUCACAGAGCAAAAAGUUGUGGACCAAGCUAUCAAGGACAUAUGCAUCCUUUUGCAAUGCAGUCGUCAUAAUCUUAAUGUGGUACACAUAACUGGAGAGAUGUAUUUUCCUCUGUCUUUUGCUCUUUCAAAGCUUUGAAAAUGUUCGGAGAUGACAGCAAAUGAAAAUAAAUUACACACGAACAGAUCUAGAAGGAAAGGACCGCCAAUGAAAUAUAUUAUGAGUCUGGAAAUUUUUAUGCCGCAAUGGUCCUUGGCAUGGUUCAAGAUCGAUUUGUUUGAUUUCAGGUGUUUUAAGGUUUCUGAUUUGUUAAAUAUUAUAUAGUCACGUGUAAAUGAAGUAAACGGAAGUGCAGUGCUAUGUUCUUAUGCUCUUGUUCACUAUUUAACUAUUGAGGCCAAUCACCAUUUAUAUCCAUUUCGUUAAAAAGGGGAAACUACAAACUGGAUAUAUAUUUUUUUCGUCCGUUACAUUUUUAUUUUCUUAUCGAUAUUCAACUUCCCAUAUUUUAACGUGGAAACUAUCAAAGUAGCACUGUAAAUUCGGUGAAUUCGGAAACAUGUCGCUUAUAGGUUUUCGAUUUAUGAAUUUCAUUUAAACCCGAUUAAUGUCAUAUCACACGGCAUCUUUUGAUGGCAUGAAUCGUAAAGGAUUUAGCUUUAUUACGAAGAUUUUCUUUUUCUGGUUCAUUCAAUUUUAUAGUCCGCCGAAAAUGGAGAUAUGAGAUAUUUUCCAAUGCCACGUAGACAUUUCCUAAUAUAGAAUUAUUUUAACUGAUAUCUACGGUAUAAAUAGAGCAUGACGAUAAUGUGGCCAUGAUAUUCGUUUUCUUAUUCUUUGUCAGGUGCCUGUCGGAAAAGGGUAAGCAAUUACAAGUUCUAUCCUCUUAAUGUCGCUAAUAGACAGUGAAACUUGAUUAUUUUAAGUGUACCACAGAAAAAUAAAUUAUUGAAUCAUUCUGGAUAUAUGAUAAUUUUAUAGAACAAAUGCUUCAUUCUGUGAACUGACAGCCAUCACUUUGUGCGUUUCAAUGUAAACGCACGAAAUCUAUUUGGCACCCUCACUGCAGUCUAUUCUACCAAGGUGCUUCAAAUAUGAAACAGACUGUAGAGAACACGAUAGGAUUCAUUGAGAGACGAUAACUGAAAACUCACUAUCUCAAUUUUUUUUACUCAUUCAAAUGGUCAAGUGCAAACCUGGGCGACGAGACAGAGAUUUACUGAUUCGCAGGUUGGACUGAGGGACUUUCACAGUUGGUUGGAAAAAUGCUUUCUUUUCUGACUGUCAUCUGCUUGUGCGGGUCAAUUCUUCAUCACUUGAACCAAGACCCAGCUUCGAUUACGCAUGGAGAAUGAGCUUUAAGCAAUUACUUUUGCAUAUUUGUUGUGCAAUGAUUUUCUUUUCUCCCAUCCCACCUACGAUGAUGAGUAUUUCUUAAUUACGACUAAAUGACCAUGCACAUGUCCUGGUUUGACCAUGCAUCCCAUCUACAUUUUUCUUAAUUUAUCCAUGCUGUGAACAAUAAAGCAAUGCAUAAUUGGUGACACUGGCAGUGCUAACGUCGAUUCUGAAUGCUUUUCAUACUCUUGAUCUGCACGAUCAGAAAAAAUAAAUAGCUCUGUGCAAUUGAGAGGUCAAACUGUAGUCCUUGACGGGAUUUCAAAAGACCCUGUGACAGAGGCUUUUAUCCUGUUUGAUUUAUGUUCGUUCGUUUUUCAAACAUAGAUCUAAAGAUUUUCGAAUUCUUUGAGCAAUCGACGUUGCGACAGAGAGAAUAAUUUUGAGAUAAAUCAUAACUUAAGCAGUUGAUCUCUGUAGAGGUGCUCUGCACAAACGGGAGCUACUAGGUACUCCAAAUGGGAUAGUCAACGACUAGAGUUUUUUCAGGGGAAUGAUUUUCUCAGGAUAAAAUUUGGGGGUAUCAUUUUUAAAACAGGACACCAUCAAGUAUAGAACAAAAAAACUCUUAACAUUGAAAACGAUAGGAUAUCCUAUUAAUUUUGUUUAUUGUUUUCCUUUUGGUUGGAAUCUAGAUGAUUAUUUCAUGUCCUUGUUUUCCAUUUUCGUAACCUCGUAAUUCUUUUUCUAGAUUGCUGAUGGGCUGGGUGAGAUUCACAGAUGGUGAUAGGAGAUUUGAUUGCAUAAAAAGCCCGAACACUGUAAGGAAUGAUCGUGGCUCUAUAUUUUAAUUCUUCAUUAUAUGACUGAAGUUCAUGAAAGUGUUCCGCGUUGCAGGCCUAUCCUAUACCCGUGCAUGUGGAGGAUGUGGAAGGUACCCAUACAUGAACAAAGUUUUGUCUAUUUCAUGUUUGAGUUUCGUUCUAUGGGCUUUUUUUAGAAAGUUAAAAUCACGGCCGAAAGACUUUCCGCCCGUAACAAAUCUCCAUUUUCUUGUCAAAUACGAUGAUGGUGAUAUUUAUCUUCAAAUAUAAAUCCAAAUUAUUCCUAUCUCAUAUUUUCAUUCUGCAUGCAUCUUCCUGGCUUCAUCGCUUUGGAAAACUUUAAAAAGUAUCCCAUUGUUUUCCCUCCUCAGAUCUCGUGAGUGUCGCCAAGUAUGUACUUGUUGUAGAGAAGGAAACAGGUAAAGCCUCCAUCACUCCAGCCCAACUGGCUUCAACCUCUAGUGGCCGCAAGCUUGGAUAUUCAGGCUCCCUCUUUUGAUAAUCACCGCAGUGUUCCAGCGGUUGGCAAAUGACAAGUUUUGUGAGAAGAACCAAUGCGUAGUCAUCACAGUAAGCAGACAUCUAUUUCUAGCAAUCGCUACAUCAUUUUUAUGUACCACCGAUCACCGUGAUGCAAAUAAAAUCUGCAGGGAAGAGGCUACCCGGAUGUUUCCACCAGAAGGUUUGAGCUGAGCUACUAUUGUCCUUUUUUUUUUUCUCUUUCAAGAAAAUUAUUGGCUUCUCGAACACACCUUUCCUGUUCGCUUCGUUGUUUCUUCCAGGUUUUUAAAACGUCUCGUCGAUAAUCUGUGUUUACCCGUCUACUGCUUGGUGGACUGCGAUCCGUAUGGGCUCGACAUCCUCAUGACAUACAGGUUUGGUUCCAUGGUGAGCCCCCUCUGGUUCCUCGUUCUGUAUAUGUUCAACCACCCACGUGGCCUCGUUCUUUAUGGAUCAAAUAAAAAAAAAAAUGCCACGAUGUGCAAUUGUACAGUCCGACAAACACACCGUUCUUCGUGAGCUUUUCCCCCCCCAAAAUAUUAGUAGAAACUCUUGGAAAAUAUUAAUACCCCACCUGGCACUGCCUAUUCCCUAGCAAAUGGCCUUCGAUGCAAGCUUGAUGUGCGUCCCGGAGGUUCGCUGGCUGGGAGUCUUCCCCUCUGAUCACAAGAAAUACUCCUUGCCAGAUCGGUGUCUCCUUCCUCUGUCUCCUGAAGGUGAGGUACAUGGGGUGGCCUGGUCUGCCUCCACUGGGUUUCAUAGUUUUUUCCACAUAUCCGCAAUUGAUCUCGGUGUGAUCCAUCGUCAGAUAGGAUGAAGGCUGAGGCCAUGCUGCAGAGAUGCUACUUGCAGAAGAAAGCCCCUGAUUGGAGGUUCGAUUUUACUUUCUCUUUAUGGCUAAGCUAGUAGGAAGCUACUGAACAGGCCGGCCCAUCUGUGGCAGGUUGCAACUGGAGACGAUGCUGCACGAGGGGGUGAAGUGCGAGAUCGAAGCUCUGUCCGUGGCUUCGUUUUCCUUCCUGUCAGAGGAGUACAUACCAGGCAAGAUUCAUGGUGGAGGGCACAUCUGAGUACAUCUCUUCAUGGCUGCGGUAAGCUCAUCCCUCCCCCGCCUCCAAGAUAAAUGGCCAUUAGGAAAAUGAGUAGGACCCCACACCUAGGACGACGACCGAGCAAGCACCAGGUCACCUGGGGUCAACGCGCCCGAAUGGUCAACAUCCAGAUCUUCGAAUUCCUCCAUUACCUGCGCUAUGUCCUCUUGAGUGAUUUUCCCCAUCUCCUUGAGCUUAUAUAUUAUGAAUUCAGCCGCCCUGGUGGAGUAAGGAAACAGAUACCGAGAGAUGGUGACUGGGGAAGGAGGGGAGAGAAGAAAGAACAGAGCUUCAUCCAGGUGAUAGGAGUUUUCUUACCCGACGGCCCCGUCCUGAUCCAUGUCUGCCACUUCGAGGUCCACGAAGGUCAUCCUCCGGUUGAGGACCCAUUCGGCAAGCAGCUGCUGGGUCCUUUCUGUUUUCCACUCCGCGAGGUAGAGGAAGAACUGGGCGAGGCAGAUUGUGCUGGUCAGGAUCCAGAUAAUGGCGAAAACUCGCCCUUCCAAGCUGGAGAAGCUCUUGUCUCCAUAGCCCAGCGUCGUGAUGGUGGAGCAGACGCAGUAGAAGGCGUCAACGGGGCUCAGCUUCUCGACCUUCCACAGGAAAACCUCCCCCGCGGCCAUCAACAGCACCAGGAGGGCCGCAGUGUUGAGGAACUUGUUCUUGGCUCUGUUCGCCCCAAUCUCCUUCAUGAUUCUGCUCUCCUGAUGCUCCCCCGGAAGACGCAGCGCCCUGGCCAGCAAUGCCUCUUGCUUCUCCACGAAGUAGUCCGCUGCCUUGCUCAAGAGAAACCCUACCAGGGCCAUCCCAGUGAACACGAAGGCGCAGGCGAGGAGCUUUGCCAGGACGCUCUUCGGCACGAGGUCUCCAUAGCCGACGGUGGUCAUCGUCACAAUGCAGAAGUACAUGGAAUCGAUGACAGCCACGGUCUUCGUGCCCCCGAUCUGGUUCUGAACCACUGAGAAGCAGACUGUGGCCGCUCCCAAGUAGAUGACCAGGAAGGCCAUCACUUGCCUCAGGCUGGGACCUCUUUCACCCGGAAAGGAGUGCUUCGAGACAGCGGGUGGGUUGAAGUUAGAGUGUGUGUCUGCCGACGGGGCGCUUCUGCAACGCCUGAAUCUUCUUUUAUUUGGCGUGAUUUUGAUCGGAAGUUGAUCGCGGGGAGCUGAUGAUUCAGGGAGCAGAGGCUGUUUAAUCAUGUCAGCAGCCAUUGCAGGAUACCUCGAAGGUGGUCAGUCUCACGUUAUGGAUUGGGAUGACCUGCAGGUUGAUCGAACGCCCACGCUGGUACAAGUACGAUGAAAAAACAUGGAGAUGAUCUUAUUUUGGAGUGGUGAAUGUGGGGGAUACCAGUUUGCGGAAGUGCAGGGGUCUGCAAGGAUACAGCGAUCUUUUUAGGAAAUCCCUCGGUUGACUUUAUGUCUGCAACAUGAGAUUUCCCAGAAGCUAUUGUGUUAACACUGGUUUUGGAAGCUAUUGAUCAGUCAACGAGAGGGAAAAAAACUAAAGAGAAAACUUAAGGAAAAGAAGAGGCUGUGAUGAACACAGCUCGACGUGUCUUCCUGCUGUGUCAAGAACAGAGACAAAUAGACUCGGUGUUAGCUACUCCGGGCAGGAGCGGGGUAGAUCUUGAGAUCUGUUGAUGGGUAAAGUCAGAGCACUGAAGGUAUUAUUUUCAAUCUGGACCCCGCAUCUUGAUCAUGGUGUAUGCGCUGCCAUACCUUUCUGUUUCUUAGAACUGCCCUACUGCGACACUAACAAGCCAGGAGAAGCUGAACCAGGAAGACGAGCCAAAAAAAAGAAAAAUAAGAAAUAGGUCGGACGAAUGAAUUCUGCAUUUUCUUCGCUGAGCUUCGAGGUCAAUGGUGUACCGACAGGAAGAAUCGAAUGGCUUUCACGGUAGGGUCAACUGAGACUCAAUCGAAUGCCAUCCGGGCACCAGAAAGCGCUCCCGGCCAAGGCGUACCAGGAAUAGAGAAAGACGGAGACCCCAGCGCCCUGGUACACCGUAUCUAGAAGAUGAGCGACAGGCCGUCCGGCGGGGAGAGAAUUGACCUAAAUGGAAUUCGUACCGUCAGAAAAUCGACAGCACAGAAAGCAGAACGGAAGAAAGCGCGAAGAAAAAAACACCCCAGAGAGAGAGAGAGAGAGAGAGAGAGGGCAGAGAGUUCACAUGAAGUAACUGAUUGAUGCCCGGCAGACGCGAGCUGCUACCUCCGCGAGAGAAUUCUCUCCCCUCCGGCUUCCGUCAGAAAAUUGCCACCACAGGAUGCAGAAGGGAAGAAAGCGCGAAGGAAAGAACAUUAGAGAGAGAGAGAGAGAGAGAGAGAGAGAGANNNNNNNNNNNNNNNNNNNNGAGAGAGAGAGAGAGAGAGAGAGAGAGAGAGAGAGAGAGAGAGAGAGAGAGAGAGAGAGAGAGAACCGGAAAUCCCCGUCAGGAACAGUUCCAACCCAUCCGUCGGUGUCCACCUUCCCUGAAAGCAUCUCCGGGUGAACAUCACUGUUUACGGGCCGCUCGCCCCUACCGGCAUCGGUUACCCACACCAAGAUGGUGACCCUUCGUGAGACCCCCCCAUCUGAUGCGCCCUCUUGAUGUUCGCCGUUUGGCUUAGCUAGAUUGGGAACACCUGGAGCUGAGGGUCCGGAGCCAAUGUCCGGCCGCGCCGCGCCAUCCCAACCUUUCCUCGAGCAUAUUUUAAUUUUUUAGUUGACGACACGUACGACUUUUCCGAGCAAAGAUGGGAUUUUUUUUCUCGUAUGCUGGGCCAUCUGACGUCAACGACCCUGGUUUCGGAAGACGACAACUCGCGUUGACCCACACAUGAGUAAAAAUGUCCAUUGCACAAAGGACCCACGAUUUCUAUCGAUAGAUGUUAAGAGAAAUCGGGGCUGGUGAUCCUUCCUCGUCAGCUGUCCGGAGUGAUGAUCGUUCAGUACUGCUAUUUUUCUCAGUAAUUAUAUAAUACUUGCAUAUUAGCGAGUUCUUCGUGUUUUCCGUGCCCGCAUCGGCACAGCUCCCAUCGUAAUCUCCUUCAAGAAGUCGAAUAUGUCGACGCGUGCCCAAUAAGAUUUCUCAGGAUCUACUUCUCUCUCACUGAACCAUAAUGACUGCAGAGUGGAGAGAAUGAGGGUCACCCGGCUACCGCCGUGGUGGGGGGGAGGAGUUCAACUGAGACGAGCGUGGUGGGCGGGCUUUCUCUCACGGCGGCUGCCCGCUGCGCGCGUACAGUGCCGCCACCUAGAUCGGAGUGCCCCCGGUUUUCUUCAGGAUGGGAAUGGCGGCGGCAAGAAGAACGGAACGAAGAGGAUGCGAUAGCUGCCGCCGUAUUAGGAUUUACAGACUUCGGAGGCCUGUUCUUCGAGUAAUGGUGCCGAAGACGAGAGAUGCGAGACAGGAGGUCUUCCCCACCCAGCCGGCACUGUGGACUUUCCUUACUUGCUCUACACAGAGAGAGACAGAGAGAGAGAGAGAUUGAAAUUCUAUGGGUUCUUCCCUCCCGCGGCAGAAUGACAGGAUUGAUCAGUAAAAGGGAGGGGGGGACCCGACAGGUUGUAAUCUCAGCUCGUUUGGCGAUAAGUGUGUCCUUGGCUGUUCUCCCCAUCCUACUGUAUGAGAUUUGUUCGGUUCUUAUCUUCUCUCUUUUUAUCACUACCUGUUCGGCGGUAACGGUGGUUUCCGUAACGUGCAAUCCAAAAUAAGCUAAUGCAUGAGAAUCUAUGAUGAGUACAUCUCAUUCAACGCAUUACAAAGUCAACAUACUAAGCAAGAGAAAAUUUAAGUGAUAUUGAAGACUCACUAAGCAAGUCAACUCAAUGAGAAGUCAACGUAGAACAUGGCAAUGAUCAAAGUGUGAUCUAAGAGCUUAGAGCUCAAAUCUAAGAUUAAUAUUAAGCUCAAGACUAGCUCUAAGGAGGACAAUGUGGCAGUUAUGAAGCACUACUUCACCCUCUCUCUCCCCUAGUCAUUCAUUGAUGCACCGUCCUCCUUUCUAUCAGUAUUCUAAUGAAAACUUUUAAAAGAGGCCACGAGAUGUGAGGGAAUCAAACUAAUUUAGUGAAUAAUUAACAAGCUUUGUCAUUUUCUUUUUCUUCACCUAUCAAUUAUCAUCUCACUUUCUUUACCAAUUUGAUAUAUCUUUGAUCAAAUACUCUCUUUUUUCCCCCUUCACCCCUUACUUCUUAUUCUAUCUAUCCCUUACUUUAUCUAAUUAUUUUUUUUGUAUCUACUAUAGAUCAUCAUCAUCAAGAACAGUUAUAAAAACUUUGUCAGAUCAAAAGUUAAUCAAUAUAUCAUAAGCUAUUGAAAUUCUCUUGCCAUCUCGUACCAAAAUCUAAUCUUAGGUUCAAUUCUCAUACUUUUGAUUUUUGUGAGAAACAUAUGAUAGCCACUAAUUUUUAUUUUGAUUGAUCAAUAUCCUUUGAUCAAGACUUGAUCUGCUCUAUUAAAAUUUGAACAUCUCAAAUUAAAAAAAAUCAAGAUCAUAUUUACUCAAAAUCGUAAGGAAUAUUAAUCUAAAAUCUAUCUCCUUCUAUUGGCCUUAUCUUGUGGAAUCUUCUAUUCAAAUCUCUAAACAUUGUGAUAUUAAAUCCUAAUGUUCUAACCUAUUCCAAUUUGAAAGAUUACAGGUUGCCCCAACCACUCUGAAUCUCAUUGUCCUUGACGUCAUGCUUAUACUGUUGACUUCGAGCAAUGAGCUUAGAAUCACUACUCUCUCUCUCUCUCUCUCAAAUGAAGACGAUCGCUAAUUGAGAACCUUCAGUCGCGUGAUUGCAGGUAUCUGAUCUGGUAGCAUGAGACCGAUUCUGCACUGUUGAUUACGAUCCAUGCAAAUUCAUGAUUCUUCCAAUUAGCCGUCGGGCAAGGGCCGAGUGGUCACCGGCGCCGGCGGCGGUGCCGGCGACGGAUGAGGAGAAGACGGCGGGGGAGCGCUCCAGGGACGACGUGGCGGUGUACCGGGGGGGGGGCACUGCGCCGUUGCUCAACGGGAUGCCCACCAACUCCGUGCAGAUCCUCAACGAGCCUCUCCGGCUGCGCCGUCGCCGACAUCCAUUUGAGCUGCGGAUGGUUCAGUUCCGCUCGUCUGGUCAACCCCAGCGCCUUCCAUCAGAUGGGAUUUGAGGGCUGCCAGAUCUAUCAUUUUAAAAACAGUUUCCAAAUAUAUGAAAAAUAAAGUAAUAUGUUCAACGAAUAUUUUACAAUUGCCACAGUGUAGCAAUUUUCCUUUGAAAAACAGUAAGAUGGAGAAGUUAGCAGGGGGCCGGCGCCAUUCGGCAAAUCGGAGGUCUCUCGUUCGCUAGCUGGGGAGCUCAGGUGACGCAGCGAGGUCUCCACUGUCCAGAUCUCCCACCCCAUCCCCGAAGCGGGAGUUGGCAAGGUGCGCCGCUGCUCUGGUUCUCGCCGCUCCGUUCUUUCGUUUGUGGAUUUCGCCUUCGAUUUCCGCGCUGCGAUUCAGGUUAGGGCAUGCCGUCUCUCUGGGCUCUUCCAUCGUUGCCGUUUUCUACAAUACUCAGCGGAGAUGAGAGAAUCCUUCCAUCGCUCACCGGAGGAUGAUCCGUUCCCCUUUUCGGAGAGGUCGAAUCGCACGGCGAGUUGCUGGUUUAGCCUGUGUGCGUGAGAGAUAGAUAGAUAGAGAGAGAGAGAGGCGGAUAUGACCUGUUCUAUUUCCGAUAAUCUUCGUUUUGUAUUCGAAUAUUGUCUCGGCCACAGAAGGAUUGGAACCAGUAAGAUACCUAUCCUUCUGGUCUUCCGUUCUCUUCUCUACUUGAUCCCGUCAUCAGGCAGACAGAUCUGAUCACAGGUUCUCCAUUCUUGUGAAUUUUUCCCAUUAUUUCACAACUCUAUUGUUCUACUGCCCUGGUUUCCAUUUUCGAAGCAGUGCCUCAUCUUCAAUCCACAAAAAUGCAGCAUAAUCUAGCUAUCUGAGGAAAACCACCAUCGCAGAUUAUCCCGCGGUGUGUGGAAACUGGUAAUAAAGUGAUUUCAAAAGCUUUCAUCCGUUCUUCUCACAUCUCUGCGACCCUUCGGUGCUGCUUCAUCCAGCUUGCAGUGAAAAAAUGUAUCACUACAAGAACUUCUUAUUGAAGUACGUUCGGGUUGCAAGGCGUGGGCCAGAACCCUUGACGAGGAAGGAUAUGUGGCUAUCAAGAGCUGCAGUUCGGCUUAUGAGCGGGACGAGCGACGCCGAUUCAGAGAUUGUCAUGAAUCGGGUGCUAGGGUUGGUGAAAAAGUACGACAAGAUCGACGCAUCCAAGGUAAUCAUGUCGCUGUAAAAUCCUCAACCCUGCUUUGUGCAUGUUCCAUGAUGUUCUAGCUCUGUCUGAGCGAUUAAUUAUCUCUCGGAUGUUACUCAUUGCGCUGAAAAACAUAUGAUCAUAUGAAUGAUUCCAUUUAUUUCGGAGAGAACAGGUGGGUGAUCUGCCAGAAGGUGGCGGCCCUACUCACAUAUCUACCAUGGCGAUUGCUCUCCCGAAUCAUUGGUCAGAUAAACCAUAGUCUGAUAUGUGCAUUUAAUGACGUAUGUGGGGAUGUGAGAUCAGUAAGUUCAUGCCCAGGACUGGUCGGACAAUGCGGACGACUAGUUUCUGGAUGAUUCAGACCAGUGAAGAUGGUGAUCCGCCGUCUCUUCAUGUCGAUCUUCCUUCUUUAGGGCCUGGUCUCUGAUGAUUGCCAUGUCUUGCAGGUGACGGAGAGGGCGGAUUUCCAGAAGGACCUCGGUUUGGACAGCCUGGACAGAGUGGAGCUCGUCAUGGCCUUCGAGCAGGAGUUCUCCGUCGAGAUUCCCGACGAGAGGGCGGACCAGCUGGCCUGCUGCUCCGACGUGGUUGACUUCAUCCUAUCCGAAGCCAGAGGCAGCCCCGGGAAGAACCCAGCAGCUUGAACCUCAAAAGUGCCCUUUUUGGCAAGAAUUCCAUUCUUUGGUAGCCCUUUAGGAGAGCUGGCGACUGUUGGACACCACCCCCCCGGGCGAUCUUUGAUGCAGAAUGUGGGCAUUGUAGGCCGUCUGAUCCGUGCCGGACCCACUUGGUCUCUCUAUCUCUCUCUCCCCCUCUUUCUCUCUCUAAAGGGUAGAAUAAAGAAGUGCAUGCGUCGCCCAAUCCGAGGAGAAGCGUCGCCUUGCGCGAGCUCUCGCGAGGCCAGAUGCGCUUGUUAAGAUAAUCUCUGAGAAUUAGACGAGGAGGAAGACUCCAAGAGCUACGCUGAUAAUCGCCGGCUGAGUUUCCAGGGGCGAGGCUCAGAACACAGAGGGGGGGUGCCCACAGAGCCUUCUCUGAGGGAGGCCAUGGACAUGAGACAAGGGCAUUCAGACAAGUGUGGCCUCACUGGGAAACGGCGACGAGGGGGCGCAGCUGAAGGAUCAUCAUGGCGGAAGAGAAGGAAGGGGGGGGGGGGGGGGGGUUCUCGUGCAAACGCUCCAGUUUCUUCACCCGAGCAUCAAGGAGUUAGGNNNNNNNNNNNNNNNNNNNNNNNNNNNNNNNNNNNNNNNNNNNAAACGCUCCAGUUUCUUCACCCGAGCAUCAAGGAGUUAGGGUUUCCUGCCUCCCUCUGUAAAUUUUCUGAACGUGGGCAACAAGGAAACGAUGCUGCAGAGAUGAAAUGAGCAGUGGAGUGAUGAUGGGUUGCUGCAGGGGAAAGGCGAUCCAUCUCGCUUGACACAUUUUGGCGACUGGGUUCUGAUCGAGCGGCAGCAGAGAGGGCCGGCGGCUUGAGCAUUCCACAUGGGUUUUCUGAAGCCGCAGUGAGAAAGAUCUCAGAGAGGAGACGCCCUCCCCUGCUGGGAGAGGCAUUGACGGCGAAUCCAUGCUUCUGCUGGGGUUAUUUUAUUGGAUUCUGAUCUCCAUCAGACGAUGGGCUCUGCGUGGCGGGCCACUCUGGGUUCUUCCCUCCGCCUGCCUCUCGUUGACCAGGAGGGGCUUCUGGGGUAGCCGCGGGCAAGAUAAUAUCCUGGCAGAGACUGGUUUUUCAGCUCCCGGGUGUUCGUCGUCCUUGUGAUUGGCCGAGUUAACCUGGAGAAAUCUGGAAAAUGUUCUUGCUUUCUCAAAUAGGUCGCGUUGAGGAUUUGUGUUAAUGGAAUAAGAUGGAUAAGAGAAACUGGACAGUGGAGCUGAGGGAGCGGUCCACAUGGCUUUCCCGAUCUCGAAGCUCUCUGUGCUCCGAAACCAGCAAAACCAUGGCGUCGGUUCCUCCGAGAGAAUCAUUGGCAGGGAGCAGCGAGGACCACCAGCUGGUCGCUGGUGUAGGGGAGGGAACGCUUUAAAGGGGAGCAGAGCUCCUCCCUUCUUCCCUGUUUCUACCCGGAGGCAGGUCGGAGGAACAGAAAUGGCCGCUUUCCUCGCGAUAGCUUUCACCUGGGACCCCUACACGGUAUGAGAUCAAACGGGUUUCGUACAUAAACAGGAUCGAGCUCUUGAUCUCACCCUUCUGCUGAUUCUUCUCCGCAGGAAGAGCCCAUCUUCUCGGCGACUGCUUCCAGUAGAAGUUGCUUCUUGUGUUCUUCCCGAGUCCUCUAGCACCAGAGGGUUCCCAACUGUGUUCUUCCUGUAUUCUUGACCCUCUUUCUCGCAAUCUGUAGAAGAAGAACCAAAGGCGCUAUGGGUUCCGCUCUGCUUCCACUUUCCUCCCUCUUCCGCAAGCAUUUACCACUUUCUCUUCUUCUGGUCGCCAUCGGCAGUGGCGGGUACCUGCUCCCUUCGACAGCUCUCAAUCUCCUGGUCGUGGUUCUGUCCGCCUCUCUGGUCUUCGUCCUCUCCAGGAGAGAUCAGGUCCAGGGGACCGAUCGGGUGAAGGCUCCAUGGGGAAUGAGGGAUAAUGGUACCUUCGAACCGCGGAAGCAGAUCCGUGGCGCGGGAGAAGAGCAGAUUCCAGCGCUCGAUGUCCGCACUGGAUCGCCGAGCCCGCCCCCGCCAGGGAUGGCGGCGAACUCCGACAGCGAGGCGUCCGUGGAGAGCUCCAUCUCCGACGAGGAAAGCCUGAUCGAGAUUGCCCUCCCGAGCGGCCACUCCGUGGGAUCCCGAGACACAUGUCGUCCCGGUUCUCCCCUGUUCCUCCCCGAGCUCUCCGCCGAGUUGGUCGUCCACCAGCGGGGGCUCCUGGAGCUGUUGACGGAGAUCGUCGAAGAAGACAAUCUGAUCGAGAUAGACCUCGCCGCCGGGUCCGUCAAGUGCUCCAGGCUGGGGAUCAAGGCAUGACAUGCUGCUGCAGAUUUGGGGUCUUAGGGUUUUCCGACGGAUCGAGAGGACGACGACGACGACGACGACGACGGCCACCCGCCUCCUUCCUCCUCGAGCUCCCGCUGCCGUCUCCCCAUUUUUGGACUACGCGCCUGCAUUUUUAUUAAAUAGCUGGUAUUUAAUUUUACGUAAAUAAUGUGCUUUUUUGGGGCCCGGCUUGCUUCAAUCUUUUUAUCGGGCCGGCCCAAAUAUGGCGGAAACUGGCCCAAAAUGAAUAAAAACGCUUUUAAUGGGCCAUAGUGAGGCCCAUGGACCAAACGACCCGCCCCCGCCGUCUAUAGGGGGCCGCGGCCGAGGUCACUGGAGAUGGGCCCAUAGGGGAGGUUCCGACGACGGGCUAGAGAGUAAUGGGCCUGGGACGAUAGGGUCGCCCGCCACGUGUCAUAAAUCUGGAGAAUAUGAUUGAUUGGUUCGGGAUAUGAUCGACGGUCCUCAAAUGGCACGAGGCCCAUACUUAUCGUGACGCGAACGAUCGUGAAAUUUCCACGUGGCGUGCAGGUAGGAUAUUAGAUAUCCUGCCCAGGAAACCGGCCACGCACCGAGAAGAGUAGCAGCAGUCCACUGUCGUCCAUCUCCCCCUUCGUCUCCUUCCUUCCACCACCGUCGCCGGGCUCCGAGCGCCGCCAGAGGGGAGGAAAUCGACGGCGAAUUGGGCGAAGGUUUUGGUCCGCCGGUGCCUCGGGAACCCUAUCUCCCCCUCGCGGCCGUCGGCCCCGUUGAUCCAUGGGAGAAUUCGGAGCUCGGGCCCCGCGAAGGAGAUGACACCGCAGCGGGAGAGCUCCACCUCGCCACGGGGGACGGAGAUGAGAUUGCAGCCCUCGCCAUGAUUUUGUCGCCGGAGACCUCCUCUUCCUCGUCCUCCUCCAUUUUUCUUCUUCUCGCCGGCUGCUGCAGCGAUAUCUUGGUUUACCGUCGAAUUCUUAUUGCGUCGAAUUCUCUCUUGCUCCCCGGAGUUGGUCCGCGUUCCGAUUGUAGCUCCCAAACCAGUCCGUAGAUAGGAACCCUAAUUUUCUCCGCCCAGCUGCGAUCUGCUGCUUCGUUUCGUCGUCUGAAUCUGCGGGAUUGUUCUCGCUGCGAUCGGCGAUGGCGGACUCGGACAACGAGUCGGGGGGGCAGAACAACAGCAAUGCGGCGGGGAACAGCGAGUUCUCGUCGCCGCGGGAGCAGGAUCGGUUCCUGCCCAUCGCGAACGUGAGCAGAAUCAUGAAGAAGGCGCUGCCGGCGAACGCGAAGAUCUCCAAGGACGCCAAGGAGACGGUGCAGGAGUGCGUCUCCGAGUUCAUCAGCUUCAUCACCGGCGAGGCCUCCGACAAGUGCCAGCGGGAGAAGCGCAAGACCAUCAACGGCGACGACCUGCUGUGGGCCAUGACCACCCUCGGCUUCGAGGAGUACGUCGAGCCGCUCAAAUUGUACCUCCAGAGGUUCCGCGAGAUGGAGGGGGACAAGAGCGGCGGCGCGGCCGGCUCCUCCUCCACGUCGCAGCCCCAACACAAGGACGGCGGCAACGGCGGAGCCGGGUCGGGCGGCGGCGGCGGCGGCGGCGGAUUCCCCGCUGGAGCCGCCGGCGGAAUGUACCCCGUCGCCGGCGCUGCCGGAGGCGGCAUGGUCAUGAUGGGCCAACACAUGUACGGGACCUCGCCGUCAUCGGGGCCGUACCAUCAUCACCAGAUGGGCAUGGGCGGCGGCGGCGGCGGCGGCGGCGCUGGCGGUGGCGGUGGCGGUGGCGGCGGGAGGGGGACCUUCCCCGGCGGCGGGAGCUCCUCACCCGGGGGACUCGGCAGGCAAGGUAGAGUGUAAUGGACGGGUUACACGGCUUCGGCUCUCGUCCAUGAACUAGCUCUUCUUUUUCCUUUUCUUUUCUCUCACUAGGCCUCGAGGAUGAACGUCUGGAUAUUCUUUGAGAUGAUAACUCCGAGCGGAGACCAACCCGAGCGACGAGGACUGACUCCCUUGAAUUCUUCAUCUCUGGGAUGAAGGUUGAACUAUGUAUCAUAAAUCUAAUCUAUGAUGAUGAUCCCUCCUCAAUUUACCCUCUCUUUCUCUCUCUCUCUCUCCUCUAGAGGAUUGAUGCGCCCAUUCAUUGAUCUGAGGGAGUAGUAGUAGUAGUAGUAGGCUGGAAUGAGCUGGAGAGAGCAAGCUCUUAGCUUUUAGAAAAGUGAAGGCCUUGCAGGUGGCCCGCCGGAAGAAGAAGCGUCGCCGUCUAAAACGGUGGCGCCCACCGCCGGCGGGAGGCAGGCGGAGAAGCUGUGUGGGAGGAAAUGGCCGGGACUGUAGCGGCGACCGCACCUUUCUCUAGGAAGGCAUAUCGCCAUGCCACUUACAGUACCUUCUUCUCCCCCCCUCCCUGCAGGAAAAGCAAUAGCCGAUAAGCCGUCUUCUAGAGAGAGAGAGAGAGAGAGAGAGAGGAGGGAGGGANNNNNNNNNNNNNNNNNNNNNNNNNNNNNNNNNNNNNNNNNNNNNNNNNNNNNNNNNNNNNNNNNNNNNNNNNNNNNNNNNGUACGUACGUACGUACGUACGUAGAGAGAGAGAGAGAGAGAGAGAGAGAGAGAGAGGGGGAGACGACGACUCACACUAUAAUGGGACGGUGGGGUCUGUCUCCCCUGAAAGUACGCCAUCUCUCUCGGGCUCUGCCAGACCCUGCGUUCGUGGGCACAAAACGAUCGUCAGAAGCAUACUCUGAGGGGCCAUGAACCAGUGAAGGCUCACCUCGAGAAUCGCCAUCGCAGCCUCCUUGUCCAGCACCUCGUUAUAUUCUCGGCAGGACAGAGACUGCAGGAGGAAGAAGAAGAAGAAGAAGAAGCUUCAGGAGGACAGCACACGAAGACAGAAGCCAUUCCAUUCAAUACGCACCUGAACGCAAUCCGGGCAUCCGGCGCCAACAGAGCAGCGGCAAGAUCUGAGGAGCCUCAACGCGUCACUUAGGAGCUCCCUGAAGAGGGGCUGCAGCUGGGCGCGCAGGGAGUUCCAAUGGGGCUCAGUGACCAUCCCGGCACAAGCUCCUCACCGAGACAAGAUCGCGUGGAACGUACCCGCAUCGAGAAGCCCAUGCCGCCGGGAUGCUGAUCGUACAGCAGCAACCUAUCCGGGAUAUCGCGAUUCUCGUGGGGAUUGGCGCAUUCGGUGCCCAGGUCUGAGGCAUUGCACAUGAUGUACCUGCAGGAAUAAACGCCCCCAGACUCUCAGAGAGUGGCCAGAAGUUCGAAGCGCCCGGGAGAAGCUGGCGCAGGCUUACAGAGGCGCCAGGUUCAGGAGGGCAUGAGACGCAGCGUGCUUCCCGGCGCGAAAUGAGAGGCUGCGCGCUUCCACUGAAGCUCUUAUGGAUCGGGGGACCCGGAUCCAAACGGCCUGUAACAUUGUAUUUGAUAUUUGAUUGAACGAGGCAUAGACAGCGAAGAAGACGCGAUAGAGAUGAUGCAAGGGGCUACAGCUGCCCUACCUUUGACUCGUAUGAAUAUGGGGGAAGAGAAAGGUUGACCGUGUCGAAAAUCCGGUUGCUACCCCGCCAAAUGCAGUGAAAGCCAAACCAUUUGGUCGUCACCCGGCAUGGAUGGUAUCGAGCUGUCGCUCUCGCACUCUGGGUACCAGGGGCUUCUGGUGGAUAGGCCUGCGAGGUAGGAAGAUCAUGGAAGAUUUAUAAUGCCUGAAUCGGGUAAAUCCCCAUGGUACAGACGUUGGUUCUGAUGCAAUUUCUGAGUUGUUGGUACAAAAGUAGAUUCUGCAGGCAAAGACUAGGCCUUCAACAGACAUCUGAUAAUCCAUCCUUUGAAUACACAUUUUUUUUCCUUCUUUGGGCAGAAUACUUAAAAUCACAUAAAUAAAUAAAAUUGAGAGAUAGAUAGAGGAUAAAUUUUUAUCGAGUGACAAAAAAUUACACAGCAUGGCAUUUGGUUGUAAACUCUGGAAGAAAACGUAUAUCAUCACCCAUUUGCAACCCAAACAGGCAAUGCCAUUAAAGUUUACGCUCCUCAUAAAGGUGUCUUGGAUGCCUGGGGCAUCCGCUCAUAUAAAUUCACUCGUGUAAUUAUGUAUUUUUACACAUAAACUAGAAAUUAGAGGGAUAAAUGUAAAUGGCACAGAUUAAUUGGGAGCUGGGAGAUGACAGAAGUAAUGAUCAACAAGUUCUCUCUCUUAGUUGCAAAGUUAAAUUGAAAAAAACAAAGAAUUCCUCCAUAUUAUUCACUGUAUCACACGCAUCAAGUUAAACGUUUACGUACAUGGUCGCCUCCAUAGACGUGUACAUCCGUGUAAUCUCUCGUCUUUGUAUAAUACUUCAAGUCAGUUUUCUGGCAGAAAGCCAUCUUUCUAGAUAAAUCUAGUGCUUUUACUAGAUAGGUGAUUCCUUGAUUGAUGUAAACAGCUCCAUCAUAGACCUAGGAGAUAAAACGGGUGGAUGUCCACCGAUGAUUUCAGAAAUGAAGACAGCAAGGUAACGACUAUUUACAGAAUAAUUCUCCAUAACAACUAGUUAAAUAAUAACAUCAUCUAAAAAAGUUAAAUAAUAACAUCAUCUAAAAAUUAAGUACACUUCCAUACAUUGAACGACUAGGCGCUUGCAAGUGUUGAGGUUUCUCACAACAGAGGGAUAUUGAUUUGCCAGUUCAAUUCGCAAGUAUUGUCGCACACAAAACACGUUGGUCCGUCAACAUGAUCAAAUCAAAGUACGUGAAAAAGUGGGAAAGAAUCUUUGAUGUCCAAAGGUUGUGACAUGAACUAAUCCAAUAUACGAGUCACAAAAAGUUCAAGAGAAGCCAAGUGAAAUCAGUAAAAUAUACUCAUUAAAUACAUAUCAUUCAAUACAAAAAUCCUUCAUUUGAUCAUUCCAGACCGUUAACAUUUAUUUUAUAUAUCUACAUAUUUUGUCUUGAGCAUCAACAUAGGAUAAAUUAAUAUUUUCUUACAAUCUUCAGUAAAGUAAGUAUUUUUGUGCAGCUCCAUUUUAUCAUGGCACCACUAAACUUAAUGGACAGUAUGUUUCAACCUAAACUAGCCCAUGGUCUGUCUGGUCUAUUUCGUAGGAAUACGAAUACCCGAAUUAGCAAAUAUCAUUUUCUUCCCAUAACUACAGUCGAGAAACAAUUUCUUCAUAAUAGGAAGACGAAAUUAAAGAUUACUCAGAACUAUAUUGCAUGAGCAUUAGCCUUUAUGAUACCUUGUGCAAUUGUUUUACCACGAAGAUUAUACAAAUAUUUGAAGACGUGUUCAAGAAAGCUAAAUUACCUGUCAGAUUUUGCCAAUUUACCCAGAAAUUUAAGUUGGAUUGACUCAUGUUGAUUCGACUUGCAUACACCUGAUUGUUUUGAAUUUUUUUCUUUUAAUAUUGAAAAAUUUAUAAUUGCACAUGAAAUGAGUGUCGCAUAAAAGACAAGUUGUAUGCAAGAAUCACUAUAUUUCCAUUCAUUCCAAACUAGAAGCCUCACUGGCCACAUUUCAUGUCUAAUCAGUCUUAUUGACCCCAACUUUAAGGGGAGAUUGUUUGCUGCCACAGAACCUGCAAGCCAAUUGUCUCCCUCUAACUCCAAUAACAAUCGUCAUCCCCGAUUACUAACGUUAGAAUCGAAGUUUUGGCCUCACCCUAAUACCAAAUGAAGGCCCUAACUAGUAAUGGGAUUUACAAGAGGGAAUGUGAAUUGUUUCAUGAUGACAAUGAGUGCAUAAUAAGACUCACUUUUUCACAAUGACAAUCAGUGCAUAAUAAGACUCACUUUUUCAAGAUGACAAUGAGUGCAUAAUAAGACUCACUUUUUCACGAUGACAAUGAGUGCAUAAUAAGAUUCACUUUUUCAUGAUGACAAUGAGUGCAUAAUAAGAUGUCACGCAGUGACAUCAAGACAUCUAGUGAUUCAGAUAAAUCCAAGGCUUAUGUCACUCUCUAAGCCACCUGUGAUAAUUCUAAGUUUAUAUUUAGCAUAUUUAAAAUUAAUUUCUAAGGGUGAUAGAGUUAAUGCACAAGCCUUUAUUGACAGCAAGCUUGUUUGUAAAAUAAAUAAAAUAAAACACUUACAGUACAUUAAAAAUGAGGGAUAGAGUUAACGAUGGUACAGUGAAUGCUUCGUGAUGAUCCUUUUGUAACAUUAGCUUUGAAACUUGGAUUUAGAGAAUCUGUUUCUUUAUCUCUCCAAGUGGGUAUCACCUUCACUCAAUGUGUUACAAAGCCAACUAUCGUCUACACAAGACGACCUAGACCCCCUCGUGGAGGGGAGACCACAACAGAAUAAUGUACUGGGGCUUAUAAAUACAGUAGAGGCCAAAAUAAGAGGGGGGAGAGAAAUCAGAGAGUAGAGAGGGAGAUCUGUCCCUGGAGAGGUCUGAUUCGGGCUCUCCUGUUCCCUGAGGAUUGAUCCGACCUUAGGGACUUGUCCUACUAUCUGUGAACCUCUUUUGCCUUUCUAUUUUCUACUUUCAGUUAUUCUAUCUGAUUCUUCUAUACAAUAAGAAUUGAGUUCCCUGUUGAACCUCGUAUAAGGUAAGGUUAGGGCAAGAAUUCACUCAAAUCUCAGGAGGUUCGUAACACAAUGCUUGAGAAAGCUUGAAUUAUGGGGACGUGCUCUAUCUUCAAUAAGUUGUUUUUGAGCCUAGUUUUAAUUAUUAUCUCAAGAAAUAUGGCUAGUGAACCUUUCGGUGGUUGACACUUACUCAAGUCAAGUGUUGAUUGUUGAGUCUAAUGAAUAUGAUAUGUGCCAUUUCUCCGAUCUUCUUAUGCCGACACUUAUACCUAAAUUUUCUAGAACCGCCUGCAAGUAUGAACCACUUGUAAGGUAGUGUCAACUUCUGAAGAUUUGGCUGCCUAUUUUUCCAAUGUGUCACAACCUCUAUUGUUUUGACUUUUUAUUUUGCCUGCACGAAUCAUCACUUGAAUGCUCAGCUUUUGGUAUGCUAGUAUGUGAUGGCGUCUGUGGUACUGGCUUUUUUUCUUCCUGAAGGUAUCAACUCAUUUCUUAUAGGCGUAGAGUCAAUGUUUUUACUUUAAAUUUUACCUACGUGUGUUGAUAUUUUUCUCAUUGGGGUCAGCGCAUUAAAAGGGUAAAGUCUUAUGGACUCUUAUGAAAAAUCUGAUCAAAAUGCUUUAGGAAGAAUGUAAUGAACUCAACAACAUGCAAGAAUAUAUUCCCUUUCUCUUCACUCAUAAAACAAAAAACAUAUGAACGGCAGUAUCAUGAGUAGUAUUGCAUGGGAGUUUUUAUGUAGGGGCGAGAGUGACAGCACAACAGAAACAAUGCACUAGAAUGAUAAUAUUGUGAACAAACAUAAAAGUUCAGUGGUUAGAAAAAUUUCGGAAGUUGAAUUGGGAAAAAUGCUACCUGAAAAAAUGCCUUGCUUUCCUCUAUUUCCUCCAGAGUUUCAUUGCUUAGCAUGUCCACAACAGUGUAUUUUUCAGUUUCAAUUGCUCGGAUGCUUAUUGUUAACGAAGGUUGUUUCUAACAAAGAAAGGAAAAAAACAUAGUAGCCAAAUUUGAAGCGCAUAAUUUCAAGUGCACAAAAUAUGUGAAGGUGAUAUUUUUUACACACGAUGUACCUCAGGUCCAAUGUAGCUCCAAAUGUUGCAUGAUGAAUUGAAACUUAAAUAACCCCGACUUUUGAGGGCAACCACUACAUUUCUCAAGCCAUUACCAAAAUAUUUCUCAUCGAACUGCAUACAGAGUGGAUGCUCGAAAGCAGCACAGGUAAUAUGCUGUUCAAGCGCCUGCAGAACAUAAGAAACGCUGACAGUCUAAGAUGGCACACUUGAAUUGCUUCUGUUUCAAAGUAAGAAAUGAGCUCACUAAUCUUAGAAAACAAACCUGGGAGUUAUACGCAUCAACUUGGCAAUUCUCAAUUGGGUUUCCAAAUAAUUUUUUCGGGAAUUUCAUGAAAUAUUGAUCAAGUGGACCCUCAAAUGCAACAUAUAUUGACAGUGAGGACUGCAAUCUUCUUCCAGAUCUCCCAGCUUGUUGCCAGAAGCUACGCCAACAAUUAUCAGUAGAAUUUUUAAUUUUUUUUUUGGCAUAAGCAUAAAAGCUAAGAUCAUCGCAUAUUUACCUAGCAACACUCCCUGGAAAUCCAAGAUGAAGGGUAGCAUCAAUAUGUCCAACAUCAAUUCCUAGCUCAAGAGCAUUUGUCGCAGCAAUACCACGAAGUUUCCCUCCAAAAAGGUUCUUUUCUAUAUUUCUUCUAUCCUGUUCUUUCAACACAUCGUAAUAGUGGCAUUGUGAAAGAAGAAGGAAGAUGAACUAUACAGUCAGGAAAUGUAUUCUAUACUUUAACUUUUUAUUUUCAUCCAAAAAUUACAAGCUUGGAAUUUUUAAGUGUAGACGAUGUUGUAGAACCAUCACUGAUGCAUGAUCUUCUUUGUUCAUAAAAAGGUGAAUAGUAUCAAUAUAAUCAUUAAUGAAAAAAUUACAGCUGUAACUUUUUCCCAUAUCACCAGCUGUAAUUCCUAUUUUCUCUAGAUCGUUUCUAAAAAAAGACUACAAGUUAUAUAUGGAAUGUUAUGAUACUUUACAUAAUUUUGAUGCAUGAUCCAUAACCAACAAGAAAACAGCGGUGUGUAGAGACCUGUCAUAAUGCAUGAAGUUACCAUAACACAUGAAUUAAAGGGACCAUUCCCUCUGACACACAAGCUUCAAGCAUCAGUGAUAUUGCAGAAAUGCAAUCGUACCAAUCUACUAGCUUCUACCCUUGAUAUUUUUUUCGUUGUUCCUUUCCUAAAAAUCAACAGAAUGAAGCUCAUCUGGCAUCAAGGCUUAUGUUUAUCUUCCAUGGAAGAAACUUCCAGAAACAUUAACCUAAAGCAACAAACAUGCUUUUCUCUGAAGUAAUAUCUAUGCUGUGAUAAUAUUAACCUCCAUGCAGUUAUUAAUCCAAGAGAGCACAAACAUUUGCAUCUUUGAUACACGGACUUCAUAGCACCACAAUUGUGUUAGCAAAGAUGCGUGUCUGUCCUAAAAUAAGUUGAAUAACUCCCCAUCAAGAUUACGGGUGUGACUUGAUUGGUUUAUUCAGUAAAAGUCAAAUCAUACAACCUUGUUUGUGUCGGAAUAUCCAGAAAGAAAAAAAUGCAUAAAUCCUGUGUUUCACUGCAUUGAUGUUUCAAUGAAAUGAAACACAUCCUUGGGCUAUGGAGAUACAUCAAAUUAAUUGACAAAAAUUAACGCCAAUAUAACUACAUUUUGGUGGGAGUGUACCAUAUCAUAUUAGCCAAAAAUGUAAUCCAGUAUGACAACAAACAUGAUAAAGACGUACUUCAACCUAUACCCCAAUGAGCAAGGUCUUACUCGAAACAUAUGGGCUCCGAUCUCUCUACUCUGACAAGUGAUGAAUGAUAGAUUUUUUUGUCCCAGCAGCACCAUCACAGAGUUGAGUAUUCGUGACACAUGGGGGCACGGUUGUUACCCACUAAUAUGACAUGUGUCGAAGUUCCAUGUCAUGCAAUGAUGUGUUAGGUCCAAAUCUAAACACAUCAAACAACAGGGGUCACCUAAUCGACAGAUCUGUGUGCGGCUAAAAGUCAUGUUUCCUAAGCAUUUUCACUCUGUUCUCUAGUGUAAAUGCCAAAGACACUCCUAAAACGAAGGAACUAUAUGAAUACAUCAAUCUCUCUUUCCCAAAGACGAAUUAAAAAAAAGGUUUGAAAAUCAUUUAUAUGCAUAAUACCAUGUCCAUUUCUUAAUGCGAACAUGAAAAUUUUCUUUUCAACUAUACGAAGCUUACAUGAAAACCCUGAUAGCAAUGUCGUGUUGAUAACAUGAAAUGAAAAAAUUCUCAUUUUAGGGAGAUACCUUGGCAGUAUAGCCAGCACGAUAAACAGAAACUAAAUCAACCAGAUCAGAGGAAACCUCGCCAAGAAUUUUGCGCCUAUCAAAACCACAGUAGCAAACGUGUCACAUCUCAAAAAGUAAUAUCUCAAGAAAAUUAGAGCAAAAAUAUGGUACAAAAUUAGGCAUCAAAUCGUCAAUCCUGUGCAGUUUCAAUGGGAGACGACAUACGCAUAGCAGAGAAUAAGUUCACAGAGUUUGCGUGACUUGCAAAAUGCAAUACACCGGAGACCAUGUUGAACCAUUUCUGCUAAGAGACAUGAAACCUCAUAAAUUGGGCUGCAAAAAAUAUUACUCACAUUAGCAACACAAUACCAACACUAAGAAACAGCUAACCAAACAACAUCGACAGCAAAUUUCUGCCGUCAGUUAUUGACAACUAUUAAGAGAAGGAACCAAAGUCAAAAUAUGUAAAGAGAGAUCACAGGACACAAUAACCCAUGACCCUAGAAAAGGUAAACACAAUCCAAUCAGUAUAUGGUAUUAAAAGCAAGAACUCUCAUCCAAUUAUUAUGACUAGUCGUACGUAACAUCUUUAUACUAAAAGGGUCAGAACAGUAUUAUAUUGGUUAGUCUAAGAGGAAAUUCGUCGCUAUAAAAUCGGUUAAAAAACUACCAUAACCAAUUAGUUUAACUUCGAUGUCUCAAAAACCUAAAAAUUAUAACAGAUACAACAAUUUCUCUUGAACUAUACACCCACUUAUGUUAUUCACAUGACGAUACGUGAAAGUUGGCUCACAAAUGAGGCGUAUUAGAAAAAUAUUUAUUGGUUGGUACAAAAAAUAUCUUGUGGUUGCAAAGAGGUCAUAGACAAGUGGUUUUGAAUCGGAUGUUCCGAUAAACUUAAUACUAAGAGCAGUGGAAACUUUAAGAUAACAAUUUUAUUAGUGAUAUUUUUUCCAACUAACUAUGUCAUUGAAAUUAGCCAUUACCACAUGACAAGACCAAACACAGAGAAACUGACAAUCAUAUUAUCAGAGCAGAAUUAAAUAAAAGGGAGCUUUUAUGUUUGCCCUAUAAAAAUAGCCUAGUAUGUCUCUAUUCUGGGUAGAGUGUGAUAGACAUCAACGCACAACUUGGGGUAUGUAAACGUUUUAAGGUUUCUGUAUAUCUUCCAAGGGUAUUUGACAUUUUAUCAUCUAGGGAAAGUUUAGAAUGUUAACCAAUAAGCGUAUAGUUGCCAUUAUUCUAUUUUUACCCUAAUAUUUGAUAGUGAGGCACAGACUUGAAAAAGUUUUCCAGAGCACCCCUGUCUUUGGGCACUUGUUGUCGUUUCAAAGGAAAACCAAGUCAACGAGGCAAAUGAGACGAGAGAGAAACCAAGAUCCAUUCAGAAACCAGAUAGAUAAAAGAGGAGAUUUAUACUAGCCCAAGGGACAUUGUGGUACACUGACAAUGACUGGGGCUUUGAACACCACAAACUUAAGGUGAGACUGCUGAUGUCUCUGCCACGCCAUGGAUUUCAGAUGAAUCAAAUGAACAAAAUAGCUCACUAAGAAAAGUGGCAUUUUAAAACGGUCUGUGUCGAUGUCCUUACUAUUAAAAAAAUAUCACUUAACUCCCUUCUUCAGACUAGCAUGUUGAAGUAAAGGACCAUAUGAAAUUUCCUUGAGCAUAUCAUUAUUUUUCACAAUGUUGCGAAAGCAUGGCUAUACAAUAAGUAAUCAACAUAUGUCUAUUUGAUUUAAAUGCUACAAAGUUUCUGAAGUGCAGUUAAAAACUGUGAAUUUUACAAUCAUGAUCAAAUGAUAUCCAAUUAAAAAAAUAUUAAGCAUAUAAGGUUUCCAACUAUGAGCACAUCUGGUCUGUCUAAACUUAAAAAAGAUUACCUUGAGCGUCUGCCGGUCGCUUCUUUCUGAACAAAUUUUUUCUUCUUGCUUCCUCGAAUCAAUGAUUCUUGUUGAUUAUACAGCUUUCAGGUUUCCACCAAUCAUAAAAUUUAAAAAUGGAUUUACGAAGAAUGCAAACUUUGAACUUAGAUAUUAUAAAAUUCAGAGAAGAAAUUAUACUCGGGAUACAUACUGGAGGGUUCCACAGGAGAAAAAGCUUUGGACCACAAGGACUUCCAUCAUUUGAGAUCAACUCCAAGUCUUGUAAGUUUGCAAGUUCCUGUACCACAGCAGACGAUCACAAAUCAGCAAACACUCAACAGAUCAAAAGCGAAGGUUCCGCAAUCGCAAUAGGAAAUAUAAGAGGUCGUGGUCAUUUCAUGCAGAAAACAGAUUAGUUUUAAGUCGAUGAUUGAAGAUUCCUAGGUAUUGAUGCUUGGAAAUUUUCUGUUGACGUCAUGAAAAAUCGAUAUGAGGAUUUGUCGGCAGACACCUUGGGAAAAAUGGAAAACAAGGAUAAAUUAUUCUAACACAUUUCCGAUUUCUACCACCUCAACACUUUGACUUGUAGGUAUUCAAAAACCCACUUAAAAUAACGUACUCCCUAUAAAAAACUAGGACAUGCGUCUUUGUUAGGCCUACGGAUAUUAAAUUAUCAAUAGUAUCAAAAAAUCGAGUUGGUUCAUGCAUCAGAACAAAAGUCGGUCUGAUAUAGCAAACCAUGGUUCAUCAUUAAUACAGGUAUAGAAUGCAACCUUCAACGGGAUCAUAUGUACGACCGCAGCUCAUUCCCCCAAUCUUGAGGGACGGAAACGGUCAAUCCCCAGCCACACUGACAUAAAUCAUAUGUCCAACUUUUCCAGCUCACCAGAAAAUAUUCAGUUACUAACUCCCACAUCAGAGAUCAAAAAACCUAGGGCAUCUCAGUAACAAUCGAGAAUCAAGAUUGGCUUUUCCACUACUUGUACAAUAAAGUGCGCAACGCUCUAAGAUUAGCAUUCCUAAGACAGGUUGCAGAGAUUGGAUCCUCUUUAAAAAGCUUUCUGACAACACAGCUAACUUGGUCUAAAAAGAUAUUUCGUGUUAAGUGAAUCACCAUAUUUUCAUUAUUGAGAAAUGCAGCAGUAUCUGCAUCAAUGUUAUUCUAAAUGCUUAAAUGCAACUAUAAAGUUGAAGACUUUCUUUAAUCUGUUUUGUCAUAAAGCUUACCAGAGCAUGCUCUUGAGGAUUUGCAGAAGUCGCCGUACAAAAAAUAAAGGAAGGAUCCCUCCCAUAAACUGCAUCAGCAAAACUACGCCUUAGCUUCCUAAAAUAAGAUGAAAUCAUCUAAGCAUGGCGAUUUCUUCGUAAUACUAUGAAGCAAUCUACCAUGAAAGCAGAUGCGACGCAACCUCCUUAAAAUAAGAGAAGUAUGGCAUCCAAAUGCUCCUUUAUAUGCAUGAGCCUCAUCAAUCACAAUAAACCUGAUUGAAAGACGGGUAUUAAAAAUUGUGAAUAUGGAAAUUUUCAAUGAGUUUGGUGUCAACAUUUUCACAAGAUACAAAAAAAUAAGAUAUGCUAAAAUUCCAGACGUAUUGACCAAGAAAACAAUUUUAACUGGACACUACCCCUCUCUUUUUUCUUCUUAUGAGGAACCGUGCCUAAAAAAAACCUACCUUCAAGUAACUCUAGAAAAGUAAAGGUACUCUAGCAAAGAAGUCGCCCCCAAAAUCCAGGGUAUGAUGCACUUGUUCAUUGAGAAAGAAUGGAAACAUUAUGUCGAAGUGUAAUAAUAGAAUAUCCUGUAUGAUACCUCAGAUUGGAUAAGAUCCGCUUAAACUGCCCAUGGAAAGGCAAGACUGACACAUGCAGCAUAUCUGGAUUCGUGAUCAACUGCAUGGAUGAAAGACAACGAUUUAUUUAAAUAGUUAAAUAUAUGGCAGGGAGAAUACUACAAUUUCUCGCAUGAAGGAGAAAGCAUACGAGUCUCGCAUUGUUCCGAAUAAAUGCACGAUCAUUUUGUGGUGUAUCACCAUCGUAAACACCAAUAUCUAGGUUUUCACCCAGACCUCUUGCCAUCUCCAAUAAAGCUCUGAGCUGAUCUUGAGCCAAAGCCUGCAUCAACAAAAAAUUAACUGCCUUCUAGAGAAUACAAGAAUACAAUAAGAUACGUACAAAGGAAAUGAAGGCCAGUACAGCUGUGUAUACAGGCAAGCUAAGGAGAGGGUUGCGAAGUGAAACUUCACUGGACAUUUCGUCUCAAUUUGUUAGACAUGAACUGAGAAUGAGCUGGUAGACAUGAACCUUUGUCGGGAAGAGAUAUAAAGCACACGAUGAUGUAUUUCGACUUAGUUCUUCAAAAACUGGUAUGUUGUAGCACAGAGACUUUCCACUAGAAGUUGAUGUUGCAAUAACUAUAUUUUUCCCAGAAAGUGAAGAACGAAUCGCAUCUGCCUGCAAAUUAUCCAGAGCAUGAGAGUGCACCUAAAGUGAUGCUGAAUUUCCGAAAAGUAGGACAACAGAACGCAACCUGAUGGCUAUAUAAUCUGGAUAUCCCGAUUCGUUUAAGUGCUGCUGUUAUGUUUUCAGAAAGAUCACUAGGAAGUUCUGCAUAAACUGCUGCUUUUGCUGGAAACUCUUCCACAUGUACUAUCUAAGCACGGUGAGUUUCUCAGUAAGAUAAUCAGAUAGUUUUGCAUUUCCACAUGGGCGCAAAAAGAAACUUUACCGACCUGGCCAUGAAUGCCUAAGCCCUUUUGCAGAUGCUCAACCAUUUCUAAAGGCUGCAAUGCGGUUGUUCCCUGCAAAUGUUUAACCGUUUAUUAUGCACAUUCUUCAUACAUAAAAUCACCAGAAUUACAGGGGAUACUCAGAAAUACAUCCAUAUUAGAGCAUCAAACGUGUUUCAGAGUUAACCAUCUACUAUUUCAGUAGAAAGAAAACGUGACACAGAGAGAACAACACGGGUGGCAUCUGUUGUCCAUUUCUUUAUCUAAUAAAACGUCAACAGGAACAAAAUUUACCCGGCAAAGACAUUCUGCAUGACUCUCUGACGAUAGAGAAUCGUUCUUUGCCACUCUUAGUCUAGAUCCUUCAGAGAAGUCACGUCUUUCCUUUAAAUCAAUGAGAUCUUCUAGAGAGAGAGAAGACGGCAUCAUGCUUCCCGAUGUUAUCCUUCCCUGCAUAUUCAAGUCUAUAACAACCGGGAUUUGAUUUUUAGCAUUGUACAAUGCUUCAAAUAGGCACUCAAAAAUCAUGCCCGAAAUAUCGAAGAUUAUCUUGAGGUCAGAAUGGGUUCAAUCAAAUUGUGGUGAGAAAACCAGCAUAUCCAAAGAGCAGGAACCUUCUACUCUGAUCUUCCAGAAAUAUGGGAAGUAAAGGCAUCUCACUGUUUAAGCGAUAUAGAGACACAGACCAUAAAUGAGGUGCUAAGAGAUAUACAAAUGUACAAUACAUGAACAAAUAUAAAGUCUGAACUGAAAGCAUAACAAAUCACACAAUACAGAGGGGUUAAGGGAUGUAAAAUAUUUGAGUACAGCCGCAACUCAACUCUGAGAUAAAGCUACCAGGCAGAGUAUAUCCAAGUAAGGUGUCAUGCUGAGUCCAGAGAUAAGUUUCAAUAUCAUAUGAUUUUUGUGUAAUAAGUGAUGCUGGGAACUUGUUUUUCAACAGCAGAGAACUACCUGGAUAACUGAUGUUUUGUUCCAUACCUAUCAAUGUUAAUGGUUGCUCUUGUAAUGAGUAACCUCACGAAUCAGAAUGCACAUGGCAUGCAUGGUAGAAUCACUAUAUUAAAUAAUACAAAAGUAAAUAUGUAGGAAUAAAGAUGAGAUAAUUUCACUCAUUACCUGUUAAUUUGAAUUAAACUAUUCAAUAACCACUGCAUGCUCUUAAAGCCAACGAUCGUUCCCAGGCAAGAUGUAGCCUAUUCAUGUAACCCAUGCGGCAGAGUUGAAAUGUUGACUUAAACGUGAAGUGACUAUUUGUCUUGGCCAAUAUAAUGAUAAAUAUUAUCAUAAAGACACGCCCAGUUCACUGAUUGGCAACUGAUUUGAAUUAGAUGAUCCAAUAGCUUUUAACUACAGUAAAUUGAGUUUUUUAUCCAUUCUCCUUCAUUUUCAGGGACAGAUAUUUCAGACCCAAAAUGAAUUGGCUACCUUCUCCAAACACACGUAAAACUGUCUUUUCAUUCAUUGAUCAUACUUAUCCAUCAACUAACCACAGAAAGCAGUAGAAAUUUUACACCCAUAUAUUGAGCAAAGUGCAUGACGUAAAGAUUUUCGUAAAAUGAUCUUCAUCUCUUCAUGAACUCAUUAUGGGAGCCUGACCUCGCAUCCAACCUGUACUUUAUUCGCAGCUGUCUUAUUCCUCAUACUUGUCCAAAAUUGAGUCAUAAUGUAGCUCAUAAAAUAACUUCAAAUCAAGAAAGAAUUGUUUUUAGAGUACAGCUUGACAAUCACCAUGGAAAAAAAUAGCGGAAAACCCUAUUAGGAACCUAGACUUGGGUUAUGAAUAAUAUUUUCUAAGAAGGAAGCGUCUAAAACUCCAGCUCAAUACACGUUGAAGAGGAAAAAUCUUCCUCGUUUGUCACGUCUUCUGUCAUAUGUAAAGCUUUCAUAUUGAUGUGAAAUAAUAUUAAUCUACAUGAGAACCGAAGAAUGUUCUCCAGGCAUAUUCUUGGAGGAUUAAGAAUUUCCUUCAUAACAUUUUGCAAUAAACGCACAAGUAUAUGUAAUCUCAAAUCUAACCCAUUUUUCCAGACAAGGACAACAGAGAAAAUUCUAAAUUCUGCAUGACAAUCUGACCAACAAUCUCUGAUUGGAUUCCAGGAAAGGAGGGUCCAUAAGGAUUGGUUCCGCCACAGAAGAUUGAUCCUUCCAAUCAACUGAAAGUACUCUAUGUACGUCAAAGUGUUAUGUAAUGUCUAAUUCAGUCGAAAAUCUCACUAACAACCGCUGAGUAAUACUCGUUAUGGCACUUCCAUCAGAUGAGUGAACCCAGGUUAAUAAGAGAUGGGAACACUACAGAGACUCCUUCCCCUAUUCCCUAAAGAGGCUCAUGAACAGUUUCAGACAUUAAACACGACGGAUGGGAGCCAAAGGAAGGUAAUAGAAAGAAAAAGGGGACUAAACAUUUUUUUCAUUUCAUACAGGGAGAAGAGCGGGGAUACAUAUAUAUAUCUAUAUAUAUAUAUGUAUAUAUAUAUAUGACUUUCGAAUUCCCUUGUCUUUAUGUUUUAGAUAAUAUGUAUAAUUGAGCCCUCUUUUAGAUGUUAUAUACAAGACCCCGUCUAUCAUGUACAUUACAAAAUCAGGUAGUUAAUGACCCACUGCUAAUCCGUACGAGGUCCUGACAAGGCAUUACAAUAUGAGGUGAGCGUUCUCCAAGCAUACAAAAUUGUCUACCAUGUUUAUUUGUCCUUUCACGUCCCCGUAAUUGCCCAAAUUUUGCUAACGAGUUUUUAACAUAUGCAACAAACUAGACAAUAUAACGAGGACAUGGAUGGAACAUAUGAUUAGUACAAUCAAUUAUUUUAGUAUGAAGAAACGGGUACACACUGCAGAUGGGUUUGUUGUCUAGAGAGAGAACCUUUUUUCUAAAGACCAAUAUCUUAAUGAGCACAUCAGACAGAUCGAACAUAAAGGUACAACGAAGAAAGAAGAACAACUUGAAUCAAAUACAAAUCUAGAGUUACAGUCAACUAACUGGCGCAGAUCUGAUCAUUGUUAGUAAAACAUCUUUGAAAGCGUUCUCCCUCUUUUCUCUGGCAAAAAUGGUUGAUGCGUGGGAAGAACGAACUCUACCUAGAGGGAUGUACACACAAAGACAAAAAAAAUGGAUAUACGUUACUUGUAAAUAAGAAGAUCAUUGGUCAAAGAAAACUAUUAAGGUGGCGGCAUUGUACAAAAGCCUUACUCUUACCCUUAUGCAUAGAGUGCACAGAUAAUUCAUCAGCAUAAUCUAAAAUAACAACAGCAUCCCUAGACUUGGACAAGAAAGUUUUGUGAUUACCAAGCAUCACCACCUAUAAAAACAACAGAUCUGAAGUCAAAAAACCAAAUGGGUAGAAUUUAAACGAACUGGUUUAGUUUGAAUGCAGUACACGAUGCAAUAUCUCUUAAUAACUACGAUUAGCAAGUAGAUUACCCUUUAUAAUUAUCAUCCUGCGCUUCGGUGGAAAUUGCCUUUAUAAUUAUAAAUCCCUUUAUAAUUACCAUCCCUUGAUUUAGCUGAAACUAACAAGGAUGAUAAUAUGUCGACGAUAUAAUGCUUGAAAAAUUUCCCAUUUCAUCAGUUAAAAAUUUCUCAACCAAGUUGAUUUUAUAUCUUCCAAGUAUUGCCACGAUAUUUUUGAAUUCAAUGAUCACCUGCAAAGCAUAGACGCUCAGCACCACUUUAUAUUGAGUCACCAUCAGCCUUGAAAGAUGAAAAAUAAUUUCACCAAUUUUUCGGAUCUUUCUUUCGGUGUAACUAAUUCAAUCUGAAGGAACAAAAUUAAUAAGAAAACUUGUUAUACUUGAUAAUUCCAUUAACUUAUUUGGGUCUAGAUACCAUCACAUCUAUUGGAAUUAUGCCCCUUCAUCGGUGCUCAAAAGUUUAAAAAAUUUAGAGGGCAUUGAUAGGAUAAGGAAUUCAUCACAGGUGAUCAUCACAGAAUCAGGAAAUAUCAGCUAGACUGAAUCUUUGAACUUUCAAACCCCUUAACAGAAGAUAAUACGAUUUUUCUUUUACAUAAAAUUUUUCACAGCAAUUUCAAGUACUUGAAUAACUAUUAAGAUGGGUGGAUAGUAUUGAAGGUGGAUAGGAUAAUUGUAAUCCCGAUCUAUGCAGUAGAACUCUUUCUAGUCAAUUGAGUUUAAAAAUACGCACAUCUCUAUGACUGAUAUCAGGCAUUUAUUCACAAUUAUUACCCUUGGAAAGUUCAUUUUGAAAAGGCAAAUUUAUUCCAAACACAAGGGACGGAAAAAGUAUGCUUGAAUGAUACGAAAACUCCACCAGGGGAUUCAGAACGGAUCGUCUUUAUGGAUCAAUUCCCAGUCUUAGAUAUGGAUUGAUUUCGGCAAGCCAACAAAAUUUUUCUGAGGUUAAGUUUCUAACAGUGUAAAUCUAUCCUUGAAGCAUCCAAAUAGAAAAACAAGUUCUGUUUUCAUACUCAACAAUAAAUCUCGCACCACGAAGGUAUGAUUCCUAUAAAACGUGUGUGCUGACUCUCAGGAUAUGUUCUGGUGCAACAAUGCAGAGUAUAAAUUUCUUCAUUAAAUCUCUAAGAGCUUCCACUACGAUUAUCUUCCUAUUCCAGAUUUUUUGCUUUACCUGGAAGAGUGCUACUUUAACUCUUCUGUUCUUUUUAUGAACAGCAAGAAAGAACUAUGGUAGACUGUGAUUUCUUCAGUCUUUCAUCCUAUGCACAACAGUAGCAGUUCUAAAAAUACAAGGUGCUCUGCAGGGGUUGAAACAUAACCGAAUCUAUUUCUGUACUGAAUUCUGGCGCAUAUAUGCUACUUCUGCGAGAAGAAAAGGUCCCUACUCAUCCUAAUAUCAUUAAGAAAUGCCAUCGAGAGAAAUUUAUUCGGCAUAAAAUAAUGAAAUUAGCAAAUAAUAUUAAAAAAGAUAAUGUAAAAGAUAAAAAAAAUUCAGAGUCCUAAUGAAGUAAGAUAGUAACCACCUCUGGGCAAAAAUUCAGAAGAUGCUCCACAUCUGAGAUAUUAAUGUCCUCCAUCUGAGGGGCACCCGGCUGCUCCAGUGCUUGCCUUAGACAUUUCCACUCGAUGCAUCUGUGUUGCAUUAGUAGGAUACUAUGCGCCGCAUUCAGAAAAGAGAAACAUUUCACUAGCCUCUUCAUCCAUACUGGACACAUGCACAGGUCUGCCUCCCCAGAUCUUCGAUAGAAUUCCUCGGAAAAAAAGCACUUUCUGCUGUCGGGAUCUGACAAACAAUCAGCAAAACCAGAAACUGGAGAAGAAGAACUCUGACCACUAGGUAGUGAAUCUAAAACAUUUCUGCUAUUGUGCAAAAUGUUUCGAAGGAAAAGGAAACAAGACUCCUCCCUAUUACUUUUGGUUGCCGGAGAACUACCCCCUUCCACAUUAUGCUUCCCAUGAGAUAUAUUGCCCUCUAUCACAACGUUGUGGAUGGGAGACGCAUCGGGAGGGUCCGACAAUGAUCUGAGGUCCUCCAUCAUAUCCAGCCAAGCUAAAUCUGCAUCAGCAGAAGUUUCAACUUGGCUGCACCAUUUUGUCGUCUUGGCGCUCCCCCCGGACGGGCUCUCCGGCGGUUGGCAUUCCCUCGUUCUCUUCGAAAAAGGAACCAGGACCAAGAAUUCACCCUGAUCGAUCAGAUGGCUCGCUAUAGAGCUUCCAGCUCUCAGUUGCGCACCCUGGAUCAGUUUCACAUGAGCUUUCAAGGUUUGGGGGAAGCGGGAAAAACAAACCGUCAACGAAGCCAAAGGCCGAUCCAAAACGAAUUCCAGCGAAGACGACCGUCGAGAAAAAGAGAGAUCGUCAAGAAAUCAAGCGACACAUCCCACGAACCUUGUAGAACAGGCGAAAAUUCAGAGACUCCUUCGCGGGAGGGAACGACUCCUUGAGAACGGCCUUCAAGUCCCCCACCGUGGCUUCCGGUGAGAUGCGCACCACCGUAGACGAGCCGUCGAGGCCGCGCACUUCUAUCGCUCUCUCCUCCUCCAUGCCGUGGCCCUCCGGCGAGCCACUCCAAGCUCCCUUUCAAGCCGAGCACGAUGCCCAGCCGAUCUCCCAUUCAAACCCUACCCGCGCAUUUUUGGCGGGGGUUCGUGGGAUAAAGGGAGCCGUUGAAGCCGGUGAAGGCAUCAGUCAGUAAUGGCCCAGGUGUAUUAUGUGGGCUACGGCCACGUGUAUCUCAACAAGUACAGUAAUGGCUUCCAACCCCCGGACCGUCCGUCUAGAGUAUGGUCCAGCCGUAUUAUGUGGACUACGGCCACGUGUAGUAAUGGCUCGCCAUCCCCCCCCCCUCUCUCUCUCUCUCUCUCUCUCUCUCUCUCUCAUCUACAGUGCUACGUUACUGGAUCCAGCUGUUGUGCCUGCGGCGGCCAUGUGGAUCUCUGGACGUCAACUAAUGGGCUCCGACUUGGGCUCCUCUACGUUCCUCGGUACGACCGCAAAGUCAACUCCUUUCGGUGAGUCCCCCAAAUCUCUUACUUUUAAUCCGCAUCUUAAUUUUCCAGCAAUGAAUGCCGGUGAAUUUUUUAAUAUUAAAAUUUGAAAAAAAUAUAUAUGCAGGUGGGAUUUCAUCGGAAAUUUCAAAAUAAAAUAUUAUUAAUCGCAAGACGCAUUGGGUUUCCUCAAAACUCGGAGCGCGCCGCCUUUUCGCGAGGUUUUGACGCUCCAAGGGGAGAGUUGACCGCGGAGGCUCCUCUCCGACGACAGACUAAUGGGGAGCAUGCCGCGGCGGGACGCUUGCCUGCGGGGGGCGUCACUCAGCCGGAAAAAUGAUGACGUCACUGAUGAAAGCCGACCCAGCUGGUCCGUAAUCUGUCCCGCAGUCGGCUCGUUGAGUCAUCCGAGUCGUGGUAACGCAACGUGUCGACUUCCGAGGGGUCUGCGCUGAAUUUAGAAAAAAGAAGAUAAGUUGUGGAUAUUGACCCGUGCCGUUAGUCAAAUCGGCUUCCCUUAUUGAAACAGGUCGGCGGAAUAAAUAAAAUCCCGUAAAGAGAAGCAGCUAUGAUCUAAUCAAGGGCUCAACAUAAUCUAAUAAUAAUAAUAAUGAUAAUGAUCGUCCACAUUCGGGAGAGGGCUGCUUUGGCUAUUUCCGUGACGAGGACAGCGUACGAUUCGCAUUGGACGGUACCGGUGCGCGUCCACGUAGGGGCAGCCAAGUUACCAUAGUGUGCCUUCGACAAAAAGAUUCCGUCUUUGCUCGCUGGCAAGGAUCCGCAUGUCGGAUCGUGAACCGAUAUCAAACCGUUUGAUCCGAACCGUUGUGCGGUCCCCACAAAUUACCCUCCUCCCCAGGUCCUCGGGUUCCGUUAUCCGACCGGGAUCCGCCGCCCAGAUCAAUCACGGAAGCGGUGGCCCAAAAGAACCCCGAGUCCCUUUCAGGUCGAUCUCGGAUCCCCGCCCGGAUACGAGACCUUUGGAGGCAGGUGGCCUUCCGAUCAGACCGUCCACACGAGUCUGGGAUCACCAUGAUCGAACGGCUCGCAGAACGGGACCUCGAUCGUAACUCCACGUCACGGUGGGCUGGCACCGCGGACGCAUGUGGACGGCAGAGAACGGCGUCUCGGGCUCCCAAUGGUCGAAAUUAAAGAUACACGUGGCAGUAAACCCAUAUUUGACCGUACGUUUAAGCACUGUUUUAAAUGAUACUGGUGAGGUAUUAUAUCACAAACAAGGUUGACCGUACCUUCUGACCGCGCAAUGCGGCCACGUCGAUGCAUCGAUUGGGGUGUGGAACCCGGCAGAUCUGACCGUCGGAGAUGGCGAAAGAUUCGCCGUACGGAGGCAGCAGGCGCGCUUACCCUCUUCUGCUCCCGUUGCUUGCCGGAUCUCGAGGCGCCGGGCCGGAAAUACCGGCGGCCGCAACGGUCACAGGUUCGGCGCCGCCGUGGGAUGGGCGAGGGCGGCGGAGCCGCCAUAUAAUAUGCGCGUAUGAUACGUAUACGAGGAGAAGUCGCGUCACCGGGGAGGGAAUAUUCCGGGAAUAAACCUCCCCGACCCGAAUUAAUCUAAUAAUCCUCCGGAGGAUUUUCGCUAAUCGGCGAUCUGAGACAGGCCAAUUCUCGUAGGGGUGGACCCAUCCCAAUCGGCGGCGUUGUAGAGUCAACGGGUCAACGUGGUUCACGCCGGGUGGAAAGAGAGACGCUUUUGCGGCCAACCAACCAGUUUCGCCGACUGCGGGUGGUUCGGAUGGGGGGGGACCAGGAAGGGGGUGUGGGGCGUAGAUCUUGAAUGGCGGCGGGGAGGAUAGAGGGGGCGGGGGAAGGGGGGGGGGGUGGACGGGCUUUGACAUUGCGAGAUUCAGCGCGGCAUUUUAGAGAUUUCCCCUCCGUUUUUCUUUUCCUUGUCUUUAGAGACGCGAUUGAGCCAGGGAAAGGGGCGCUAAAUAUGAGUUGGAAAGGAUAAUUAACGCAUUUUUCAUCGGAUGGGGCUGAAAACAAAAAAAACUCGAUAUACUGGACACGUAACGCUGCGGAGACACGUGAGGCCCGAAAAGCACUCCGGAAAAGUCUCCAGGACGAGAAUCGGCGCGAUAUGGGGGUAUCUUGAAGGAUGGGUGAAUAGUUGGGGGUGUUCGUAUAAUUUUGUUACCCCGUAGAUCGGGCGCCGUAAACAUUUUCAGAGGUGGUGAAUGAGUCCUCUGGGACUCGUUUUAUCGACAGACUGACGAGGAAGAGGAGGACGGCGUUUUUUGACGGCGUUGUUGACAAGUCGCGCAUGCUGAUCUGCAGACGGUGGGGAGUAGUAGAAAAGGGAGACGGGGCGGACCAGUCGCUGGAGAGGGCGGCGCCAGAGUUUUAGAAGGGUGGGGGAGGAGGUAGGAGGAAGGAGAAAAGCGUGGAAAGGGGGAGAGAGAGAGAGAGAGAGAGAGAGAGACAGACAGACGAGGAGGGANNNNNNNNNNNNNNNNNNNNNNNNNNNNNNNNNNNNNNNNNNNNNNNNNNNNNNNNNNNNNNNNNNNNNNNNNNNNNNNNNNNNNNNNNNNNNNNNNNNNNNNNNNNNNNNNNNNNNNNNNNNNNNNNNNNNNNNNNNNNNNNNNNNNNNNNNNNNNNNNNNNNNNNNNNNNNNNNNNNNNNNNNNNNNNNNNNNNNNNNNNNNNNNNNNNNNNNNNNNNNNNNNNNNNNNNNNNNNNNNNNNNNNNNNNNNNNNNNNNNNNNNNNNNNNNNNNNNNNNNNNNNNNNNNNNNNNNNNNNNNNNNNNNNNNNNNNNNNNAGGAACAGGGAGUGGGAGGAGAGAGAGAGAGAGAGCGGCAGACAGGAGGAGGAAAAGGGCAAAGUAGCGUCGUGUUUCCAGCAGGAAUUCCGCGGCCUCGAAUUGGUACUGUGUUCGGAAUCUCCACGUUCUCAGAAGCAUUUGAUCCCCAGGCGCCUACAAUGGGUACUGCCUUUAUUGUUGCUUCUAGGCAUCGGGCUCGAUAGCUAGGCCGCCGUUUUGUGCUCUGUUUACACCGCCGUUUUGAUCCUUUCUCAUUUCUUAUUGCUCGAUUCCUCAUUUUGGGUGCCGCCUCGUACUCUGACGCCCCUGAUUGGUGAGGUUCUUGCUUGCUUUGUUCGUGAAUUCACCCAGUGUUUCUCAUUCCCCCUGUAUCUACCUGUUCCUGGCGGCGCUCAUCUCGUCACAGUUUCUGUGAAUUCCCGCUGCCGAAUUUCCCUUCCCGAUGCGUCUUCUGCCUUGUUUAUUGUGGUUGAUGACGGAGGAUUCGCUUCUGAUGAUCGGCUUCCUCUUGAUUCCUAAUCGUUAUUGCCGCCCACUUCGAGUGGAAUCAAGAUGUGCUUCGGUUUCAGUCCCACCCCCUUUUUUUCUUGUUUCUCCGAUCGACUCCCUGUUCUUUCCUAAACCCUACUGAACUGAUUCCUGUUCUUUCCUGCAGAGACGCACCAGAGUUCUUCAUGGGAUAUGGAUGAUGAAUACGAGAAGUUAGUUCGGAGGUUGAACCCGCCGAGGUGAUUUAUCCACCCCUUGCCGAUGUGUUUUCCAAUGAUUUCCCAUGAUUUUUCCUGAGAUCUGGUUCUUCCUGUUCUUCGUCCCCCAACCAGGGUCGUCAUAGACAACGAGUCAUGCGGGAAUGCGACGGUCAUUCAGGUAAUCUCCUCCGUCGAUUCAUUCCGCUCGCUCAUCAUAUUUUUUUGGUCCACUCGUCUGCAUUCUUCUCAGUUCGUCGUCGAAAUCCCGCGUGCAAUCCCUCAGGUCGACAGCGCGAAUAAGCACGGAAUUCUUCUCGAGGUAGUUCAGGUUCUGACGGAUCUGAAUCUCGUCAUCUCCAAGGCCUACAUAUCGUCCGACGGAGGAUGGUUCAUGGAUGGUAUCAUCUUCAGGACCUCGCUUCCGAUUUCUUCACUGGUCGUCUCCUUGCGUCGAUUCGGUCCUCACCGGGAGCGAUCUGACACCAUCCUCUUGGGCUGCAACAGUCUUCAACGUCACCGACAGAGAAGGCAAGAAGCUGCGGGACGAGGCCACGGUCAACGCCGUCUCCGACUUCAUCCGCAAGGUACUGCUGCUACACGGAGGUGCCGCAUUCCCGUUGACCUAGCAUCUUUUCCCCCGGGGAAGGUCAGGCUGACGGCGGCGGGGUGAUUCUGUGCAGUCUCUGGGGGCGGACUCUGGUUAUCUGCCGUCGAAGAGGAGAUCGGUGGGCGUGGCGGCUUCGAGCGAGUACACUUCGAUCGAGCUGACGGGGACGGACAGGCCUGGUUUGCUCUCCGAGGUCUCUGCGGUGCUGAACAGCCUGAAAUGCAACGUGGUCAACGCCGAGGUGUGGACCCACAACACCAGGGCGGCGGCGGUGAUGCACGUCACCGACGAGGCCAGCGGCGCCGCCAUCACCGACCCGGAGAGGCUCGCCAAGAUCAAGGAGCUCCUCCGCAACGUCCUCAAGGGCAGCAACAAGAACCGCGGCGCGAGGACCGCCGUCUCCCUUGGGGCCACCCACACCGAGCGGCGGCUCCACCAGAUGAUGUUCGACGACCGGGACUACGAGAGGUCAGACCAGGGCGGCGCCGGCGCCGACGACGAGAAGCCCAGGCCCAAUGUGACUGUGGUCAACUGGCAGGAUAAAGAUUACUCGGUGGUCACCAUUCGGUGCAAGGACAGGCCGAAGCUCCUGUUUGACACGGUCUGCACUCUCACGGACAUGCAGUACGUCGUCUUCCACGCCAACAUCGGCAUCGAAGGCCCCGGGGCUUAUCAGGUAGCUUGCUUCCUGCUGGCAAGCUAGCUGCGUUCUUCUUGUUCAGCCCUGGUACUUAUUAUUAUUUUUUUUGCUUCCGAUCACCGUGAAGGAAUUCUACAUCCGACACGUGGAUGGAUCCCCGGUCAACUCAGAGGCGGAGAGGCAACGAGUGAUCCAGUGCCUCGAAGCGGCCAUCGAGAGGCGGGUGUCCGAGGUGGGUGGGCUUCCUUCCACCUCCUUCCUGUCUUCUUCUUCUUCUUCUUCCUCUCGAUGACGCCCUGGAUCCUUCUCUUCUGUUUGUCGCUGCUGCUGCUUGAUUUUUGCAGGAUCUGAAGCUCGAGCUGUGCACCGGCGACAGGGUCGGCCUGCUGUCCGACGUGACGAGGAUCUUCCGCGAGAACAGUCUGACGGUGACGCGGGCGGAGGUGACGACGAGGGGCGGCAAAGCGGUGAACACCUUCUACGUGCGGGACGCCGGCGGGAGCGCCGUCGACGCCAAGACCAUCGACGCAGUGCGGCAGGCGAUCGGCCUGACGGUGCUGCAGGUGAAGGGGAACCCGGAGCAGCUCCGGCCCCAGCAGGAGUCCCCCACGCGCUUCCUCUUCGGCGGCUUGUUCAAGUCCAAGUCUCUCUGCAACUUCGGGCUGCUCAGGCCCUACUCCUAGAUCUCUCUCUGCAACUCCGGCCGUGGAUGUACAUAUCUGUUCUCUGUUCCUUACUCUCUCCAGCGGCGGCGGGGGAGGAGGGGGUUUCUCUGAGUGCCCUGAGAAACCCAUCACAAGUACAGCAGUCGCUGGCCGCCGCGCUGCCAUUUGUUGUCCAAGGGGACCGGCCCGUGGACCAGACAUAGAAAGAACCCACCCUAAAGCUAUCUGUUCGAUGCACAGUGAACCAUGAUCGUGCUUGUUCUACACUCCUGUAAAUAUGAUGUACAUACAGAUGCUUUGAAAAUGGAAAUUCAGCUCAGCCCCUGUACAUAAAAAGACUUUCCGGGACACUGGACUCUUCUUCUUCCUCUUCUUCUUCUUCUUCGUCUGCUUCCGACAUCGAAAAUGAUCGAUUCACCCAGGUUCCUGUCAACGCGGACCCAGUAGAAAGUAGUUCUCGGUCAACACGCUAGUUUGAUCCUGAAGCGCCACCAUGGUGGAAGCGACCCAGGUGGAUCCAGGAGAGGCUUCGGUUUCUCCACGGAGGAGCGGUGGGCAUCGGCCCACUGACAACGACGACGACGACGACGACAACGACGACAACGACGACAACGACGACGACAACGACGACAACGGGAGCUUUAUCCUCUCCCUCUGCUCCGUCUUUCACUUUCCGCUCGACGUGGCCCCCGCGGGCCGCCGCCCGCCCACCUCCGUUUUGGCUCCUUCCGGCCGAAAGGUGUGGGCUGCGCCGCCGGAGAUCAUGUUUAUCCGGCGAGCAAGCGGUCACCGCCGCCGGUUUUUAACGGGAUCCCAAACCCCCCCCGCCGAACCUGUCGACGACGACCCGGAUUCCGGCGACAGCGGACGGCCUGGCCGUGUGGUUUUUCUGACCAGCCCAAGCCCAAAGAUUUUGGCGCUCUGUUCCAAAACUCAAGUUUCUGAUUGUUUGAUACGGAAAGAAGAACUGACACCGAUGAUUCUACACUGUAGUCGUUAGAAGCGACAGCGCUGAAGAUGCAAAUGAGGACGUCAUCUAUACAGGCUACUACGGAAGCUCGUCUGUUAUUCCGACCGGAGUUUCUGCUGUGCUGCUGCUUAUUCCGAAGACGGCGACUGGUCCGUCCAGCUGAGCAGGGGCGGUCACGGAGUUGCGGCCGCGCCGCCCUCUGAAGAAGCAGAAGACGGGGGAACGCCCGGGAAGAAGGGGUUCUGCGGGAAGGGAAACUGCGGCAGCUGGACGGAAGGCGGCGGCGACUGGAAUGGGUUGGAGGGGAGAACUGACGGCGGCGACUGGAAGGGGUUGGAGGGCAGAACCGACGGCGGCGACCGGAAGGGGUUGAUGGGGAGAACCGACGGCGGAGACUGGAAGGGGUUGGUGGGGAGAACCGACGGCGGUGACUGGUAAGGGGUGGUGGGGAGAAUCGGCGGCAGAGACUUGUAGGGGAUGGUGGGGAGAACCGGCGGCGCAGACUGGUAGGGGUUUGGCGGAGACGGGAAGAAGAAGACUGGGCGGUCCUGCUUCUGGUCCAUGAACGAGGCGGCGCUGCGGGUGGCCUGCGGUCGCGGCACGUUCGGCAGUCCCAGGUUUGCCAAGCUGGGCAGGGUCGGCAGCUGCGGAAGCGUCGGCAGCUGCGGGAUAGAGGGCAACUGCGGGAUAGACGGCAACUGCGGGAGAGACGGAAGAGAAGGAAGCUGUGGGAGGCCGGCGUAGGUCUUGGAGGCGCCGAGCCGGGGGGAGUCGGCGAGGCUAGGCUCCUGGUAGCAGAGCUUCGGCUGCUCAAGGGGCUUGAAGGUGAAGAACCCGGCGGAGAAGAUGUGGAGACCCGGCUUCGCCGACUUGAGCCGCAGGGAAGACGAAGAAGGGGUGGCGGAGGACGCCACCGCGCAGAAGGGCUCGCUGCUGCUGACCAGCUUCACCGAGCAGGACUGUAUGCUCCGCAAGUGCUUGCUUAUCCGCGGCGGCAGGCGGACGGCAAACACGCCGUCCUGGUCGGUCCUCGACUCCGCCCUGAAGAUGGGUUUCGCCGCCGCUGCAGCCGCCGCUUCUUCCUCGCCGCAUUCGACGGCGACGACGGCACCUGCAGGCAGAACAGAGCAGAGCAGAGCUCCUCCAUCUCAGGGGAGAUUCAAUGGCCGUUCCUUACCAGGAGAAGCAUGCAGAGCGAAACCCACCUGAGAUGAAGUGACUGGUCCUGGAGAACUCCUGCUGGAAGCAGGUAUCGCAGUAGACGGUUCCCACCACCACCGCAUUUGGAAGCCGUGGAUUGCCAUGGUCGGAGGAGCUCGAGCCAGGGCAGAAGAAGAGGCCGAUCGCGAGGAGCAGAAGAAGGCAGGGGAUUCUACGACCAGUCCCCAUCUUCCGAGCUUGUCUAGUGAGUUCGGGGCCCUCUGAUCCGGAUAUAUAGAACGGCAAAAGCACUCCGUGCCUUCCUCUUCCUCCCGUGCUUCCCGAGGCUCUCAUUGCAGGGAUCAUGGGGAAACCAGGGUAGCUGCAAGCAGACGGGUUCGAAGAGAGAGGCGAAAGAAAGGACGAAAAGGGCGGAUCAUCUGAAGAAUCCUCUUUACAGUGAGAUCACAUCAUGGAAAUUCUCAGGAUCGCAGCCUCUUUCAUUCCGCCGCCAUGGCCAUCCUGCCGUUUCUGAUAAGGGAAGCAAAUGAGCUCACGGGCUCCGCCGCGGGGAGGAGUCACGGGGGAAGCUUGACAGGAUCAGGAGCCACCGCCUCCGCAGGGAGAGCUGAAAAGGUGAACCAUGGAGGACAGAUGCCCUUCUGAAGGUUUCAGAUUUGCCAUCACGAGCUCGAGUACGAACAGCAAGAAAUUCUGCAGUCCCCCUCUGUUUUUUUCCCAUCGAUCAUCAGCAGCUCUUCGGCUGAGCUACAAAAAUUCUUCCCAUAUAAAUACAUCUCACAGAAGAAGAUUUCACCAUCUCAAAAGGGAAAAUUGAAUUCUGCCCGACGGGGCGACGACGUGCGACGAUCAACCCUGCUACUACCAAUCAGAGCGGCGACUGAGCAAGACAACUGCGGAUGUCGGGGUUGCUAUAGUCGACGUAGCGCUCCCAGAGAGGCCUGUACCUCGCGAUGGACAUCUUCAACCACGGCUUCAUCCUCCCGCUGAAGUGGACGACGGCCGCGCUCUCGAUCAAUCGAUCGUCGAUAUCCGGGUCGAACCCUAACCCUAGAACAUGCCAUCUCCGAUCCAGCGGCUCCGUCAGGCCGUGAAACGUCAGAAGACCCGGAGCCAGGGUUCCAGUCCUCCAGAGCACGCCAUUGGAGUUCCGCUCUUGCCAGCGAUGAUAAACCGCGGUCAGGUCGGCCUUCCUCCACGCCACCAGAUCAAAAACGUUCAUCCCAAAGGACCAUCCGCAACCCUGCGGGUCAAAUCUCGAGCUGAUCAGCGGGUCUGAGAAAUUGAGGUACCUGUGGUACCUGUGGAAGGCCUCCAGGCAAGUCUCGACAGCCCCAUUGACGUUCCCUCGAAGAUCCAGCGAGAACAAGGCGGACAGAUCCUUCUGAACCACGACAUCGUCGUCGAGGAAGACCACCUUCUCCAGCGACGGGAACAUCUGCGGGAUGUAGAAUCGCAGGUGGCUCAGCGGGGGAUCAAGCUUCGGGUUCCCAAGGUGGCCCCCCGCCAUGGAUUGUUCGGAUUGCAGAAGCUGCUUCACCGUCGGUGAGUAGGAGGCGUUCAACCAGGAGAACUCCUCCAUGCUUCGAACUUCCACUGUGCAGCCUCUGCAGCUGUUCACGAGGAACCAGGCCCCCAUGGCCCUGUAGUUGGCACUGUCCGUCACCACAUGGAACACGAGCUUCUGGGGGUGAUCCGCAUUGGAGACGGUGGAAUUCACCACCACUGAUGCGGCCAGCAGAUUAUCAGAGAACACACAAAAGUGGUGGAGGCUGUUGUCCGCGAGCCGAACUGGGUUCCUCCGGUCCUCCUCGAGCCUCCUGAGGGAGGAACUGCUGAGCCAGUCCACCGUGAGCUUCACGCUCAGGCAGUGUAUGUAUCUGGGCACGGCUUCGGAUGCCAGCUGACCGAAUUCUGCGCUCUGAACCGUUGCCGCGUUGACCCGGGCUUCCAGGGCCUGGAUGUGGUUCUUAAGCGUCACUAGGGUGGUCGCAAUGUCAAAGUGGGACUCUUGGGCCUUGAGGAUCAGCUUCGCCAGCUUGCCAAUGACGGGCUGGGCCUCUUCAAGGGUGAUCCGUUUUUCUCCGAUGGCGGCCUGAGAGAGAAGGCGCUGGCAGUUCCUGAUCUGUGAACUGAGACCCCCGGCGAGCUUCAGGUUUCCAUGCUCCUUGGCCACGACAAGGUAGGCUUUGGCGAGGGUCAUCUGUUCGACCAGCUGCCGGGCGAAAGACGUGGCACUCGACAGCUCCCCACUCAAGUCAAAGGCCUCACCCUGCGACCUUCUGCUCAAUCUUCUAGAGUCCUGAGAGAAAGAACAAACAAGUGGGGGAGAUCAUGAAUCUUCAUAUAUAUUAUAUAUUGCCUCCUGAUGAAUUCCAAGCGGGGCAUUUGGCAAAAUCAAGAAUUCAGCAGAUAUGAAGCUUUAGAAAGAUCCUUCUUUGAAAAAAAUUAAAAAAGGCAAGAAAAUAAUAUCACGGGUUGCAUAAGAUUGGAAGUAAUCUGCAGGCCUAAUCUCCGUAUUAUGAGCAAGGAAAAUUACCGAAUAUGGACACAGAAUAAUAAUUCUUAAAAACUUAAUGAGCUUUCUCUUCAGAGAUUUUCCGAUAAAAUUGCGGCAUUACAGCCAAGAUUAUUGCGGCCCAUCAGCAGAGAUGGCAGAAUUCAGCGAAGAAAGAAAAUAAACAAACAGCAGGAUGUCUCAGGCCAAAGCAAUGGUCCAUGAAGCCACCGGCAGAUGUCAGGGGAAUACAUUAUUAUUAUUUUUUUAAGUUAUCUGCAUGGGUGUGCGCUCUUUGCUGAGAGGCAUCGAUGCGAUCCGAUCAAACUGUUGUAUGGCCCCAGCUCCAAUAAGAUGAACAGGGAAGGGGGUCAUCUCUUCUGCCUCCUGAAAGUAAGAGAAAAACGGAUCCAAGCAUGCAGAGAGCAGAGGACGAUCAUGGCUUGACAAUGAUGAAAUAGGAGAUCGAAAAUUCAGCUACUCUCAGGUAAUCUCGCGCAGAGAUCAUGAUUUUCGGAGAAAGUAAUCCAUAGCUGAAAAGGAAAUGACACGGUAAAUAACAAUAAAAAUUGGGCAUCUUAGGAUAAAUAAACCAUGUGUAUGCGUAGAUCAUGAUUCUCAUAACUCUCAUCUCUCUCUCUCUCUCUCUAAGUGUUUUGAUGCAAUCAACCGUGUGGUAUAAAAAUGCAGCCAAAAGCAUAGUCAUACUUUGGGCAAUCAGGUCACUCGGGCAACUGCAUGUUGAGCCGGACAGAGCUCAUGCUUUUCAGCCCUGACAAAUUAGAGUUCCCUUAUCAAUGUAUAAAGAGUCUACUGGUAUGAUUUCUACCGUAAAUUCCUAAAUUAAUAUAUCAUUGGAUGGAUGCUGAUACGUUGAAGCCAAGCAAUGGAGGAUGAAGAACGUUCCUUGAAUAUUACCCAUCUUCACCGAGGCAAUGCAAUACAUCUCAUUUUUAGGGGAAUCAUAGGCAACCAGAUUAGGUCCAACUCUUUGUCCAACCAAGCAGGCACUCCUCCAGGCUCCCUCCCUACCGUGGAUCAGCCUACUUCUCUCCACUGAUGGGGAAAUCUACAGGGCCAGGCUCGAGCUCAAGAACAGGUACACGCUUCUUCUCCAGUUGGUCCAUGGCAGGUAUCGUAAAGAUGACUAAACCAUGCGAAUCUUUCUCAAUAUUCCGGGUAUCAGUCCAGAUGCAAGUAAUUUUGGAUCCUUAAUGAGAAGCCUUAUAGCAUCCAAGAAAAGCCCAUCUCACAGGACUGUUCAUCACAGGGCAACGAAGAAUCAACGAAGAAAUCUUCUUUGAAUUGUCAAGAUCAUGGCCCAGGAAAAAACCUCAGCCGCAAAGUUCUUCCCUUUUCUUCUUCUUCUUCUUCUAAAGAAGAUUCUACUUUAGAAAUGAAAAUAUAAAUGACACCAAGAGAAAGAUAACUGACAACUGCAUCAAGAACACUUGCUCUUAUAUGCUCUUCCAUCAUCAGUGGAAGAAUCCGGCAACCCACCAGAGAUUUAGGGUGAUGUUCAGCACCGGCAGAGCGACCAAAUAAAUCUGGUUAUCCGCAUUAACAUUGGUGCUAACCUCAAUACCGACAUCUACGUUAGAAGCCUUCCUCCUGUCGAAGACCGACGGGAAAGAUAGCCCAGGAUUGACAAGGUCCCCUCCCAAAUCAUCUACCAAUGAAAAAUGCAUCAACCAAUCCUUUCCAGCGGCCUCAGCCGAUUGAGAGAGGAACAGGGAGAAGUCAAAUAAGCAACGAGCCCACAAGACAAUGAGGAGAAGGAAAUGAAUUCCGUCAGUGACUGGGAGUGCCCUCUCCGCUUACCAGUAUUGGGGCCUCCCGGCGGGGCCGCAUCAUCAAGAUCAUCGUACCCAACGCUAAGAACACCAGCAGGAGGCACCAGAUCCAGCUCACGAACCGCCUUCUUGCGGGGCGCCGGAACUCGGGCGCCCUGCGACGCAUGUCUGGGAUGGAUAAAUCCAACGCCAAACUCACGGCCAAACCAGCGAUUCACACGAGGCAGGGCACCAAUCUUGCAAGGCUGGGAGCCCAAGGCAACAACGGACACAUCUCCCACACCACGGGCAGCAGCAUCCGCGGCGAGAUCAGCAACCGAGAAGAAAAUACGGCUAGGAACAUCCGAAAAUGGGUUUCUCCGCGUCCUCCUCAAGCGGCAAGUCUGCGAGGAACUCCUGCCGAGAUCCGGCGUUUCGAUGCCAUUCCAGCAAGACGGAGUCGCUUUUUAAAAUCAAAAGAAGAACUGACUACACGGCGAAGCACGCGGGUGAAACCGACUGGAGAGGAAGACGAGAGGGAUGGCCGCUCGGGUCUUCGCCGCAACGUGCACGGAGCAGGAAAACAAGCCCAAUACAGGGCUCCCUGCCGUGGGGGCGUACAGCGGCCGUUUUCUCCUUGGAGCCACCCAUAGAUAGUCACGAGAAGGAAAUCCCACACAGCUGCCGCUAUUUUUUGUUCUUAUUUUUCCUGCCAGCAUCAUCUCCAUCAAAAAUAAGGAAAAGCCCGCGGAGGGAUCCAAAUGCCGUCUCUGGGCCGCCGAAAAUCUUGAGAUGGGCUAGGUUUUGGAAACUUUUGAAGGGGCCCCACUUUUCACUGUUAAACGGUCAAGGGCCAAAUUGGGCACAUGCCCAAUAUUAUGGUCAACGGUUACACAAAUUAUUUUCAUUUAAUUUAAAUAACUAUUUUAAACUCAAUGAAUAUUGGCUAAUUACAGAGUACGCAAGUUAUUUACUCAACAAUAUUUUAUUGAAAAUCGUCACGAUAAUGUUACAUCUGAUCAAUUAAUUUAAUCACCGUUGACCAACAGAUGGGAUGCCUAGAUCCAUCCUCCCCCCCGAGUUCUGAUCGGCGUGUGUGGGCGAUCGGUCAGUCAUGGAAUCCCCCAGCUUAUCCGCUCUCUGCCCUUCUUCGCGGCGGCGCCGCCGGAGGACGACCCGGAACACCCGCAGCGGAAGAAGUGGAACAUGACCCCCGCCAGGGAGACUGUCACGAGGAAGAUCACCAGGCAGAAGAACCACGCCGCUGGUAGCCUGGUGGGUUGACUUUGGAUCCUCUUUUCGGUUAUCUCCUGCAAAAACGCAUGUUUUCCACCUGCAUGAGGGACGAAUAAAGUUCAUAAUACGGCUGACCUUCACGGGUUUUUGGGUUAGACGGUACCUAAGAUCAGUGCGGAAUGAGAGAGUCAAAAACGUUCAUGUUUCCGUAAAAGAAUUUAAAGAAAGAAUUACAUAAAGUAUAAAGAGUGGAAACUAUAUGCAAAAUGGAGGAUACUAAUGCACAACAUCCAUUCCGAUUAAAGAUGCACAUAAACACCAAACAAUUUAUAUGAUAACAAGCACUUUUUUCCUUCUCAUGGGUCCACAGCUUCCACCUCCCUAUGAUUAGUAAAAAGAUAAGACUCGCCUUUGGGUUAUUCUUCACCACCAUUCAAUCGAGGAUCAGCUUGAAAAACGGUUGAUCAAUCAGGAAUAGAAAAGGAAAGUUAUUCUCACCAAUGCCCAUAUUAAGUCCUGAUUAAUACUUCCUCACAGUUUAUUACAUCGAAAGAAUCACAAGUCAAACAGACGAGUCAGCAAUGUUCCGGCUCUCUCUCCAUGUCGUUGUUCUUGUUGUUCAAUAUAGGUAGGGUUACCACCUCGUUCUUUUCCUUAGCGUAAGCUGGGUUGAUGUGAACAAAGGAUUGAACCACGUCUUGAAAAGACUUUUCUUUUCAGAAUAGUGAUCAAGUGGUUGACAUGGUUGACUUUAGGCAGUCCUCACGUACACUGUAGAUUUUCACAAGGAAAUAUAUGCAAACGAAGUUAACUAUUAUUUUAUGAUGAAUAAAUACUUCCUGCUUUGCCGUUUGGUUUUGGCGCGGUGUCGGUUAAUCUACUCCUACCGUGUGUGCUCAAGAACCUACUAUUUUUACGUCGAUCAUUCGAUCCGGUAACGCUGCAGUAGAAGGCGUACGUGAAGGGCCAACCGAAAAUAGAAAGAAUGAGCAUACAACAGAGGAAACCAAGCUGCCGAAGCUCGGUCCUAUAUGCACUGACCAUGUUCGGGCAUUAGGGGGUUUGACUUUUGACUGUUUAUGGCUCUAUUUUGAGGUACAUGCUCGUCUUGGACUGAUUAUUAUUACGCUGUUUACUCUCUCUCUCUCUCUCUCUCUCGCUCGCUCGCUUGUUUGCUCUCUAAAGCCGGUGAGAUCCUUCCGAAUCGCACGGGGAGUUGUCUUGUCCCGCACCGGAACAGCGGUUGACUAACAGCUUCUGGUUGCGCAACAGCCGGGGGGGAAUAGGAUCCUUCCUGAAAUCUAGCCCCAUGCAGGGGACGCAGAUAGACGGAGGGCAAGGAUUUCCUCACAUGUUGCUGAGAGUUUCCUUAAUCGAAGCCCGCUGGGAUUCGCCUGAUGCAUCGGACGACAACCAGCUCCCGCAAAACCCCGGAAAUUUGAAAGUUGGCGGGCUCCCUUUGGGACUAUAUAUUUCUAGAGACCCCCUCCCCCUCUUCCCGUCGACUCCCCUCAGGGUUCUCCUGCUCUUCUCCCCCCUCCUCUUUUUCUUGACCCACCGCCGGUGCAAUUCCUGCCGCCUUGCGCGGCCGUCGCAGCCGACCCUUGAAGUUCUUCCCAGACGGGUUCGUAUCCGAUGGGUUCCUCCCAUCCUGGAGAAAGCUUGGCCACCAGGAGCGACACCAACGGGAGCGGGCCGCAGAGGGGUGGAGGCGGCUCCCCCAUGGGAUACGUCCUGACGUCGCCGGCAGCCAUCUUCUCCUGGAAGUGGAAGGGGAUCAGUUUUACACCCCCGCGGCUGGAGUUGCCGCCCCCCGGCCUUUCUUCGCCUCGCGUUGGAUACCCCAAACUCCCUGGCGGAUGCCCCGAGCUGGGACUCAUAGCUUCACCGGACCCUGCCGAGAGGGGCCGAACCAGUCCAGAUGGGAAGGCCGUCGUCUCCCCUGGCUUCAUCCAACAUUUCAAUACUCUCCGGAGGAUGGGUCAGGAGGGGAAGGAGGAAGAGGACCGUGAACAUCUCGCCCGACAGCACGCACCGUCCAGCUCCACCGGUUACUCGCUCGAGACGCUGCCGUUCCUUGUGGAGAUCGUCGAUCGGGUAGUCCUCUACGGCCAGCCUCUUGGCCAGAAUCUGCGCGAGGCAGCGUGUUUGGCGGCCAUGGAUAAGCACGCCAGUGAGCACUGGAAGAGACUCCUGGAGUACGGGGACAAGCAUCGUGUGAGCAACUCGGUGCAAGUAAUUCUGGGCUUCGUGUUCAGGCUCGCGGUUGACGAGGUGGGGCAGUACCUCGUACGCAAGAUUAUUUCAUUCUGUGACGAGGAAAUCCUACAUGUCGUCGUGAGAGAGGUGGUGGUCCACCAGAAGCAGCUGCUGGAGACGGCAAAGAACGCACUGGGGUGGGUCUACCUUGUUAUUCUUCUUCUUCUUCCUCCUCAGCCUACGUGGGGACUAAUUAGCCACUUUUUUCUGUCUGCAGGGUGAAAUGGGUUCGACAGCUCCUCCUGUUGGUAAGGCCGUGGCCGGCCCUGAUCAGCAGACUCACCUUCGCUCUCUUCGAACGCGCCGCCGAGCUCAUGAUCAACAAGCACGGUUCCGGGCUCAUCAAGGAGUGCUUGAGUCGCCUCAGCAGCGAGCAGAACAUGGUACGACGCUCUUAAACAAACCGACCCCUCCCCUUUUUUCUUCACUCGACGGCUGUCCAGAGGCGCUAAAACUCUCCAAAUGUGCCCCCAGUUUAUAUACGCUGCGGCCCUGGACAAUCUGAAGACCGUCGCCAAGAACAAUCGGGGGUGCGUCAGCCUCGUCAAGAUCAUCGACCAUGCACCGCCGGAAACCAAGCACCUGCUCCUGGCUGAGAUAAUAUCAUAUUCCCCGUGCCUCGCCCAGGAUCCCUUUGGGUACGAGCGGAGAUUUUGGCUUCUUGGGUUUUCCUGCGGUCAUCUUCUUCCCCGCUUUUUUGCUUUUUCGGUUUUCUUACACAUAAAGGUCCCCGGCGCCGGCGACAGGAACUACGUCGUCCAGCACAUCUUCAACCUGGGGGAGGAGGAGUACGAGGAGAGGCUCUGCUGGAAGCUGAGGAGCCACCUGGUCCAACUCUCCAUGCAGAGGAGUGGCAGCCACGUCGUGGAGAAGUGUAUGGCCUCUGCUGGCGGGCUGCUUUUCCUAAAGGACCUGGUCUCCCACAAGAAGCUCAUCCAGAUCGCCCAGGACACCUACGGGAACUUCGUCGUCAACGCGGCGCUGAGGAUCUCCAAGGUGCGACCCUUUCGCCCUAUUCCUCCUCCUCUUGGACUCACACCUGCCCAAGAACAAGGAUGGACUAUGACGCUUACUCAACGAGAAUAUGUUGCACCUUUGUGCGCAGAUGGUGGCGCCGCCGCUGCACCAGAGGCUGGUGGAGGCUCUCAGGGCUCGUUCGCGGAGCCUCAGGAACCACCCCAAUGGGAGGCACGUCUACAAGAACAUCGUGGAGGCGGCGGACCACCCCUCGUGAUCACAAGGAUUGAUGAUCUCUCGCUCUCGCCCGUAGUUUUUUUUCUCUCGUUGCUGAUCGAUCGCCUAUUUGUUCGUGUAACUGUUUGCUUGUGGUGUUCCCUAUGUUCCCAUCUAGACAUUACUCUAAAUGUUCGCCUGGUUAGAUGCAUAUAUGAAGCUACGAAUCAUCGUUGUCUGACUUAUCAUGGGUGCUAAUUUAAACGCCAACAUAUACGCCAGAAGCCUCCCGUCUGUCGAAGAUCAACGGGAGAGGUAGCCCAGGAUUUGCAUGGCCCCCUCCAAAAUCAUCUACUAAUGAAAAAUACAUCAACCAACCCUUUCCAGCGGCCUCAGCCGAUUGAGAGAGGAACAAGGAGAAGUCAGAUAAGCCAUGAGCCCACAAGACUAACGAGGAGAAUGAAAUGAAUUCCGUCAGUGACUGGGAGUGCCCUCUUCGCUUACCUGUUUUGGGGGACACCCGUGGGGCCGCAUCAUCAACAUCAUCGUACCCAACGCUGAAAACACCAGCAGGAGGCACCAGGUCCAACCCACGAACCGCCUUCUUGCGGGGCGCCGGAACUCGGGCGCCCUGGGUCGCAUGUCCGGGAUGGACAAAUCCAACACAAAAAACACGACCAAACCAGCAACUCAUCCGAGGCAGCGCACCAAUCUUGCGAGGCUGGGGGGCCAAAGCAGCAACGGGCAUAUCUCCCGCGCCACGGGCAGCAGCGUCCGCGGCGAGAUCAGCCGCCGAGCAGAAAAUACGGCUAGGAACAUCCGAAAAUGGGUUUCUCUGCGUCCUCCCCAAGCUCCUAAGUCUGCGAGGAACUCUUGCCACGAUCCGGCGUUUUGAUGCAAUUCCAGUAAGAUGGAGUCGCCUUUUAAAAGAAAAGGAAGAACGGACUACAGGGCGAAGCACGCGGGUGAAACCGACUGGAGAGGAAGACGAGAGAGAUAGCCGCUCGGGUCUUCGCCGCAACGAGUACGGGGCAGGAAGACAAGUCCAAUACAGAGCUCCCUGUCGUGGGAUUUUACAGCGCCAUGUUCUUCUUGGAGCCAUACACAGUUGCCGCUAUUUGUUGUUCUUAUUUUUCAUUCUAACAUCAUCUUCAUCAAAAGUUAGGAAGGCCCGCGGAGGGAUCCAAAUGCCAUCCCUUGGACACCGAAAAUCUCGGGAUGGGCUUAGUUUUGGUGGCUUUUAACUGGCCCUCUGUUCAUCAUUAGAUGAUCGCGGCACAAAUUAGGCCCAUGACAAAGAUUUUGGUCAACGAUUACACAAUUUUGUUUAUUUCAUUUAAAUAACUAUAUUUUAGCAAUUUUCCGAAAAAGGGCCGGAUACACUCUACAAACUAUAUGGAUUAAACCGACAAUGAAUCUUGGGAGAUUACAGAAUGCGUUACUUCCUCAACUAUUUAUUGAAAAUCGUCACGACAAUGUUACAUCUGACCAAUUAUUCUAAUCGUCUGUGACCAACGGAACGGAUGCCUAGGCUCCCCCUCCUUCCUGAGCUCUGAUCGGUCGGUCAUGGAAUCCCCCAGCCGCGCUGCUCUCUGCCCUUCUUCGCUGCGGCGCCGCCGCCGGAGGACGACCCGGAACACCCGCAGCGGAAGAAGUGGAACAUGACUCCGGCCAGGGAGACUAUCACGAGGAGGACGACCACCAGGCAGAAGAACCACAUAUCGUCCAGAGACGACCACGCCGCUGGUAGCCUGCUGAAGCCCCACCGCGGGAAGGACAGGCCCAGCUUCUCCAUCAGAAACUCGCCGGAGCUCUGCCGGAGAACUUCCCGCAGGGCCCCCAGAGUCUCCAUCUCGCCCAAGUUAAAGCUUCUCAUCACCUCUCUCUCUCUCNNNNNNNNNNNNNNNNNNNNNNNNNNNNNNNNNNNNNNNNNNNNNNNNNNNNNNNNNNNNNNNNNNNNNNNNNNNNNNNNNNNNNNNNNNNNNNNNNNNNNNNNNNNNNNNNNNNNNNNNNNNNNNNNNNNNNNNNNNNNNNNNNNNNNNNNNNNNNNNNNNNNNNNNNNNNNNNNNNNNNNNNNNNNNNNNNNNNNNNNNNNNNNNNNNNNNNNNNNNNNNNNNNNNNNNNNNNNNNNNNNNNNNNNNNNNNNNNNNNNNNNNNNNNNNNNNNNNNNNNNNNNNNNNNNNNNNNNNNNNNNNNNNNNNNNNNNNNNNNNNNNNNNNNNNNNNNNNNNNNNNNNNNNNNNNNNNNNNNNNNNNNNNNNNNNNNNNNNNNNNNNNNNNNNNNNNNNNNNNNNNNNNNNNNNNNNNCUCUCUCUCUCUCUCUCUCUCUCUCUCUCUCUCUCUCUCUAUGUAUGCAUGUGUAAAAGAAUAUAUAAAUAUCUAGAUCUAUAUGCCCACGGAUGGUUGUUCCCUGGUCCGAAGGAGGGCCAUUAUAUAUACCCGUUCGUAAAAGGAUGGGAACGUCGGGGGAUAAGCUGCGGUGUGUUUCCUCAAUAAAUAACUCAAAAAGGGAAACAAUGGGAUUCGAGUGGCUUCUAUUCUCGUAGAUAUGCGGAUUCCUCCUUGUGAAGCUUCCUGCCCUCGUCUAGAUGCCCCGAAAUCAUCGCUCAAGCACUACGUGGACAUGUUCUCGUCAUGGGAAGAUGCGGUCCACGUGGUUGCACCGUGUUUUAAAUAUCUGAUUGAUUGAUUGAUUAAUUGGAGCCCCGAGGGCAUGAGAAGUUCUCAUGCUGGUAGCAUGUCAUCGUGAAUUAAGACGGAGAGUGCUCUUCUCUAAGUUUGAAUUCUUCAUGGGUUGACCGCUCUGUUCAGCCAUUGUGGACGUCGAUUCCUAUGGUCUAAUGUCUUAGCCAUGACGGUUGGACCUCACAAUCAGUAGGCGUGAUGAUAAUACCGAAGAAACUUUGAACAAGUCAAUGUUUUUUAAUUCGCAUAUUUUCCGAGAUGUUUCUCAUCGUUGGGCUCUUGGGUCCCUUUGGAUAUUCCAGAACUAAGAAUAUUGACUCUACCGUGUUAAUGCGACCUCCUUACUACGAAGCAGCAAACACAUAUUUUGAAGCAAGUACAAUGGAUAGUUGCAUCAAGUAGACAAAUUAUUAGAGAAACGUGUCGAAUUUCUUCGUUGGUUAUGCAAGUUGCUAGAAUUCAUCAAUAUACAACCUAGCCUCCGUAAAAAGAAAAAUUAGCUUUUUAUGAUUACAUUGCCUUGGAUGAUCCACAUCUCCGGGUCAGGCGCUGAUGAGCACAUUGAACUAUCCAUGUGGCUGAGAGCCCUCACAGCCCAGGCACAACGACGCAAUCGAUUGUGUGAUCCAGGGGCACUGCUCACGAUGUACGAACUGGUUGAAUCUCUCUCUCUCUCUCCCUCUCUCUCGCUUCCGCUGGAAGCGCGGCAAAAUCUUCAAUCUAAUGACGUUCUCUCGUUGAAGUUCACAGAAAAGAAUACGGAGUUAACGGAUUAUCAUUUUUUUUUGCUUUUUGAUUUCUGCCCGGUUCGAUAAUUUGAGGCUCGAUACGGAGGAAACGUGAAUACAGACCCUCAGAAAUGACCGUGAGUUUACGCUGUGUGGAUGCGACUUCCGAUUUACGGAACACCGAUAACUAGCAUAGCUUAAUACGUGGUGACCGUUGACAUAUGGUAACCGGGGGGAGGCGGCUGCGGCCAACGAGGAGCGUUCUCAGACGUCUGCUGGUAUCCUCUUGAUCUUCGAGGUGGAGCACCCGCAGCGAUACACGAAGUACAUGAGGCCCACCACGAAGAGAGCCACCGCGAGGACGAUGGAGACGGCGGCGAUCCACGGACCACGAAGCGGAAGUGGCGGCGCCGCUGGCCCGUCCUCCUCGAGCUUCUGCAGAAGAAAGUCGCCGGAGCGCGCAAGGCUCCGAAGCAGCGCCUUCUCGUCCAUCUCCCGCUUCUCGAGCGAGGGUGGAGGCAUCAUCUUCAGCAGUUCCUCGAAAUGCCACCCCAUUUCUCUCUCUCUCUCUCUCUCUCUGCACACCCAAGUUCUGAGCUUCUCCACCGAUCACUAAGACGCGCUGUCCAGAAUAAAUAAUGAAAAUUUCACCGAAUCGGUUCACUUAACUAACGCCCAGGGGAAACGAAGUUUCCAAUCAUUGGAAACGAUGGAAGCUCCAAGAGUCCUCUCUUGAGCUUUUGCUCAUUUUUCUCGAUCUUUUAUUGCACGCGCGCAUCGUAUGUCGUCGUCCGCCCCCCUAGCGCCACAGAAAAUCGAAUUAUCUGAUUCACAAAAAAAACUUAUUCUUGAUGUGACUACUCGGGCAAAGUAUGGUAAAAUCUCGGUUUAGGAUUUUAGGCAUUUAUAAAUGACCUCAGGCUUUUCUUCUCCGAUAAAGGACAAUGGCAUUCCCUCUCCUCUCUUGCAAGAUGAAAAACGACCACGAUCGCGACACGGAUCGAUCGACAGCACCAUGAUGACGAUUUAAUAGUUGCAGGAAUGGACAGAUACAGGUAAACUCUUGGGUCUCUGCUUCAUUUCAACAUGGAAAGCAGCGCGUGAACUUACAGGCGGCGAAUCAAAACCCUAGUAUCAGGAAGAAAGCUCUCAGCAAGUGCUUUUCAGCAUCCAAAAAUAUUUUGAGCUGAUGCAGAAGCCUCUUGCCCUACACUCGAAGAGCUUCUUCUACCGUUUAUUACAUAGAGAAUCUUUUACAAAAAUUCUUUAUUUCCAGACACCCACUUCAUCGAAGCUUCUCACGUCUACCUACUCAUAACUCCAGCCUUCCUCCCAGCGGCAUUCAUCAGCAUGGCGGGAUGGCCACCAUCUCCGAAGCAGCCCGCCUGGUAGCAGUAGUAGUAAUAGAGGCCACCCAGGGAGAGGAUGAUGAGGAGGAGCAGGCUGAUUGCAGCCACAAUCAGCUCGUGCUCGUACAGCGUCGGCGGCCCACUUCGCGGCGGCAUCAGCAUCUUGGUCGCUCCCCAGCCGCCCUUCAUUCCCCGCUCGCCGCCCCGGAAGAAGACGUAGUAGAUGACAGCUACCAGGGUGAUGACCACGAGGAGGACGGAGAGGAGACGGAAGAUCCAGUCGGAGUCUUGCGGCGGCCCGUUCGCUCGGUUCUCAGGCGGUAGCAUCUGCUCAAGCUUCUGCAAGAGGCUGCCAAGGGUGACUAGGAAUCCCCUCAAACCCUCCACGACGAAGUUUUCCCCACCGCCUCGUCCUCUGACGUCGUCCAUGGAUGACAUGAUCAUCAUCUUCUUCCCAUGCAUCUGCAGAAGGCUCUCCAUUUCCCUCUCUCAGUCAGUAGCUGUCAAUCCUUGUCUUCUCGCCGGCUCCAAGCUCCCACUCUUCUGCCCGGCUUCUCCCCUCUGCUCGAUCACCAACCUUCUUUGGAGUAUAAAUAAUUGAGUGUGGUGGCCUUCGUCGGGACUGACCCAGCCCUCACCAGAAGACGAUUCAUCGAUAUCGGUCUGCCAUGGAUCGUCGCGUCUUGUGCCGGCGGAGCUUGCAUUAUUUGUACCAAUAUAUUCCCCAUUCGACCAAGAAGCUUACUGGAAAGUUCCCACUGGUAAAUGAUGUCAAUUCAGAGAGAAUCAGAUCUUGGCAUCCCAGUGCGUUGGCCUGUUCUUGGCGAUCAAUCUCUCCGUCUUUGGCGCAGCCUUAUCAUUAAUUUACCGCAAAUCUCUUCUGCUCCACAUGAGGAGCAGACUCUCGCCCUCAGGGACUCCCGUUCUUCCAAAUUUAUUUUGUAAUGCGAAUAGAGAGCACGUGAGAUUUAUGGAGGGUGCCUUGAACGAUAUAAGAAGUACAUUCCUUCAUGAUUCGUCUCUGGGUGUCGGAGAAGAGAGAGAAAGUGAUAAUUUAUUGAAAAAUAAUUUAUAGGCGAAAAUAGAAAGAGCCCGGUUCUCCGUUCUUCAGGAGACCCAUGGUUUAUUUUUUUCCCGUUGGAUAGGUCCGGAUGAGAAGCUUAUAAACGAAUUAAUCAUUAUACACGCCACAAGAAUGUGAUGAAAACGUUCCAAAAGGUCAUCACUCUGUUCGUAGCUAUUCUUCCACAACAUCAUCACUCUAUUCGCAGUUUUUCACCCAUAAGUUUGUCACUCUACUCGUUUGAGCCUCUUACCGUCGUGCUCUUAGUCAUAAGUCUACUAGACUCGUCGAAUUCAGACCAGAUUGGGAACAACUCUUUUUCCUACUAAUUAUUUAUUGAAAUAAAUUCUUUUUAUGUAUAUUGGAAAACAUUGCCUCAUAGUUUCAGAGAUCAGAAUAAAAACAUUACUACGAGGAAAGGAAGAGAAUACCGACUUUCACAGCAGUUUGAAGGGGAAAUUUAACUCUAGGCCGUGGAGUUCCGCUUCAAGAUGUUGCAUGGGAUAAGAUCCUUCUGGGAGGAGUGACAGCUACCAGGCUAGUAGUAACCGCAAUUCCUUUUUCAUGCUAUUCCACAACUCUUCGAAAUUAUUUCAAGUAAAAAGUAUUAUUCAAAUAAAAAUAGGCAUGGAGCUCAACUCGAUAUCUUUCCCGUUGAAACCUGGCGAUCCCGAGUACAAGGAAACGUGUACAUCCCGAGUACAAGGAAACGUGUACUGUGGCUCUUAUUAUUCAAACUCUGGUGAGAUGGGUUUCGCCGGGCGAUUGCUGGGGUUCUUGAUAUGAGAUCUAUAAGAUCUGUUGGUGCCACAACGCAAGAGCUACGUGUAACUAGCUCAGUUUUAGCUUAAGGUAACAACAAUGGCCACUCCAAUGUGAACUUGAUUACCAAAUCCAUUGACGUGCAACUUGAUGAACGGUUUUCCUUGUAAGCAAUUUUGUUCCUGUUUGGUGGGACCCAACGCUUCGAGCUACAUCUUGAAUUAUCUAAAACGAUUUUGCAUCACUGUUGUUUAUAGGAAUAGGAAACCCAUAUGGAUAUUGUUCCGCACCCACGUAAAUUUCCAAGUAUUUCCUCAUAAAUGAUUUUAUGAGCGGUCAAAAGGCUCAUACACGUUGUACCACUUCUUGAUUUCUUGCCCGCAUACUUUUAUUGGUUCCAUCCUCUGGCAGUUAGCUUCUUGCACAUUGUACUGUGGUCAAACAUUCCCUUAUCUGGAUAGGGUGGGUCCAUUUCAUGUAGCAUGAACAAACCAUUUUCAUAGCUCAAUUAUGAUUUUCACGAGAUUGGAAGGAAGUGUUAUGCUCAAUCAAAUGCAACACUUGCUCAUGCACGCCAUCGUUAUCCUCCAAGGUAAUGUCGCUCCCUAGUUAUCACUACACGCCUCAGGUAUUGACUAUCCUGGGGUGUUGAUCGACAAGACGGCCCAUGCGCCGAACCCACUCUCCUGGUCUCGGAGUGAGGAAGGAGAUUCCGCGAAGAUGACGGUGCUGCCGCCAAGAUGAUAAGGGUACAAACUUUAUCUACAUCGGGAGAUUAAUAGCUAACUGUAAGGAUAAAAAUAUAGGCAAAGAUGGUAUUCGCCAUUAAACCCAACGUCCCUAUCUGCUCUCUGAUACAUGAAUUCAAGAGUUUAUUGCUGCUUAAGACAGACAUGAACCGGUGCAAGUUCUUUCUCGUCGUGAGGAAGGAUCUUCAAACUGGGAACGCAACGGGAAAAACUGCCAUGGCGGCGGCGGCGUUUUAUUAUUCUCUUCAACUCAGACAUUUCCAUUAUUCUUCAAGAGUUACGUAGGCUUCGUGGGUUACUACCUGUUGGGACGAAAAACCUGCAAAAACUCUAGCGGCAUCUCCCGUUUUGUGGGGCGGCCGGACGUGGACUCCCUGCUCGGGCUUCUACUGGCUCAUCAUCAUCUUGGCCUUCCUCCCUGCGGCUCCCGCUGCGAUCUUGGUCAAUGCAGCUCCGUAGCAGCCACCACGGAAACAGAACAAGUAAUAGAGGCCGGCCAGGGAGAGAACAACGAGGAGGACCAUGGAGAGGCUCGCCACGAGGCACUCGUGCCCGUACAAGGAUGCCUCCUGCUGCCCGCACCCUCCGUGCUCUCUGCAGUUGCCCCUGCGCGAGAAGAUGAAGGCUAUGACGCAUAGGAGGGCGAAGAGGGCGACGAGGAUCGCGCCGAGAGGAAUGAUCCAGUCGGUAUCCUGCGGGGCCAUCGCCGGCUGGGUCUUCAUCAUCAGCAUCAUCGUCGUCAUCUUCAUCCUCCGCCGGAGAGCCCUUCUUUCUCUUCUUUCUCUACGGGGUAUACGGACUCUUCUCUACGGGUGCAAGUUUGGGUUCAGUAUAUAUAUACACACCGAGAGCAGGUACACCUGCAGUGAUCUUUCCGCGUCGUCAACAGAUGAUAAAUGCUACGUCCAAUCUGGUGUUCGGAGUGGUAGGAGCCCUUCGUCCCCCGAAUGAUUUUGAUUCGAUUCCCGGUUAGCCGUCGUCUCUGACACGUCCGAGGAGGCUCGUUGGCUAGCACACAUCUCUCUCUCUCUCUCUCUCUCUCUCUCUCUCUCUCUCUCUCUGUUCUUCUCUGCUAUCGUUCUUACGACGGCACAAGAACCCACGUUGCAAUUCUGAGAAUCGUGAGAGAAAACAAAGAAAAAUUCAAGUUCAAAUUAUAAUGAUUCAUCACUCCCAGCUGUCACAUAAUGAAAUGUAUUUUCAUGAUUAUUAUGCGCUCGCUAGAGACGAGAUUGGAAAUAAUUCGGCAUCUAAAUCAUACGGAAUAAUCUAAAAGAAAUGUGUUCUCAUGUAGGUCAUUUUUGCUCUAUUCAGACUGAUACAUUAUUAUCACUACUCUUCACCGUAUAUUACCCCACCCAUUAGCAGAAGUCAACCAAAUUCAGAAGAAAAAAAAUCGAAAGUACCCAGUCGUCUAGCAAAAGGUCAAUGUCCGGGGAGAUCAAUAAUGUGGAUAACGGAUAGGACAGUUGAAAAUUUGCAAGGGGCAACAAAAACCCAAGAACAAGCUACACCGAUGAACAGCUGACACUCACGAGAUCUCAAGUUCAAAACGUAAUAAAAUUAGUAAGGGUUCCGCCAAGUUUGGGGAAAGACAGUGUUAGAGGCCAAAAAGAGAAAGAACAGAGAUCCGAGAGGUGAGUAAUAAAUAGAUAAGGGCUUCAUAGAAGUUAAGAGAUCUUGCUUCUUAUGGGUAGUGAAUAUGGUGUACAAUGAACACCAUAGUACCAAAAACCAUAUUUGACACAAUAUAAGUACAUCCGCUAGCUUUGAAACAUCCACAAGUAGUGAAGAUUUAGAGAGAGAGAGAGAGAGAGAGAGAGAUAGAGAGAGAGGAGUCUCAACCACAACCUUCGGAAAGGGUCCCAAUGCCGGAAUGUAUAAAUAAGGUUAAGGUUCCGAGCAACAUCAAUGGAGGAAAACUUGUGACAAGGAGGCAAUCGGCAUCCGGAAACAAAGGGACCAUCCUUUCUGCGGCGCGAUGGGUGGCUCCGGUCUCCUCCAGCAAUGGCCCCGUGAAAUGAAAGAAUCGCCUGUGAAUCGCUGCGUGUGGAGCAGAGAAGCCACAAGUCAGGGCUUUCUCUGGGUCUGGCUGAUCUGAAAUGGAUCACAGCCUACCCCCCCCCCCCCCCCCCCUUCCGGAAGAAAAAAUUACACCUGUUAAAAGACGGUCAACGAGUUAAAAACUAUGUAAACCUGCCGCGCAGGACAGAGUUAGUAUACUAAGUCAAACCCACCGACAACUUGCCACCUGAGGGAUGGAGCAGCUCAUCUCCUUCCUUUCUUUCCUUUCCCAAGCUGCCCCGAUUUGUAAGCGUGCUCCUGUUCUUGGAGAAAAGCUCUGGCCUUUCCAUACAUCUCCGCCUUCUCUUCCUCCGCCAGCACUCGCUCCUUCUUCUUUACCUCAUGCAGGAAAUAGUUGUCCUUCCGGAGCUCCCGAAUCGCCCCCUUUGCUUCCUUCUUCAAAAGCUUCUUCAACUUCUUCCGUUCUACCCGCUCGCGAUCCGGGUCGUAGUCCCUUCCCUUGGCAAAGCUGGAAAAAAGACCGACGACCGUCAGAGCAUGACACCUAAUCCAAGACUUAGCUUGCUUAUUACGUGGGCACAUCCCUGGCGAAACGAUCUGGCAGUGGAGCUUGAAAGAUUCCAAGAGAAGAAGACGAGGAAUAAAUUUUAAGCAAGAAAUAAAAUAUCGCCAAAUAAAACAUAUCGCAGCUGGAUAUGUAGAAUGCAUACUCUUCUUCAAAUUUCGGAUUUAAUAGUUUGAUUGGUGCAGGCUUUUGCUUCCUCAUUUGAAGGGGUAGCCUCGAUGUCUCAUGCUUGUCAGCUUUCUUCUUGAUCAGAUCAGUGAGGGCCUCCAUAUUUCCUCGUAGAAUGUCUGGAAUGUUGGCCUGUUCAAUUACUUCAUCCAACAAUGAGGACAUCGGCAUGAAAAUCUCAGGGAAGGAGGCCAAAUUUUCAUAGACGUUCACAAAUCCCCGCAAAGUCUCGACAACCGAUAGGAGAAUACUCGCCCUGCAGUAGUGCAUGAAGCUGAUUAGAACGUGACUCACUAUAGCUCCCUUGAGCACAUUGCUUGCCGACUGAACCAGAUCUGAUUUCCUUUACCUGAAAUUAUCUGAUAAAAAGAACGGAGAGUCCGCUGGCGUGCUCAUGAUCGAGAAGAAAUUGACAGGAUCAACAGAAGAUACACGGUGACGUAAAUAUAGCCAAGGUUUCAAUGUUUUGAAAUCUGCAAAAUAAAGCUGUUCAAAAGAAAGUUUUCAUUAUCAUAAUAAAAAAACGUAGAAGGGCAUCUAACAAGUUGCAAAAUGAAACACUUUAAUCUUUGACCAAGCGUCAGACGCAAAUGCUUUACCUCAGAAAGCUUUUGUGAUCCCGGUUUUUCCGUAGCAGAAGUCAACAGCAGUUGCAGAAACAUUAAAACCUCUGGGUAAAUCUUCUGAGACUGUUCAGCAACCUGGAUGGACCAUGAUUAAUAUGAGAGAGAAGCAAAGGUCCUCGAUAAUAAGAUAAAAAAGAAUUCGACAACCUAUGCAUGUAGCAUAAGGCUGAAGUUAAUGCUCUAAAAUUUAACCGAAACGUCAGCUAAUGUCAGCCGAGAACAAAUAAGAGGCGUAGAUUUAAUAAUCUCCAAACUGGUUCAUGAAGGCGUUUAUUUGGAAUAUGAAGGCCAAAACAACUAUGUUAAAUGCCACCAGAAGGUUCUAUAAGAUAAUUGAUAACAAGAAAUAAUGAAACGAGGCGCAUACAGAUAGAAGCAUCGAGCACAGGAAGGAUCCGACAGCAGUGUCUCGGCCUGUCACUAUAGGACAGCGCAUCAGGUACUCGCACAUCAACAAGGUAGCAGGUGUCAUGACAAUGUGACGAAAAUCAGAGCAGGGGAAAGUCAGGGACCAUAGCCGCAAUAAAAGUAAAGUCUUCAAAGAGGGCCAGGCGCUCUCUUCUGCAGACGUCAGUAAAGUAAGCAAGUUAGAAAACAAAGCAGGAAAAAACGACUGAGAAACAAACAUCGUCUUGGUACCCUAUCACAUACCUGGAUUUUUAACAUUCUCACAAAACUGAUUUCGUAUACGCAGAAGUCGUUCUCUAGCACAGAUGGCCGCGAAGUAUGGGGUUUCGGCCCCCAUUUCCACCAAGGGUUUAACCAACAGAUUGAGUAACUUAAAGUUAACGGGAUUUCUGGUUGCUAAAACAGCAAAAUAUUGCAGAAGAACGCCAUAAAAGACCUACAGCAUUGAGAAACCAUCAAUUUUAAAAUCAUUGCAAUCACGUGAAUCAAAAAUAGUGUUUUAGGGGAAAAAGUUUCCCCUAAAUUACCAUAGUAACCAUAAAUGUCAAGCUGAAAUACCUGCAUUUUCCGUCUGUUUUCAGUGGAAAGCCUUAUGGCAUUGCAUACGCGGAUACGGUUGAUUGCCUCAACUAUAUCUGCCUCUGGACGAUUGUCAAUCAAUGAGCAGAGCUCUCUGAUGUUUUUUGGUGCUUCGAUAAUGAAGGGAAGGGAAUCCUUCUCAAUUAAAGAUGACUUUUCAUCAGUAUCCCUUUUACCAGGAGAAAUAUACUUGGAUCCUUGAGAUUUCACGCCAUCUGAAUCAAGAGACUUUAAGUUUUCUAAUUCUGAAUUUUUCAUUUCUUCGUCAUCUGUACUAAGAUUGUCAUCCUCACUUUGCUCCCAAUCUUUAACACGUGGCAUGUCACUAUUUCCUUCAUUCCCGUCACUGUCUUCACCAUCUUCUUCUUCUUCUUCCUCAUCACUACUAUCCUCAUGAUCACUGCUGCCAUCGUCGUUGUUAUCAUCAUUGCCUUUGGUUUCGUCGCUUUCAUCAUCUUCGGAAUCGUCAGAAUUUUUGAUCUUCGGAUCGCUCAUUUUGGCACCAAAUUUACUUCUAAUAAUGUCAUCAAUGUGGCAUGUUUUCUUAGCCAAAUCGUCGGCAGAUAACAAGGAAUCUCCUAGGUCGUCACCAGAUACAUGUUUUAAUUUCUUUGGCGGUGAUUUACGAACACUGUCAUCAUCUUCAGCUCCGUCAUCAUCUGAAUCUUCCAAACCACCCAUUCUUCUUUGACGUUCUUCCUAGAUGAUAUCAUAGAAAUGAGACAUGAAGUUCAAAGAUAUUUAGCGAUCAAUAAAUUAUCUGUAAAAAGGUCAAUAAGGGAUGACUUAUAUAAGACCUCCAGUAAUUCCAGCCUCUCUCUUUCUUCUUGCGCAAUUUCCUCCGCAGUCUUUUUCCGAUCAGAUGGACGAGCACGCCUCUCCAUUGGCAACUCUUUAACAAGCUUGUCAUAAGCAUCAGGUUGCUCCUAGGAUACGAACACAUAGAAUAAGGGCAAGUAUGUCCAUUGUAACCAAAACCAGGUUACCAGCUAUUACACAAAUAAAAGAAGAAGGCAAUGCCAAGUCAGCAUUAUUCUUGAAAUAUACAAACAUUUAGUGAAAAGAAUCAGACAUCAAGAAUUCGAUAAAUAAAGGCAUCUUUAUUUUGUAAAUGCUUUUUCUUUUCGCUGUAGAAAAAAAAAUUGGGUCCAUGAUCAACGCUUCAGUGUUAACAAAUACCUGCAAAGAAGAAUUACAUAAAUAUAAAAUGAGAAUUGAGAAUAGAACAAUAAAAUACUUUCUAUUUUCCAGAUAUUUAUUAGAGGUCAAUAACAUCUUUUUCAUAUCAACAAUGCAAUGAACAUGAUGCUCAACAAAAAAUAGUAAAUAUAAAGGAAUAUUACAGAAAACAAGUGAUUUAAUUGGAUUCUACAGUACCUUCGUUAAAGCUUUUUCUUUUGACUCAGAAUUGCUAUGACCUUUUGUUGGAAGCUCCUUUAAAGCAUUCGCCUCUUUGGGUUGACUUAAAGACAAAAAAGCCUUGGAUUGGAGUAAUGAUGCAAAAUCUUUGUCCAGCUGUUCUGUCAGAUGUUCGUCCACUUCCUUCUCCAUUGCUUUCUGAGUCUGAAAUAAUCACAAAGGCAAAUGCAAAUUCAGUUACCCAUGAAAUCUGCGGCAUUUAAUUUGGUUUUUGUGCCUAGUCAGCGAAAUUCAGCUGUUAUAAUUAAUGAUUAUCAUACUUUUUGUAGACUGAGGAAAAAGAAAAAAGAAGCAUUUAUUUAUAUUUGUGAAUAUAACAUAUAAAUACACAUCCAAAGACGUAUGCGCAGGAGAGAGAGAGAGAGAGAGUAUUUCCUGAAAGUAGAAUAGCUUCAUUUUAAAUGAUUUCUUCAACUUGCAUCCAUGCAACAGAUAAUGUAAAUAACAAUACAUGUGUGUGUCUGAAAAAUUUGUACAUCUUUCAUAAUGGUUUACAUGUAGAUACGCAUGAAAGGCUUUUACCUUAAUCAUUCAUAAGGCACAUGUACUUUGGUAGGAUGAAAUAAAGACCAAGGUUCCAGAAUCAUGCAGUUAGUACUUCUCUGGCUCCCAUCUUAAUCAAUCUGUAUUUAUAUGUAUUAUAUAUACCACCUUUCUACCAUAUGUACAUCUUCAUUGCUAUGUAUGAUCAUGUGUAGAUCCGAAAGGCGACCAGAUAAAAACAAUACGGAAACAAAUGAAAAACAUUUUGAGGAGAACCUUAUUCAACGCAAUUAAAAUGCUGAAAUCAACCACUUUAUUCAACAUCCCAUACUCACAAGAGACGAGAAUUUACUCAUCAUGCAGGAAGUGUGUCAAGUUGAAAUUGUCAGAGAGGUAAUGUUUGAAUUUUUCAGAGAAGUAAAUGGAUAUUCAUCAGGAAAAUAUAAUCACCUUGAAAAACUUGCUCUUUGCAAUUAUCUCCUCCAUAACUUCUUUUUUGGUCUUGUGUCUCUGUGCAUAGAUAAUUAAGAGUCAACGAUUUUGACCAGCAUAUCAUGAAAGCUAUUCCAGAGAAAGCAUAUCCGUGGAACAGAUAUCUAACUCAAAAAAAUUAGCCAUAGAAAAACAGUAUAUUUAGCAACAUGAAUUUUUUAAGAAAUGAAAAACUUUGGUGUUGUUGAAAACUAACAAUAUACAUAUAUCACUGGAAAUUGCAAAGUUGCAUGAUGCAUAUAGUACACAGGAGGUUGGUCGUGUUCACUAAUGGAAUUGAACAUUAACCAGUAGCAAAAGACCCAUCGCAUGCUUUCUUCAUCCAAUAUUUAAUCUUUCCUUCGUACUAUGAAUGCAACAGGAAGAAAACUCCUUUGCAGUAAAAACAGCCGGCUAUCAUCGUAUACACCAAGUUAUAUUUGGGCCCUGUAAAACAGCUCUUCUUUUCAAACCUGCUACCGUUGCGGAACUGUUACCCCCUUGUCAUCAAUUUAUUUGGGCAACAUGAGUUCCCAGGUAGCCACCCACUAAAAUGGUCAACCAAUUUAAGUUGAAUAGAUGUUUGCAAAGAAAAAUUAUUGAAAAUGUAUCGCAAAAAAAUUAUAUAGGGAACCCAAUCCAACAUUAAAAAAGCACACCGCCAAAAAUGAAAGACCGUACUCCAGAAAAUAUUACCAUUUUCGUGCUUUCAUCAUAAGCAGCACACCAGAAAUCCUUUUGUUGCAUAAAACACCAAUUAAUUGGAUUUGUCUUUUAGAAUUCGUAACAGGUUGACCAGCCAAAAAUUAGAUUAGUUUCGCUAAUGCCCAUCCAGCUACUAGCGAAUUGAGAGAUCCGUUUAAUACAACAUUGCACCUGUGACUCUCAAUCUGUCUUAACUUCAUUGAAUCCGCACCUUGUUGAGAAUUAGGUAAGACCUUAACUAAUAUGAGUCAAGAGCAAUGAGAAUGAAUCAGAAGAGAAAAGAGACCGUAUACAAAUUUUUUUAGUAGUCCCAUGACUCCAAUAUCAACGUGAUAGCUAUGUACACUUACUGCUGUGGGACUCCAGUAUCAACUCAAGAGUAUUAUAAGGUUCCACGUCACAAAUGGCCACCCUAAAAUAGCUUUACACGACGUGGGAAGUAGGACAGACACUAAUGUGGCAGAAUUUUGGCAGUAUCCAUAGUAAGUAUACAAGAGAGACAAUGUCCAAGGCGCACGCUGACACGUGUGAAAGUGGGGCAUCAUGACAAUAGCUUGUUUGCUGAAGACAAGUUAUAUUUGCAUGAGAUUUUCAAUGAUGAUCAUACUCAUAGGAUGUGGACCCCAAACACGUGAAAUUCCUGUUCCAAUUCUUUAUACACCUUCCCUGACGGUCUUCACAAUGUAAUUGGCAGACUAAUUUCUUUUAGAGAAACAACUAUAUCUUCAUGAGUUCCUCUUCCUACGACUUUCAUCUCCUCACGUUUCCACCUCUUUUUCAGCUAUUCCUUCCCUAGAGAUCUGACCCAGUUGACAAUGGUUGGUCCUAGUGAGAUAAAGAGAUUCUUAUUUUGUGCAUUUAAGAGGAGAUCAAGCAUCUCCUUGGAACCAUGCAUGGCGUGACAACAGAGGAAGAAAGAAGAGGAGGAAAAUAACUCGUCUAUCCCGCUGACAAUUUAAUAUCAUCCUCCCUUCCCAGCAUACGCCUGCAUGAUCUCCUCCCAGAUAAUGGGGAGGAUGAUACAACGGAACUUAGGGGGAGGCCGUGGGGUCAACUAACGUAAGAUGGUUGUUAAAAAAUACGAUUCGAAACUUGGUAGAUCGUAUCAUCAAAAAUAUCCGUAAAUAUUUUCAAUUCACCCGAGGACAAACUUUGUAGAUCGUGGAAUACUCGGAACUCUGUAGAAAGCAUAAUAUGGUCAAUACAGGAAAAAUCCGAUUCAGAAUACCAAAAAUUCUAGCAACUAACCAAACCUUGACAGUUCUACCAGUUAUAGUGAAGUUAUGCGUGAAUGAUGUAAACUGGAAUCUUCUUGUUUUCUCACAUAUCAUAUUGCUCAGAAGAAGGUGUGUAGCUGAAGUGACAGCAGUUCUUUAAUGAUUUAUAGGACAAACUAAAUUAUUACUGUCUUUACACUGAAUCCCCAAGGAUAAUAGAUAAUUAUCAGGAAAACACAGACAAAAGCAUGAGCAGGCUGAAAAUCAUCAUCAUACUAUUAAUCGAAAAUUUUAAGAAAGACACCAAGAUACUUGUGAGCUAGGCUCGCACCUGCGCAAAAACUGAAAUUUGUCCAGAAUAUACAGGAGAUAUGAUAAUGCACUCUGAAGAGAAACAACGAAAAUAUCUUUCAAUACGUCAACAGAUACACAUAUGGCUCACUACUCUAGGAGUAAUUUCCAUUGCAGAAGUCAUCCCAACAGCCGCAUACAUAUAUGUCACCACUAAUUAUAAUUCAAAACGAACCAACGAGUAUGCAUUUUGGGUCUGAGAAUCAAUGUUGAUUCAGAAGUUAUAUGCCAAUGCAACAGUAAGGAAUAGAUAAUAGAGUACAAAAAUGAUUAAGCAUUUAUAAAAUUGACUGAAGUGGAAGGAUCUGCCAUGUAAAACAAGAAAAUUUUAGGAACUAAACAGCUCAGACAUGGUAUCAGACAUAGUAACAGGUUGAUAAACUACUGUUUUUAAACAAGUGUCGGAUGAAGCAACACAGACAUAAUAAAGUAGAUAAAUUCGAGUUCAUCUCACAUUUUCUUCUUCUAGCAAGCUAGGCUCCGACAGGUCAUGUGUGCUUUGAUAAUUUAAAUGCCUCAUGGCCGCAGAAUCCUCUGAAAAAUAAAAAAAUAUCAAUAUUAACAGCACACAUCGAAAUAAAGGUUUUGAAUCUCAUUUUCUUUCCUUCUCCUGUUCCUUAUAGGAAAGAUGUGGUGGCACAAGUAAGAACACAUAUGAAUAUAAAAGGUGAGCAAUGUAUGCUUAAAAUCUGUGUACUAGAGAAAUCAUUUAGACACUCACUCAAACUAUACUAGAAGGCAGACAAACGAUGCAUUUGCCAGAAAAUAAACCAUUUCAUAGACCCCAUAUCGUGACAACUGAAUAUAGAUUAAAACAUCAUGUAUGCUAUUAGAUUAUUUUCAAAAUUACAGAUUAAAAACAUUUUCAACGAAUUAAUUUCGCAGAUUCCACAGUUUCUGCCUUAAUUACUGGAAGAAACAAACCUACGAAAAAUAGGAAGAAUGGCAUACAGAAUGAGAGUGUGGUACAAAACAAACUAGGAUCCCCUCUAACUGUCUCAGCAUUAUGGGAUCCACCACCAUAAAAUAUUUGCAAGGACUGAAGCAACAAAGUUUAGGUAUUCAAUGGUCUCAGGUUCAGUUAUAGGAAGAACUCAACCUGUAUUAUAGGAUAUUAAGGAUCCGAAGCAUAGAAGGUAGAGAUGUAAGGUAAUAUCCUUCUGAAAGUAGGCGUCCAGGCUGAUACCAACUAUUGCCUUUUCAUGAAUCCCGGUUAUAAAUUAAGGACUAUAAAUCUGAAAAUAUAAAGUGAAAUUCAACGAGCAAAGGGAACUUGAGCCUUCCAUCAAUUUUUGAAAUCAUUUGAGGUUUAAAUCGACUAAAUUAAGAACAAUUUGCUUAAAUGAAAUAUGCCUAUGUCUAAAAUAGACUGACAGAACAUUCUGGCCACUGAGCAUUUCAAAUCAAUCUUAGGCUGCAUUUUAUGCAACAAUGCUAUUAUACUAACACUUAGUAAUAAUUUGCAGCUCACGUUUUUUGAUUGGGAAUGAAGAAAGUUGAAUGAUCAUCCACCAUAUCCAAGUGGCAGCAGGGCAAUACCACUCAAAAAAGAAAUAGGAUGUACAAGAAUAAGGAAAAAAAAACAAAACAUACUCUGAAUAUGGUCAGCCUCAUCAUCGUCUAUAGGAACGUCUUCCUGGAAAUCAUCUACAUCUGACAAAAGCUUCCCCUUGUAAUGUUCAGACUCGUCUUCCUCUCCAUCAGAUAGGUUAUAUUUAUUUACUUUCUUCAAUUUUUGCUGGAAAAAAUUAAAUAAAAAAGGGGCCUCAUGUUAUGUCACAUAUGCAUUAAAUCUCUCACAUCAGGAAAUGGUGCUUUAUCGAAAAAGGAAUAAAGAACAUGCUCUCUGAAUGAAGAUGUCAUUGUUUAAAUGUAUUCUGCUUCAACUAAGGUUUUCUGAGGUUGGAAAUUCUAACCAUCUGUUAUCAUUUGGCUACACUAGUAAAUAUGAAUAGCCUAACUUUCGAUUAGAAAAGAGCUGUGAAUAAGAAGAAACGCCAUGUCUUUUAAAAUGGUUCACAUGUUCUACCCAGAAUCGCAAUUUCUCUCAACACAUUCAACCCAACACAUGUCUUUUAAAAUGGUUCGCAUACCUUAUGAUGAUAAAUGAAUUUCUCUCACUAAGUGGAUAAUUUCACUUAAUAAGGAGUUUAUGAAACUUCAAGAAAAAAAAUCAAAUAAAUACUCAAGAAAAAAAAUCUAUUUCACAUCACACUGCAACAGCACAAACAUCUUCCAAUCAAAUUAAGUGAACUGCUUUUCUUGAAAAUAACUGGGCAUGUUGGAUUUUUGGAAUUUGUUGUACCAUUUACCUCAUAACUAGAUAUUUGAACUAUAGGAGGUGAGAAUCUUAAAAGAACUCGUUCUAGAGGCCAUCCUUAUGUAUACAUCGCAAGUAGUAUAGAUCCAUAAGCGUAAAUAAAGGUUCGAUUUUCUACUUUUUUUGUAAUGCGAAUCUAAAUAUACAUCUCAUAUGAAAAAAAAAUGGAACUGUAGGAAUCAGUCAAUUUUUUCAAUGAAUCCUCCACCUUUGACAGAGGAUACAAAAUGACCUAUAGAUGAAUAACACACGACAAGCGUUUCCGAAUGUUCAAACCAAACUCUUCAAUAUCAAGAAAUUUGACCAGCAUAUGAUACAAGAAAGCAUAAAAUUUGAAAGAAAUUUAAAAUAAGAAAGGAACAAUAGAGGUUCCAACACAAUUUCCCAGAAGUCAUUGAGAAACAAAUCGACAAUCCAUCAGUGUAGCAGAAAUAGAGGUAAAUUAAGUGAAUACGAUUAAGACAUGUUGAGAUGAUUUGAAAGAAAUGAAACACCUAUUAAGAGAUAUGAGCAUCAUUUUCAUAAGGAUUGCAGAAAGAAAAACAGAAAAAGAGAGAGAUGUGGCGAAUAACGGUAUGACUAUUUAAAGAAGCAUAUCUCACGUAUUCAUCAAAUUUCCAAAAAGUAUUGUCGCACAUUGCACCAAGAUGUUCUAGGUUAGGCUCAGCUAUGCUAAGGUACCAACCCUCCCAAAAACCACGAAGGUCUGUACAUUCUCAUUACAAGAAAUCUUAGUUCAUUAUCCCACCUUACCAGAAAUAGCACAAAACGAGGUUCUUCCCUAUAACCUCUCUUUGGGGCAUGAAAUUCUAGUACAUAAUAAAGUAAAACUAAAUAAUAGGUUCUUCCUUCCACCUCUGUUAAAUUUGGCACUUUCUGGACGAUGAUGGCAAUUUUUGUACGAAAAUAAGAUCCAAUAAAGAAUCAGAUAACUUGGAGUUUCGUGCUAUGGGAAAUCAUAAACUUGAGAAAAGAGUAUUGAACUCCAGCUUCUAGGUCAUAAGCUUUUUAAAUUUUUUUCUGUUGAGCGGUGAUAUGAUACAGAGAGUUAAAAGGUACUCAGUCUAAAUGUAGACGAUACAGAGAAUGCUAAAAUGAUUAACUGUCGUAAAAGUGGAAGGGUCAUAUAUUUGAUAUCAUAAAAUUUAUGUCUCUAAUCUUAACUAAAUGAAGCAUAACGAACUGGGUGAACACAGAGUUACCUGACGCUCGCGUUGAAGACGCAGUAUGCCCUUAUCAAAUUCACCUAACGCAUCGUCAGCUUCGCCAAUGCGUUUAUCAACGAACAUGGAGGAUUUACGGCUCUGCUCAUAAUCCUUCAAAAGAGUCUUCCUUCUCUGCCCGAGUCAACACCACAACUAUAUUAAAACUAGUUUUACAAGUGUGAUUAUUUAUUCAUGAGAUUUCGGCGAAUCUAAUUAUAGAGAGAAAGACACAGAGGCAGAGAGAGUACAGAGGGAGGAGGUUUUUAGUGGAAUAAUGAGAAACCGAAGUUGUGGAAAUAAGAAGCAAACGAGAUAUUUGCCUUCUCAACGGCCCGAGACCGCGCCAAGCCAACGCGGCGGUCCUCGCCCUUCCGCUUCUUGCCGAUGACAUCCAACUUCCGACGGGAGUAUAUGUUCUCGAAAGGGUUCUCUACAACGGGCUUGGCUGAUUUCUGAGCUGCGACGCCCGGAGCGGAGAGCAGACGCUUCGCGCUCUUCUUCUUCUUCUUCCCCAUCUUCUCCCCCUUCGGAGUCGACGGGUCGGGGGCGCGGGGAUGCGCGGUGCGCUUCACCAUGUUAGAAACCCCACAGUGCCAGGCGGGGCGAUGGAGAGGGAGAGAGAGACCAAGAGGGUUUAGGGUUUUGUAGAACAGGAAAUCGCCGCUCCCUCCAACGGAAACAAUUAGCACUCGGCACCGGUCUAAAAUUAAAUAAAAUAUAUGAUAUCAGAAAAAAAAAGUAUAAAUAAAAUUAAUUUAACCCGAAUACUUGCCGUCGAUGUCGACCCGUCCAAACUAUUUAUUUAUUCAUUUAAUUAAAUAAAAUUUAAAAAAUUAUUGCAAUAAUUCAAAUGAUGGUACGGUGUUUUUCUCUGGAAAAUAAUUUUUAAUAAUGCUUCUGACCCUGAAAAAGAAAAUGACCAAAUUAACCUUUGUAGCGAUACUAUUGAAAUUGACUAAUAUUAUUAGUGACGUUAUUAUAAAUAGAUGGGUAAAUUAAUUUAUUUGAAAAGUAAAAUAUUUUCUCUUAAAUAGGGUAUUUAAUCUGAAUUUAGGAUUAAUCUAUAAUUUAAUCCUGGAGUUAUCUUCAGUAUUGCUACAGGGAUGUCUCUCUCUCUCUCUCCUACGAGAAGGAAGACACGUCCCCUUUCUCUCUCUAGACUAUCCGAAUCGGAGAGCACGUCGGCUCUGAAACGCUCGCGUUUUGAGAGCAUGUUUUUCAGCAUUCUCUCCAGAUUUAUGCGAGCUGGCCGUCGCGUGCCACCCGGCUGGGCAAACCGCGUGCCACGUGAGAUCUCGGCGGAGCGCACCGGUUGUAUACAGAGCACGACUUAUGUAGAUGGGAGAAUUGCCGGCCCUCGACUCGCCGGGCGGUGAAUAAAUAGUCCGUUGGCUUCCCGAUGAUCGGGGGGGUCUUUUCACUUCCUGACUACGACGAAUCUCAACGUCAGAGCUGCGGAGGCAGCAGCAGUCCAUCGGUUUCUGGAGUUGAUCGAUUGAUCUCCCUCAGAUUCUGCCGGUGGAUAUCUCCUGCGAGGCAAAACCGGGGCCAGGUCUCCGAUCUCUCUCUCUCUCUCUCUCUCUGCUGUUUCUCCGGCUCCCGGGGUCUAUCUCUCCCUCGGCCUAAGGUAUCUUAUCUCUCUUCCCUUUCUCGCUCUCAGUAUAUCUUCGACUAUCGGUUGGUUGAUUUCGGAGCCUUUUCUGGGGCGUCUGACCACGGACUGAUAAUAUUCAGGUCAACGGAGUAAUGAUUUUUCCUAGGGUAAUUGUUUGUUUCUCUCGUCGUCAGGUGCACAAUCGGUUUACGUACUUUUGUUGGGAGGGAUCAUGCAUCAUAGAGAGAAGAUCACAAAUGACUAUUUUCCCGAGUGGACUUGGGGAUCACAAAAUUUAAGAAAUGUUUAUAUUUUCCUCAAUGUAAACCAUUUUCGAGGAUCUAUUUAUUGAAGUUUAAUGAUUACGGUCCCGUGUUUCGAAUUGUUCAUUUGUUUUAUUCUCGCAAUGCCUAUUUUUGUGGCUCCGACUGUAUUGGCAAUUCUCAUUUUGAUCCAUCACUGAACAAAAAGGCCCAGGUGGCUGUUCUUCCUACUCGGUGAGCCUCAUUUGUUGGUAAUAUUUUAUCGUAUCAUUAAAAUCUUAUUUUAAACUCGUCGCUACGCUGUUAGCCAGAAUAAGUUUUGUUGAACUCAAGGUUUUCUUUUAGCAGUUACCUGUUCAUAUUUUAGAACAUAAAAUAGAAAGGAGAAAUUGCUCAGAAAUAACCCAUUCUUUGCUUCUCCCUAAUUUUGCUAGGUCUUUCGCCAGAUUGUCUCUUAUGCAGUUCGUUACGUUAUUUCCUCGACUGGGGGCUUUCACUUGCUGGAAUCCCCAGAUGCCACACAGAGAACACGCGGUGCUUGACAUAGAGCAUUCUCAGUUUUCCUUUCAAUGAUACUGACACGAUCGUAACAGAUACUUCUGUUGGCAAUUUUGGAAUUUACUGCGUGAGAAAUCAGUGCAGAGCAGCAAAGGAAAAUAAAAGAGAAAGAAAAUUUCUUAUUUUAUGGGCUCUUUUUGCUGCUGUUUGCACGAGGACCCAGAGGAUUACACGAAUGUUUCCUCCCCUGUCCACAGACGCUGCUUCUUCUUUAGAUGCCUAUCUGCCCAAAUUUUACGCAUGGUAAAAUUUAAAAUUUCCUUGUUAUUGUUGUCGGUUUUUAUUUGGUGGCAAAACUGGAAAUAAAUAACCUGUCUUCACCUGUAACGAACAUAGUGUUUCAUUACUCUAGCAGAGAAGGUAGCAUUUCUUGACUUUUUUGGUUUUUUUCGGAGUCAUGCAGGAUCUACUCUCUUCAAAUUAUUCCAUUGUAUCGCUUAAAUUUUGAAGCUAAGAUACGUCAUAGUUAACCAGAGGAAUGACUGUUUCAUCUUCAGAAAACAUUGGAUCUAUGCUAUGAACCAAUGUGCAGUUUGCUUCUGAUUUAUAGCCUGAUAUGAAAUGCCGAAGUGUCAGAACCAGGUACCAACGCCUAUCAUUGUGGGACAACUAAGAAUCUAUCGUAGAAAAAUGAAAUCGUAUAAGUCUCUAAAGGUGAAUUAAGGGUAGCCCUAUUGAUUUACAUGUGUAUCGUUGGCUUCAUGUCCUGUUGAUUGUAUUGGGAGCCUACACUCGCGUGUAACAGGGGAAGACGAAAUUCGAUCAGGUUUCCCGCUCAUGGAUCAUAGGAAUAAAGAGGUUAUCCAUUGUUCAACAUAUUUUGUCUUGAAAAGUUGGAUUUCCACCAAUCAUGUGCAUUUAUUCUGACAAGAAAAGAUUUAAGUAUUCGUGGCUGGGGUAUUGUCUGAAUUUAGUUCAGAGAUGAAGUUGCCUGUAAUUUCAGCCUUUUCUUCUGAAGAUAGCAUGCUUACUAAAAAUACUCUACAAAACAUCUGGAAAUCCACUAUAUGUGUCUUUUCAAAGGGUGAAUAACAUAAAUAGAGCGAUUCGAGUAAGUUCUACAUUUGAGAGAAUGCUUGUCUAUUUUGAUGACUAAGUAAAUGAUUAAAUAAAACACUAUGGUCUUAUAGUGCUUAAAAGAAAGUCGUGAAUUGAGAAGAACUUUCCUCUUUGCUGGUGAGACUAUAAUGAGCAAAAGUUUGCAUUUCCAUGUUUGUUCAAAAAUUCCCUAGUCGUCUGGCUAUAUUGUUAUAAGGUUGUUAAUGCUUCUAUUUCUCUAAUUACUUGUUUCCAGUACACUGCUCUUUUCCAAAGGGAAGAAAUACACGCUAUCCAUUCACCUGACCACGGAACUUCUACGUUUUCUGGAGAAGGAGAUGGUUCUAUCUCAGAUACAUAUCGUCCUCCUCCAUGGCCAUUAGCCUACGAUGAUCCUAGAUGCUCCCCUUUACGACAUGGACUCGCUCGACAUGAUAAACCCUCAAGCCAUAUAUAUGAAGAAUCAGAACCACUGAGACGAAGAUUGUAUGACUCUGACACGGAAUCUGCUGAAAUGAUUGACAAGCAGAAUGUUUCUGAUAGUGUUGGGCAAUCCAAACUAAGCCUUUCUGAGUCAUCAGUGGAUCAGACAGCGAGAUAUCCCUCAAGUGAAGUAACAUACAUCUAUCCGUCAUUUGAGGAUGAAGAUUCGUGCCCAAUCUGUCUUGAAGGUAUAUGGAUAUAAGUUUUUGUAUACAUUUGUUUUCAGGCAGUAAUUCAAUUCGUAUUACUACAUAUAGUUAUUCAUCAUCUUUUUAAUCAUAAUUGUGAGACCUACCUAACAAUAACCUCUGCGCUUUCCUUACAUUCAUUACAUCGAGGUACAGUGGAUCCUAUAGUUGUGUCGGAAUUCAUGUCUGAAGGCAGGCUUCAGGAAAAUUCCUAGAUCCAGAGAGCCCUCAAGUAGCUAAAGUUCCUUGUUUCUGCAGCCAGUUGGAAUCUGUCCUAAUGCUAUAAGAUGAAGAUCAUACAAUUACAAAAUUUCUCCAUUAGUUAAAAUCAACCUAAUGCAAAAGCUAUUUAUUGCUGACGCUUAUUUAUAUCAGCAUGUAACUUUGUAUGACAUAUGAAAAAGGUUUUUUUAUUGCAUAAUCUCUUCCUCCAGAGUCUGAACGUUAUGAAUACCAUUUUUACUGUUCAAUUCGCUGAUCUAGAUCUCGUAGUGGAAAUCUGCAUUAUUAUUUUCAGAUCUUACGUUAGUUAAGUGACCUCAUGUGCGCAGGUCAAUCCAAAUCCGGGUUCUUUUAUGUAAACAAGUUAAUUCUUGUGGAUGUAACGUAAAUAGCUAUUUGGUGUUGGUUUGUGCUGGAUAUCAAUAACCUGGUUACAUAAAUUGUCGCUUUUUUUUUGGUGUUUCCCCUCUGUUGGAGAUUGAUAAGUCCAUAAUUGGAAUUUCCUUUUCGUGGAAAAGGAUGAUGCUCCCUUGAAAAUUUCCAAAUAUCCAUUUCCCACAUUCUGAAGAAGAUUUGAAAUAAAAAACCUUCGAAGUGAGUAUAACAUCUUCCAAGUGACGGUCUACCCAAAAACAUCUGAAGAGUCUGCUAAAGAACUCCAACCUACCAGCCAACUGGCUGACAAUACAAAAUAUCCUUUUAAUAGUUUUUUGGAAGGCCCUUCUUGGCAAAAAGAUUAGGUCAUAUUUCUGCUCAAGCGAAUUCUGCAUAUGAAUUUUCAUGAUGGAACAAAUUUACCAAAAAAGUGCGCAUUUAAUUGGAAACUUUUCCUAUAUGGUGCUGGUGUCUGAAUUUUAGCGCCUUGAUUUCUUGUGCAGAGUACACUCCCGAGAACCCCAAGAUAUCCAUGCAGUGUUUUCAUUAUUUCCAUCUAGGUUGCAUAUAUGAAUGGAUGGAGAGAAGUGAUGCAUGCCCUGUCUGCGGCAAGGUAACCUAUUUAUGCUUGACUGGGUCCUGACCUAGGUCCUCUUGAGUGAUAUUUUUUGUGUGUAUGGAUUUUCUUUUAAUUAUAUCGUAUAUGUUCUUGCCACCUUUGACGUUGGGAUCCUGAAAACAGAAAAAUUUUACUGAACCUCGACGAGGGGUACCAGAACGUUGGUGUUACAUAACCUCCCUCAUCUUGAUGAGAUGUUUCCUCAAGAUACUGGUUACUUCGAUCUGCUUGCCGCUAUCCCCAAGUUUUAUGUCGCUAGGCAUAUACCAUGUAGCUUUGCUGUCAAUGUUUGUGUAGAGAGCUUCCAAAUAGUGGAGUGCUGUAUUUUAUUCGAUCUAUUUGAUUAGGAUUCUGAGAGAAGCUUUGAGGACUUUGCUAGGGCCUUUAACGCCAAAGUUCAGUGUAAUGUGACUACAGCCGAAUGGCAUCCACCUCCCCAUUUAAAGUAAAACCUGACUAGAUCGAUGAGUUGAAUUUGCUUGGACUUUAAUACCAUUUCACGUAUAUCUUGACGCGCAUCAGAUAUGAUUGGUCCUCCUUGCUUAGAAGCCUGAUUAGCAGUCAAGCUGGGGCCCUCUUUGAAUGAUCAAAUCAUAGGGUGAUUCACUUCGCUGAUCCCUCAUAAUCAGGACUUAGAAAGUCUCAAAUCCUUGCCCUCUUGUGGAAGUCGGCUGAGAAUGGACAUGGGCAAAUCGUGAUUGACAGCUGCUUUCUUGCUGUGAGCUAUUUUUGCUUGAGUAACUGCCCACGGUCUUUAUUUAUAUGUUAAGAAAUAUAGGUGUAUUUUGGUCAUUCUGGUACUAAGGUUUGUCUCUAUUUAAGGGACAUUAUGAUAUGAGAUAAAUGGUGAGAAAGUGUGUGGAGUUCUAGUCACAGCUCUCUCCCCCUCCGUCCUCUAAGGCGGAGGUUUUAUUCCCAUCUCAUGUAUCUCUUCCUAAAUUUACCUUGUAUAAGUUCAGAUAUCUAACUAUGAAUAUAGAAGCCAUUUAACCUCUGCAACUAUUAUCUAUCCUCCUUCCAAAAUAUCAUCUUACUUCGUCAUAAUUUCCAACAUUAUAUAACCAUGAAACUUAGAUCUAUUACAAAGAAUGGUUGAGAGGGAGAGAGAGAGAGAGAGAGAGAGAGAGAGAUUGGGGGAGUACAAUAAAUUCUUAUGUAACCGUCUGAAUGCAAAUUCACAUACUAGACAGAUUCAUGGGAAUGCAUCGUUUUAUCUUACCUCCUUCCUGGCGUUGACGGUUUCCUUAUUUUUGAUUUGAAACGGGUUACAAACGUUUCUCUUUUUUUUUCUUCUUCUGGGCGGGGUUGACUGUUUAACCUGUUCAGUGGCUGGUGGGGAAUUAACUCUAGAACAUUUUUGCCGUGACCAACGUUUUUAUUGGACUUUUCAAAAAUCAGUCUAAUGUUUCCGUAGAGGUGCAACUUAAUCGAGAAGGCCACUCUCUUGGGAAUUCAAGAUAUGAGUGAUUUUUUUUUCCAAAUUUUUUCGUUAUUUCCAUGAAUGUUUUACCAUUCAUUUAUUGAAAGAAAUCUCCUAGAUGCAAUAUAAUCAGCUUGGGAACUUGCGUUGAAAUUUCUCACCAUCAUCCUUUUUCCAGGGGAUGGCUUUCAGCGAGGCCCCAUGACGCUGGCCAGCAAGCCAGCCGCUCAAGCAUCCCCUGAUGGCUCCUCUCCUAACAGCGAAACUGUAAAGCUUGUGAAUAUGUAGGUCAAAUCGUGAUGGCAUCCCCGCCAUGCCCGCAUCCCUGCUCAGCACCGUUUCACUCGGAGCUUCAACUAUACGUAAAUUUAUGGGGCAAAUCUGUAUAAAUGAAUCAUAUCAUUUUAUUUUUUUUGAGAGAGGAGAGAGAGAGAGAGAGAGAGAGAGAGAGAGAGAGAGGUGGUGGUACUGCUGCCUCUGUUAUGCUGAUGGAUUCCAGUGGGGUUGCUUCUAUCCGAGCUUCAUUUGCAGGCAGAUUAGUCUCACAAGCUUGCCAGAAAUGGGAGAGAAUGGAUGAUGAUGAUGAUGAUGAUGAGUGCACACAAACCAUAGUCCAUAUGGGCUAAUUAUUCUUCAAAGAUCCGGGUUCAUUUACAGCCAUUUUCUGCAUCAACAGCAGCUCCCAUAUGACUGCGAGGUCCUAUAAACGAUGUGGGGCGGCGUUUAUUUCUCCAAGCGAUGGGCCGCUCACUGGGCAGCAGCUUCGAAGGCCCGCAGGAACGUUUCCGGCGGGCGGCCGCCGCUGAACUCUUCCUUUCCGUUGAUCUGAAAGGAGCGCGUUUGAGAGGUUUUCUUUAGUCCUGGGUGGCCUCGUCUGCGGAAUAUAAUCAUCAGACAAGUUACCAGAUAGUGUGGCACUCCGUUGACUCGCUCCGAAUUUCUCUCCACUUCCUCUUGAACCUGUACGGAUAUGAAUGAGAGGAAGGCCUCGAUGAGGUCGAUGAUGACGCUAGAGAGAGAGAGAGAGAGAGAGAGAGGAUGAGAGAGAACCUCCUUGAGCCCCCGGCUGGGGUCGUCGAGGAGCUCUGCCGCACCUUCUACGCCCACCUUGUUAGCAGCCUCCAACAGAACUUGCCUGCACCAACGUCACAAGGCUCUGAAGGGCGUUGACUCUGAAGAACUAAUGGCCCCUCCCCGUCCAAUGUUAUGAAGUGAAUGACAAGGGCGUUUCAAAAGAGUCAGCUCGGCCAGCUGGUCGACGCCCAAACAAGUCAACGCCUGGACGAUCCUGUGCGAGAUAGGGGAGAGGUGAAAUCCCUAGUGGACGUGGUUGUGGUUGUGGGAGGAGCAUCCGGGACGAGCCCACUGUUUUUCAAGGUCGAUCAUGAAAAAUUAAGGGUAUCUAAGUCAACCCAGCUUCUACGAUCUCAAAGUCAACCCGUCUUCUGCUUUGUCAGCCAAAUAAAAAGCCAAGGAUGCACCCACCGGUCGCCAAUAUACUUCCCCUGGGUGAAGUAAUUCAGGAACAGCUCCUCCACGAGAUCGUGCUGCUUCUGAAACCCUUGCUUUCCGGCAAACCCAAUGAGCCUGUGACUGUCCAGGGUGCUCCCCCUGCAAAGAUUAGCCCGCCUCCCUUGAGCUCCCUCGCUUCGCCGGUUAAUGCAGAAGGCGGGGAUCAAGGCGUUGACUCACCACAGCCCGGAGAGGUCAUACUCGUAGCCGAGGCUCCGGAAGACCUGCACAUGAAACGGCAAUGGAGUUCCACCUCUGCCCGCAGAAAGUCAAAUGGAAGCAGGCGGAGGUCGGCUGAGAGCGCGCAGAGACCUGCUUCAUCCUGGAGUUGAUGCUCUCGGACUGGUUUCCAAACUUCUGCUGGUAGAACUCCGACUUCUUCAUUCCGUCUUUGGGCGCGGAGGGGCUGAGCAGGAAGGGGUGCCACCUCACCUGCCCAGAGACGGAGAUCCACAGCGAGGAUCAGAUCACAAUCACAGGAGAGAAGACGGGGGGGCGCGGAGACGGGGGAGGGGGGGCACCUCAAAGUCAAACCUAUCCUUCGAUUGCUCCAUCGCCUUGUCGAGGUUCUUCUUCCCCACGAAGCACCAGGGGCAGACGGUGUCGGAGAUCACGUCGAUCUGGAUCCGCUUCCUACCGGAGCUCUCGCCCAUGGCUCGCGGCCCGAAUCCCCUGUAUCUGCAGGUCAACGGAAGGGCAGCGUAUCUGAAGGAGUUCGGCUUCUCUGCCCGGCGAGGAGAAACAGAUUUGGGCGAUUUGCACAGAGAAAUUGAAACCUAACGAUUAGAAAGCAAGAACAAGGGUACAGGUUCGGCGAAGGGUCGGACGAACGCAGCUAGAGAGAGAGGAGGAGAGAGAGAGAGAGAGAGAGCACGCACCUUGUAGAGGCUCCGAGGUGCUCCUUCCGGGGCGCGAUUAGAGAGAGAUAGAAAGGGCCGAGGGUAUAAGGUCGUCUCCCCGAAAGGGAACCGCGUUGACCAUUACACACAUGGGCGGUGGGGGGUCGUUGAAAAAAGUCAAACAUGGGCCAAUGGAGAAGAGUAAUACAUCGGAUGCUUGUUAGCCGCGCCGACGGCAACGGACUGGCCAAUGGUUACUUCUUACUGGGCCUGAACUUCGUGCCGUGCAGGCCCGCGAGCAGGUGCCCGCUAGUCAGCCGGAGAUCCUAUCGGGACGAUCAUUCUCGAAGCAGACCGAUUAUCUGAUAAUGCAGAAAUUCGAAAAUCGAUAAUAAUAGAACGAAUCGAUGCCUCGAAUGGGCGCAGUUGGUCAAAGCCAGAUCUCGCACGAAGCGAAGAUCUACCAAGAGCGGUAGGAAUCUCUUUACAGAAAGUCAAAGCCGGGUGGGAUUUCAACCGACACGGGGAAUGAGAUCGGACCCGGAAGAGGGGACCGACGCCACCCACCGGUGGGGCUUGACGAGCCGCCUGAACCAUCCAUAGUGUGAGGGAUGCGGCAUGGCGCGGGGGACGAUAUUGGGCAGGUCAACGCAUGCCGACAAGAAGGCGCAUCUCGCUCGUGGAAAGCGCGCCCUUUAUACGAUAUAUUCCUAUAAUUUACAAAAGCUGGCCCGCCCGGUGCUUCGGAGCGAUGCCCACCCCACAUCUCUCACGUACAGAGAUAGAUAAAUGGGCUGAUAGAGAGAGAGAGAGAGGCUAGCUAGAGUUGAGGUGGCUGAUCAUCCAUGGGGGGAGAGAGGCGCCGGCGCGGGGGGGCGGCUGGUUCUCCUCUUCCUCGGGGGGGUGGUAAAUCCUGCAGGGCAUAUUUCCACCACCGAGCCAGGUCAGCUUGUCGUCCACGUCGGACAGAACGUUGACAUUUCGUGGGGGGGGGGGGGGGGGGGGGGGCGUUUACCCGAUGUUGAGAGUGGUGGCGGGCAGCGUGUCGGCCAGAGAGAAGGACGGCGGGGACGAGGAGCCGCUGGUGGCGCUCUGGUUCUGGUGGUGGCGGUGGAGCGGGUGCACCUCCCACUGAGCCCUCUGGGCCAGACAAGCGACCAGGCUCUCCUUCUCCUGGAGCUGCGCUCAGAGGAAAAAAAGGAGACGCGUGUCACAUGCGGGCGCCGCCAGCUCAGAAUCGAUCCGCGUGGCUUACCAUGGUCUGCAGCGUGUUGUUCUGCUCUUCCAGCGUCUUCUCCUGCUCGAGCAACAGCUCGGGUUAGGGUUUUGGAUCAUAAUACCAUGCUUCGUGCUCGUAAUCACGAGGGAAAGAGGGGGGGGGGAUGACGUAAGGAUGGAAAUAUGGCUGACUUGAGUUCGUUGCAGGUUGAAAAUUUGACCGGGAUAAUUUCUGAAAAAUUGCACCGAAACGACUUAACCUCAAAAAAAUUCAGGCAGAUUAAAUCCCAGUUUCGACGUUGGCUCAUGAGAGGAUAUGGAGGAUUAAUGCAGAGUCGGAAAUAAACAGACAGACAGUGCCUUCUCUGUGGCCAUGCUCCGUGAUGAGGAUCUGAGCGUACCUUUCUCUGAAGCUCCGCGAUGGAAUCAAAGAGUAGAACGUUCUACAGAAAAAACGAUGGGUGAUCCUCCGGUCAGCGCGCAGAGAAACCAGACAUUAGAAUUACUAUUUUUCAAAAAAAUAGCAUUUAUUAUUUCCACGCUAAAUAUGCGCUAAAACUGUAGAUCAAGUCACAUUAUUGGCUUGUGUAUUUCUGAAAGGCGGGCACCUUUCUUGAUCUUAUUUCUUUGAGGCCCGCUUCCAGCUGCAGCUCCAGCUGCUGGAGGUCCUUGAGUUUCAAGCUUUCAAGAUCUUCACCCAUUAGAUGCCUGAAAAUGCCGGACCCCAGAGCAACAUAUUUUUUUAGGAAGAAAUAUAUUCUUCGUGAUUGGGUAGUUUUAACUACGUAUCCAUACCUUUGGUUCUUCAGCAGACAUUCAAUCUUGGCCUUUUGUUUGCCAUAUUCAAGGAGCCAUGUUUCCUACACAAAUUCGGUCAAGCCUGAUAGUGUUUUUUGAUGAAGAAUCUGUAUCUAGAUCUUGUUCUCAGAAAUGGUAUGGUUACUUCCUAUGCUACCAAGUCGACCAGGUGUUGCAAGUUCAUAUGAUAUUGAUCGGUCUUACUACAUACCGAAUUCAGUUUUGGGACGGGCAUACCUGUAAUUCAGGAUCUGCUGCUGCGAGAUCUCUUUGUGUACAAGAAUAUCGUUCGUAUCGUUGGAGAAUCCUUUCCAUGCUGCUUGUGAACAAAUCGACAUUAAAAACUUAUUUAAACCUCCAACGGAGUGCACAAAAUGCAUCAAAAAUUUAUUUAAAACUUCAGUCCAAAAAUUGCACGAGCAAUGUAUCGAUGUUGAAGCGGGCAGAUACUCUUUCCCAUCGUCUACCGCAAGAAUUUAGUCCCCUAUUUUUCUGUCUUUUUUAAGAAUGUAAAAUACCACGGUAUGAAAAGUCUGAUUUUUAUUUUUUAUUUAAACAAGACGCUCCAAAAGUCCAAUUUUGAAUCUUUAGUUUCUCCAAAUGAGUUUUGAUAAGCUAAAGAUAUCCAGGAUAGAUAAUUUCUAACAGAAAAUAUAGAGAUACAUCCUUACAUAUGCGUAUGUCUGAAAAAAGUGAUUACAAUACAAGACAAGACUCUAGGAAUGCUGCAUGAUGGAUGGCGAGUUCUAACUCGGUUAUACAUCUAAGAGGAUCCCCCAUGUCUGCUCCGUUUCCUGGAUAUCAGACAAGUCCCGAGGCUCAUCCUGCCUGUUUUUACUUAAGCUUGAUCCAAAAAGGUUCUUUUUUAACGUUAAAAACAACCAGUGACGAUGUUUCUUUGGCAAAAAUGGAUCUGAAGUCAAAAGAAAACUCGAUUCUAGUAUUUUAAUUACUACAUGAGUGCACCAUCCCAUAAUGUGAAUAACUCAGUACGGCUCUUCCUUGAGUCAGUUACAUCUUGCCAAAUUUUUGGACUUAGAUAUAGAUUUAGUUACACUCUACAAAUCGUUCGUAGAAUUUACACAGAAGUGUCCUCUUCCAGAAAAUAGAUAACAACACUAAAUAGAUGCUACAUCACGGUGCCGAGAACGCUAGAGUAGUAGCACAGAGCAGCGUGGAUGAUAGUGGCUAGCUUUUGUCAUGAAAGGGAGGCCAAGGCUGAGAAACCAAUAAAGAACCAUAGAAGAUAUAUUAAUGAAAACUAAAAUAAAUUUCAUGAAUGUAUCCACAUGCUAUGCUGCAACAUAUAUUUCGCACAGAUACUGUAUGAACAAGAAGCAACUACAUACUACUCUGCCGUUGAUUUUAAGAAAAAAUUGAACAUAAUUGCUAUACACAUAAUGUGAUUAUAAAGGUAGGAUCAAAUUUUUCUGUCGCUACCUGAAUAUCUACUGAUCAUAAUUUUUAAGGUUUAUAUACAAAAAUUCCAAUAUUUCAGUACACUCUACUGAAAAGUUCCCAAGAAAGAGAUUGGAGUGAAGGAGCACGCGGAGUUCAAGCUUGAAUAUCUGCUGAACCUCCUUUUGUCGACUGUAAUGUCGUGCGGAAAAUUUUCUAGAUAAUUUAGGGUUCAAUCAUCUUUUAUUGCUCCAGAUUUUGCCAUCCCUUUCUUUGUAUCUUCACCCUCGAUAUCCCAGUUUUGUCGUUUAGGGUACCCAGAAUGGAAAAAGAGGAACAUGAUCAGACAACUCUGAAGGAAACACGCGACUGGUUGCACCAGUUGCUGACAUGACGAGAGAGAGUCCCAAGCUUUCCCAAGGAAAAUGAUAGGUCAAUAAGAGAAGGAAAGCCUUAAAACUGAAUCUUGCUGUCGUACAUUUCCUAAAUAUAUACGACGACUCUUUGAUGAGUUAUAAUAGAAAUAUCAUUGUGUAUUGUACAGGAGUACUUGCCCAUAAAGUAAUAUCACAGCGGAUGGUGAUUAGGAAUCCUGCCUCGAUUGACUCUUCUGGCAUUCUCCCCCCGUAACUACUACCGCAGAAGAGCAGAAACUACUCCUGUGCUUCUACUGUAACUACUAUAAAACAAGAGGAAAGAGAGUAGCAUCAGUUGCCGGGGCAAGGACUCCACGCAGCGCCUGAGCGGUUGAUCGAGAAUAAGAAAAUUAACCUCCACGAAUAGAGCACUCAAGCAGACAUAAUUCCACGGAGCAGAAGCAAAUCCAUAACGAGAAAACAAAAUAGCAAGAUGGAACGUAGGGGACGGAGAUUAGAUAGCGGAGUGCUGAAUUAUCGCACCGGGGGUGUCCGUUGCCGCCUACCUCGAAUCGGUGGAGUACUCGUAGAGCUUCCCCUUGGUUGAGAAUAUGAUAAGAGCGACGUCCGCGUCGCAGAGGACCGAGAUCUCGUGUGCCUUCUUCAGCAGCCCCGACCGCCGCUUCGAGAAGGUCACCUGUCGGUUGAUCUUAUUCUCGAUCCUCUUCAGUUGCACCCUCCCUCUCCCCAUCUAUCCAACCACAACCGAAGCUGAUCGAUCGCCUCCUCCGCGGCCAAAAUCCACCAGAAAAAAACGGCAAAAACAACCGCACGAAUCUCUCCGACGAGCAGCGUAUCGUCGUCGCCGUCGUCCUCCUCCGGUGGCGGAGAAGAAGCGUGGAUGAGGGGGGAGGAUCGGAGGUGGAGACAGCAGAGCCAGCGAUGGCUGACGCUGACGGGAAGGAAGAGUCGACGGAGGAGCCGCACCGUGAGAAGUCCCAAUAUAUAUAUCCCCCCUCGACGGCACCGAGCGGGGCUGACAUCGAGGAGAGAAGAGCGGUUUCCAGAAACCAGCGGUUUUCUCCUCCUCGUUGUCGAGCUCCCAUUGGCCAGUAUCCACGCACACGAUCCCGAGACCUCACAGAGGCCGUACAGUCCACGGCCGCAACUUGGGAUAUCUCUAACCGCCCUCUUUGUACGAAACUGCCCCCCCGCCCCCAUUCUCUUGUGAAUUUACCAACUACCCCUCGUGCCGACCUGUGAUGGCCCGUCCUUUAUGGAAUCCCUGGGGAGAAUCUGUACGGCGGAUUUGGCCGCCCGACAGCCGUCCCUCCGAUGCUCCCCAUCCGGUGCUCCCCUGCAUCACGGCCGGAAUCCCCUUUGUCCACGGCGGCGCGGUUCUCCGAGCAGGUGCUUCCCUGGAUGACGUCACAAUGAUGACGCAAUCAGCAUGACCACAUCACGCCUGGCGCCGGCAGAGCGUGAGUGGGCCUGUCGGACGGGUCUGCCGACGUGGACGAGUCAUCUCGCGAAACGUAUCCCCUGCUGACUCGAAAUAACGGCCCAUGUAGAGGGUUGCAGGGGGGAAUCUUGACCUAUCAUCUACCCAUCACACAAGUCGUCCAGAUGGGACGUAGGCAGUGGGCUAGGGGCCGCCAUGAAGUAGGGAUAUAUGCGCAAUCACCUGGGCACAAUUCCAACGAACUUUUCGGAGAUGGGCCAAUUAUUAAUCUUAUUUAUUUCCCAUUAUACUCCCAAAAUUCUCUUUAAUAUUAAAAAAAAUCGAACCUUUGAACGGGCUCUCUCUCUCUCUCUCACACACACACACACACACUCAUUCAGGGGGAGAGAGAGAGUGGAGGGAGCGGGCUCAUUUCGUCUACAUUAAUCGGCUCCAUUUUUAUUUUUAAUAAAUUUUAUAUUUUAGGCCGUCAGUAGUCUAUAUUUUUGAAGCAAUAAUAAUCAGCGGGAAAUUUUCCGGGAUAAAAGCUAUUAAAUAAUUAUGUUGGAGAAAAUAACGGCUAUAUUUUAAUAGUUCACCUGAGGGCACGUGCCUGAAUGCGCCCACCAGUCAAUAAUGUAUCCGAUAAUGUCCGAGUGGGAGCUGAGCCGCCGGACGCAGAGGCGGCAGGUUCAUGCAUCGGACUCCGCGGGAGAUCAGGAGAAGAUGAUGGCACAAAUACGGAAAGUAAAGCGCUAGGGGCGGAUGCCUGAAUAGGACACGUUUUUGUCGGCGGGGAAGAUAUUAUAAUACCGGAGCGGAGACGGUGGGGAGAGAGAAUGAGAGAGAGAGCUGCAUAAAUAGAUAGAGAGAGAGAGAGAGAAAGAGAGAGAGUGAGAGAGAUAGAUUGAUAGAUAGCGAUAGAGAGAGAGAGAGAGAGAGAGGUNNNNNNNNNNNNNNNNNNNNUUUGGCUCGAAAGAUGGCGCUGCCCGAGUCUUGGGGUGGGGGGGUGGGGGCGGCGCUCUCUCGGGCGGCGAAGUUGGCCGGAUUUAUUGCUCCGCACGGAAGUUUUUUGCGGCGGAUGAUCAGAGACGGCGGCUGCCGCCAAUCCAGAAUUAUAUUUUUAAAAAGUAGAGAGAAAGUGAGAUGAAUAAAUAAUAAAUGAUUCCCGUCCAUCUCUAUAUUUACUGAAUUUGGAAUGAGACUGGGAGGGCCGUGUAAUGUGGUGAGCAUCACCCCGGAAGCCGGCCCUCCCUGUUUUUGCCUAUUUUAGAUCCAACGAAGAAGCUCAGAUGAUAAAUCUUAGCUAUAAUCCGGCUCAUCAGAGCCGGAGUUCAAUUAUCCUUAUGAAGGUAUAUGGUUCAGCCAAGCAUGAAGUAAAUUCAUCCAUUAGGGUUCUAGUGCAGGGAUAGGGAUCUUUCUCUCUCUCUCUCUCUCUCUCGCCCGAUCACUCUUCAGCAGCUUAUUAAUAGAUGACAGGACACACAGAAGCCAGGGAGGACUUUUCUUACGCAGAGACAUGAGUGGGAGGGGAGAGGGUUGACUGAUCAAACCCAGCCGCUGACGAACCCGCCGCUCGCAUUCUGGGUCAGCGCGGGGGGGCUCAGCUGGUCGACACCGACGGGGGAGUAUCUGUAAGAAAGGCGAGAUCUUUAGUGUGGUGGAGAACAAGUCAACCCGUUUUCUUCUCGGGGAUCUGAUGGGGGGGUGGCUACCCGAUCUGGAGGGGGAGAUCGAACCCUAGUAAUGGCUGGAAGAGCCCCUCCGGAUGGGCGGCGGCCUGGUGACCCGAGGGGUUGCCCGAGUCAACUCCGCUGAUCCCCCACGUCAGCUGGAGGCAGUUCUCCGGGCCGUUCUCUUGCAGCUGCCGGAGAAAUAAAACAAGAACUCAGCUCUCGGGGUUGACCAAUAACUCAGCUGCUCGAUCCGAGAAACUGGUCAAAAGCGCCAUCAUUAAGAUCGAUGGGAUGUAAUGAGCGGACUGAGAUCGCCGUCAACUUUCCAUUAUCAGCAAAUAUCGUGGAUAGGUUUGACUAAAUCACCUUCUGUCUGAGGACGCGGUUGGAUUCCUGCAGCAUCUGUUCCUGCGCAACGUGAGAUUUCCAUGCAUGGGAAGUAUUAAAUGCGAGAAACUAUGUGGGAAGGACGAGUGAACCACAAAAAACUGAAACCACCGAGAAUAAUAUAGACAGCAAUCAGACACUUUUACCUUCCUCUUGAGAUCACAGAGCUGGUCGAGCAUCACUUGCGUCUGUAAAACACGUUGACGAUGAAAAAUAAGACGUGGGAUUCAUCGUUAACUUCCGGUCUAGUCUAAGAACGUUAGCAGAAAGUCAACUACCGGGGGAAGAAAAAGACGAGGCAUAUCGUUCUGUUCAUCCGAAGAAAGUAAUACGUAUCGCGCAAAUCUAAAACAUAACAGAAUGCUUCCAGCAUUAAUUGGAACAGUCAACACCAACAGUCAAAAUACGGAGCCCGCAAGAUAAUUGGUCAGGAAGAUGAUCUUCAUCUCAUUGGAGAGCCCUGCAUGAACGAUGCUAAAGACACGGCUUCGUCACCGCUUUUAAUACUUAUUUUUAUCCAUCUGUUCGAUAAAAAGAUAUCAAAAUAAAAACGCAUUUAUGAAGUAAGAAGAAGAAAAAGGACAAGGGAAAAAAGGGAAAAAAAGAAGCUCGGUUUAUCAUGAUGAAUCGCCGCAGGCUCUACCUUAGUCGAUCUGAUGUGCUUCAGAGAAAUCUCUAGCUGGUUUUCGAGUUGCUCGAGCUCCCUCGUGUUUAAAGAGUCAAGAUCUUCUCCAAGAAGGGUUCUGCAGCAGGAGGCGGUCUUUUAACAGACCGCAGAAGACGCAAAAAACGCUGGAUCAUGCUGUUCUUGAACCUGAGCCGGCGAGAAUUACCUCUCCGAGCGUUUCAGAGCUUCUACCCUCCCCUUGAGUUUCAGAUACUCCUGAUAACUAUUCUGCUUGAGGACAGAACAGAGGUCAACGUCGUUAAAAACCCUUUUUUACCGCUUUUUUCCCCCCUUCUUUCGGAACGUGGAAGAAGUAAUAAAAAAAGGGAAAAAAAAGAUGAGAAAAAUGGAUGUGAAAAGAAGGGAAGAGAAGAGGAAGUUUGAGAAGGAUUUUUGAUCCACCCAUAACCAAAGGGGUACUGAAUUAUUUUGAAAUAAAAUAAUAAGGAAUUGUUUUCAUAAAAAGAAGUUCGGAACAAGGGAAUCACUUUAUUUAUCCCUCUACUUUCCAGAUUUUUAAAUAACUAUUUUUAUUAUUAAGUUAGGAUGAAUAAGACGCUAUCUUGAAAAAGGAAAGAAACAUCCAUGAAAUUUUCUCAGGACCCAAAGGACUCUCUAUCCCUUUAAAAGCAUAAUAAGUUAAUCAGGCUAUAGAUCUGGAUGAUGACUCAGUAUAGUGUUUAUAAGAAGAAGAAUAAAUACUAAUAAAGUAUUAACUACAGUAAUACUAUCAAAAUGACAAGUCGAUGAUCAUUUAAGAAAAACUCGAAAAGUAGUUUGGAAAGCUGUUUGGUAAAGGCGAGUGGGAGAUGGCAACCUGAGUCUCUUUACAAGGAACAACCGGCUCCGCAAUAGAGUAGCUACAUUUUUGAUACCUCUCCAACGUCUUUUGCAUGCUGCAACAAUGAGAUGGUACAAGAAAAAAUUUACAUUCUCAUUUAUCCUGGGGAAAAUAAAUGAACUCCAAAAAAUGAGACGUGUGACUGAUUCCUAAACUUUCAUACGCAUUGAACCAGGAUAUUAUAUAAUAAAACAAAGAACCAUGUGGUCAUUAACAUUAUUUUCUCUACUCUCGCUCAUACUGAUGCCCAAAAAUGGACCUUCUAUCGAAGAGUUUAAUUCAUUACCACAGGAGGGUGAAUAGAUGAAUACAUGAAAAAAAAAGUCAAACUAAAAUGAGUACUACACUGUCCGCACUGUUCUUGCAUUCAAAGUUAUUCCUUAAUUACCUCAAUAUCCUUUUGACUUUAAUCACUUUUCUCUGUCAAAUCCAAAUUAUUCAUCCGUCAUGUAGAUUUUUGUGUCAAUGGGGUUGACUAGCAAACCUUUUUGUGUCUGAUGAGAAACCAAGCAUAACUCAUAUAACAUGGAACCUAAUUACUUAUUAGGAACAUUUUCUUGUUAAAAUUUAGAUAUAUUUUCAUGUAAUUUAAUAUGGAUUUCAUUAUACUUGCAUUAAAUUCGACGAGUUUGUCAACUUAGAUGUCUGGUAAAGAAUAUGGGAAACAUUCUGCAUUGACGAUAGUUUAGAUGGAAAUUAACUUUAAGAAAGCUCAAAGGUACCAUUAUUAGCUUCACUAAAUAUUAUACUUAAAAUAUUCCUGUAAUUAUGGUCUUACCAAGAAAUAAAUGCAUUUAUAAGAAAUAUUUGUACAAGAAAUUCCAAAUAAUUUGAUCUUUUCUUCACAAAAAUAUCCCCAUAUAAAGGAAUAACUUUAUUGGAAAUAAAAGACAAGGUGGUUUCAUUCGGCGGGGAGGGGGCGGGGGGGCUAUAGCUCGCCAUUCAGAGCUGCUGCCUCUGUGAUCAGUAGGAAUGCCUACCUUCGCUCUAAAGAUUUUGGAAUGUCCCGGACGCCAUGGAGUACUGCUGGAACUGGAUGAGGUUCUCAAUCAUUCAACCAAGACGCCGUUUUUCUGGAUGAUUAGUUCAUGCUAUGCUAUCGUCCAGCCGGGAGGAAGAGAGCAAUGGAAGAAAAUUUCUAGGGCAGAUGAAGUUACCUCUGAAGAACUGUUUAGAUCCAAACCCUAAAACGAUCCAGAGAGAAAAUUCAAACUGAAGUCGAGAUUUCGAGGGUUCGCUUCUAAUACUAGCCUGGUUUUCAGGUGGUCUGAUCUGAUCUAGACGUCAGACUCGUGCCAAGAUAGUUUGGGUUUCUUCCUCGAGAUCGCCUCCAAUGUCACGCUUCUGCAAAACCCUAGCCGUCGUUCACAGACAACGAUGAUACCUGACAUAGCCGAACGUCCCGUCACUCGCCCACAGAAGCCUCUCCAUGUUCUCGAGCUCAACUGCUCCAGAAGGCUGUAGAUCCAACGCUUUAGCCACGAGACCGGAAGGAAGGAUAGGCAUCCUGUGAAUGGAGUCUCCGAUGGGACAACCGGGAUCAGAAGCCCAGCCGCGCGGGAUAUUCACUAGAACCCUAGAUUUCGAACGUAAGGGAGCUGCUGGGAUCCACGAUGAAAGGAAGAAAGAGAGAGGGGAAAAGAGAAGGAUCUGGAAGAGAAGAGGGGAGAUCGCGCAGGGCGGAAGGAAACGCAUGCCUCGAUGAGUCCUUGAAACCGCAGUCGUCGACUCUCAUGACACCAGGAGAGCUUUGUUUCUCAGAUUUCUUCGUGGACGGGAAGGAAAGCUUGAUAAGAAAAAGUAGCUCUGGACCUCGGAGGUGAGACGUCUGUGGAGUCCUCAGGAGGAGGAGAGGGAUAGUUCCUUCUGGGGAACCCUAAAGGAUUAUGACCAGGAAGAUGUGAAGUCCAGCGAGAGAGAGAGAGAGAGAGAGAGAGAGGAAUCUAGUGAGAGUUUUCAAUGGGAAGCACGAAAUCUGGAAACCUAACGGAAAGGAAAUAACAGAGAAUCUGCACCAAGAGAAGACGAUCGGUAUAACAGGGAUGUUCCGAGCUCCUUUCCACCCUUGCUUCGUGUAUUCUGACGCUCGGACAGUGCAGGCAAUUUGCACAAAUUUCACACAAAAUGGAUCAGCAAGCUUGCCGAUCGGCGCAGAAAGUUACAGGCGCUCGUGUCCUUCGUCUGGUUCAUCCCUGGAGGACACAGAAUCGUAUUUCGCCGGAAAUUUCCUGCAGGAAGGAGAGGGGAAGGGAUGCGAGGACCGCGGUCGUUCAGGCGAUCACCUGUUGCUGCUGAACUCAUAAAGCUUGCCGCGGUUGGAGAAGAUGAUCAAGGACACGUCCGCAUCGCAGAGCACGGAGAGCUCAUAGGCCUUCUUCAGCAGGCCAUUCCGGCGCUUGGCGAACGUCACCUGCCUGUUAAUCUUGUUCUCGAUCCGCUUCAGCUCCACCCUCCCCCUCCCCAUCUCUCCUUCUCAACCUCUCUCUCUCUCUCUCCCUCCCUCUCCUCCCUCCUCCUUAUAAUGCCCUCUCCCCUUUCGUUUCCUCCUAAUCCAUCCCAGAAAUGGAAAAUCCCCCGGCGAUUACUGCAAAUCAUCUUUGAUUACACCGACUGUUAGGUGAAGCAGACAACGCAGAUUGUCCUGGGGAAGGAGGCCCUUCUGUUCCGCCCUCCUCCGACCUUCACACCAUUCUCUCUCUUCUUGAUAGAGAGAGAGAGAGAGAGAGAGAGAGAGAGAGAGAGAGAGAGAGAGAGAGAGAGAGAGAGAGAGAGAGAGNNNNNNNNNNNNNNNNNNNNNNNNNNNNNNNNNNNNNNNNNNNNNNNNNNNNNNNNNNNNNNNNNNNNNNNNNNNNNNNNNNNNNNNNNNNNNNNNNNNNNNNNNNNNNNNNNNNNNNNNNNNNNNNNNNNNNNNNNNNNNNNNNNNNNNNNNNNNNNNNNNNNNNNNNNNNNNNNNNNNNNNNNNNNNNNNNNNNNNNNNNNNNNNNNNNNNNNNNNNNNNNNNNNNNNNNNNNNNNNNNNNNNNNNNNNNNNNNNNNNNNNNNNNNNNNNNNNNNNNNNNNNNNNNNNNNNNNNNNNNNNNNNNNNNNNNNNNNNNNNNNNNNNNNNNNNNNNNNNNNNNNNNNNNNNNNNNNNNNNNNNNNNNNNNNNNNNNNNNNNNNNNNNNNNNNNNNNNNNNNNNNNNNNNNNNNNNNNNNNNNNNNNNNNNNNNNNNNNNNNNNNNNNNNNNNNNNNNNNNNNNNNNNNNNNNNNNNNNNNNNNNNNNNNNNNNNNNNNNNNNNNNNNNNNNNNNNNNNNNNNNNNNNNNNNNNNNNNNNNNNNNNNNNNNNNNNNNNNNNNNNNNNNNNNNNNNNNNNNNNNNNNNNNNNNNNNNNNNNNNNNNNNNNNNNNNNNNNNNNNNNNNNNNNNNNNNNNNNNNNNNNNNNNNNNNNNNNNNNNNNNNNNNNNNNNNNNNNNNNNNNNNNNNNNNNNNNNNNNNNNNNNNNNNNNNNNNNNNNNNNNNNNNNNNNNNNNNNNNNNNNNNNNNNNNNNNNNNNNNNNNNNNNNNNNNNNNNNNNNNNNNNNNNNNNNNNNNNNNNNNNNNNNNNNNNNNNNNNNNNNNNNNNNNNNNNNNNNNNNNNNNNNNNNNNNNNNNNNNNNNNNNNNNNNNNNNNNNNNNNNNNNNNNNNNNNNNNNNNNNNNNNNNNNNNNNNNNNNNNNNNNNNNNNNNNNNNNNNNNNNNNNNNNNNNNNNNNNNNNNNNNNNNNNNNNNNNNNNNNNNNNNNNNNNNNNNNNNNNNNNNNNNNNNNNNNNNNNNNNNNNNNNNNNNNNNNNNNNNNNNNNNNNNNNNNNNNNNNNNNNNNNNNNNNNNNNNNNNNNNNNNNNNNNNNNNNNNNNNNNNNNNNNNNNNNNNNNNNNNNNNNNNNNNNNNNNNNNNNNNNNNNNNNNNNNNNNNNNNNNNNNNNNNNNNNNNNNNNNNNNNNNNNNNNNNNNNNNNNNNNNNNNNNNNNNNNNNNNNNNNNNNNNNAGGAGAGAGAGAGAGAGAGAGAGAGAAGGGGGGAGGUGGGGAAGACGAAGAUGAAACGGGAGCACCAGAACCCUAGGAUCUUCAGGAAGGGAGGGGAAGAAAGGAGGAGGAGAGAGAGAAUUACCUCCGUUGGGAAGCAGAGAUGAAGGCGUCCACUCUGGGGGCGGCGACGGUGGCGGCGAGCAGCAGAGCUCCCACCGCCAUCCCCGCCACCUCGCUCGCCGUCACGUUAUCCAUCUCCGAUCCGCCCGCGCCUACCCCGCGCUCUCUGGCGUUGGUGAAGCAGAACAUAUCGGGCUGCUCAUUUUCUUAAAAAAAUGAAAUACGGC